CUACAAAUCAUGCGCAAAGGCUAAUUAAGGCUGGUCAAGAUUAGUGUUACUUGGAAGACUGCAAAACAAAAGUAGGAUGUUCCAGAUUGUGCAUUUGAUUUCUGAUAGGCAGCACGAGGAUUUAAAAUAGUAGUGAAGGUUCAUAUUUCCCUUUUUACCGAAGCUUGUUCCCAGUACAAGAACUCAGACACCAACACAGCUCGAGCCCCGCGGCCACGCCUAGCUACUUCGUGAGCUGCCAUAUGCAUGUUUGGCUGACUGAGCCCUGAAGAACGGCAAAACAGAGCUCUGCUCCUAGAUUAGAACCCAUAACCUGCAAGCAAAUAUCAACACAAAGUUAGCAAGAUACUGUGGCUUGCGAGGAAAGCGGCAUUAUCAUGGUUGUCGGUGUGGAGGUGUGUGCCAGCGAUAUCUUGGUACGCAUGCCGAAUGAAUUGGUUCGCUGGGAGUGACAAAAUUAAAACAAAUAAACACACCUUGUGUGAUAUCAAUUAGUAGAUGGCUUGCAUGUGCAUCUACUCUUGGAGACAAGCUUCAGCAGUUUAUCAGCAAAAUCAAGCCUUUCAGCUUGGCAUUUCUGCUCCAUUUCGUCCAUGUGGGCACACAUGCGAGCAUUGCAUUCCCUCAACAGUGUGCAUACCGCCUCAGCGUCCUGAUGAACACAAAUUCCCAAGUGUCACGACAGUUGAUAAAAUAAGAUGCAGAUCGACAAGUGCUGGUAAGCAAACAACAGAGACAAUGGGAGGUGGGAGUGGGCUGAUCUUACCAUCUCUGGAUAUAGUCUGCGCAAAUGUUCUGUGAAUUCUUCUGCAGAGCUUGGGUACUGCUCUGGAUCUGGAGUUUGCUCUUNNNNNNNNNNAUGACUGGAAACAAAUGGGUGCUGCUCGUUGUGGGCACCGGCUCUUGCGAUGUGUCCAGCAUUGCUGACAGUGUACCCAACAUCGUCGCGGCGUAGACCCUGCUGGGGUAAUUGUGAUGUCAGUAAUACUAAUACUCGGAGUGUUUUUGAGCAUCUUUUGGAGCAAUCAUGUCAUGGUUAUAGUAACAAGAAUAUAUAUGCAUGGGGGUAUUAUAUAUGUUAGUAUCAGAUUAAUUUCUCACACGGGCUAAGAAGAAAGACUUGUCCCCGGUGACACCUGUGGUCAGGAUGCCAAUCAUCUUCCUCAGCGUGGCACAGUCAAACAGGGAAAUUCUUGGAGAAGCAUGCUGCCGAAGGGUGACCGCGCCUAGGUCCAUGUUAUCCAGGACAAAAAUCUGUUAUCCAUGAAGGAAAAAACAUAAAUGAAAUGCUUAGUGGGCAUUACAUUACAGUAAGAAAACAAUUNNNNNNNNNNNNNNNNNNNNNNNNNNNNNNNNNNNNNNNNNNNNNNNNNNNNNNNNNNNNNNNNNNNNNNNNNNNNNNNNNNNNNNNNNNNNNNNNNNNNNNNNNNNNNNNNNNNNNNNNNNNNNNNNNNNNNNNNNNNNNNNNNNNNNNNNNNNNNNNNNNNNNNNNNNNNNNNNNNNNNNNNNNNNNNNNNNNNNNNNNNNNNNNNNNNNNNNNNNNNNNNNNNNNNNNNNNNNNNNNNNNNNNNNNNNNNNNNNNNNNNNNNNNNNNNNNNNNNNNNNNNNNNNNNNNNNNNNNNNNNNNNNNNNNNNNNNNNNNNAAAUCGGCCGAAUCCAUCCCACUACGUUGGAUUAGAAUGAAAGUGGCAUUAUAAUGCAAUCGAACUAGGGUUUUGGGCGCAGCGGCCGGCGGGCGGACAGCCCAAAUGCAGAGCAGAUUUGUGAAGCCUGAUGGACGCGGCGAACGUACCUUGCUUGAUAACCAGGGGCGCGGCGUGACCGGUGGAUUGCUUCGCCGUCGUCCCUCGCCUCGAUCGAUUACGGCCGGCGGUGUGCUUGUGCCUGUGUUGCUUCUGCGCGGGGGGCGAUGGGCUGGUCAAAUGCGGCGGCGGAGUGUAAACCGGAGAAGAGUCAGAGGUGGCUGGGGAAAUAGGCAGCAGUAAUAAUUGCUCAAGUGACCGAACGGCUGGAUCUCCACUAUUAAACAAUCAAAUAAGAAUUUUCUUAAGUGCAUCUUGUAAUUAGUCCCACAACAACUUACAGACUAAUCAGCACCACACAAUUAAACCCAUAAUUUUUAAUCUAACAGUCCUUAUUGAUCUACUACUUCUAUCAUGUGCACUUAGUAAUUUUUCAUGACUGACGAUACUCCAUCAGGAGGAGUAGAGAAGUACUCGAACAACUGUCCCUACAAUCACGGAUCGGGAGAGUCGCCUACCACGGCUGACGCUGCCGCAUCCAACCUCCACCGUGGCCGAUUGCCUCCACGUGAAUUCCCUUGCGAGGUUGUACUGUGUUAAAAAAAACUAUAAAAGUAUACCAGAAGUGAGAAACAGGUCAAACAAAAUAGAAAUUACUCCAAGAUCUCUCGAACUUAUGGUUAUCAGGCUUCGAACAAAAUCAAAUACCUCUAUCUCCACAACAUGCUUGCAUAUAGUCCAUGGACCUCCUUCCUAGAUGUAGAUGCCAUCUCUACCAUGCUUUAUCUCUAGAUUGGCAACAAACAUGUUCUCACCCACUGAGCUAAAAACAAGCCCAUUGGAGUGUCCUUGUGUUGACAUGCAUCACUCUUCGUUACAAAACUUUUCGAAUCAUCACACAGCUCGGAACCCUCCCCUUUCAUGUCAUCCACACCAAUUUUGGCUCCCCCUCUCGAUCAGAUUCAUUAUUUCUACCUUCUCUACCCUCUCUUUCUUCUUUCCUGGAUUAUAGGAACUCGUCAUCUUCGCCUCUCUCUCCAAACCCUAAACCUUCUCUCCAUUCAGCGCUCCAAGGGUGGGAAAGAUCUCUAGACCCAAACACCCCCCUGAUUCACCACGCAAGUGGCAAACCGGACACGACUGAAGGAUCAGAUCAACAAUGGAAUACAUGGGUGAGAAAACCCCCCAAUGCAUCAUGGGAGAUUACAAAUCGCUCCAUGCACUGUCUCUGCCACUUGAAACCCUAACAAUGAUUCCAGGCCAACUCCACCAAUAUAUGUUUUCCAAUGUCAAAGUUGUAAAUAGUAGGGGAUGACAAAUAGUGGCAGAAGCAUUAAUGCGCUAAAUUGUCCUAUAGCACACUAAAUGGCACUAAGCAACUUAGUGUGAACCCCCUCCAAACGCUAGAGUGCUAUUUAAAACUUUGCUCAAUAUUCAACAAUGCAGGUAAAAGAAUUCUAGCCUUAUCACUUAACUCAAUGUGGAAUUAUUCAUAUUAUUGAUGUAUGUGAAGGGGAAUUGUUGAUGUGGAAUUUCACUCGAGGAAGUAAUACUCCAUGUGCUAAGGAUGACUGUGCUGGAGUGCAAUACAAGAAUUUCUUAUGGUCGACUCUAUUGAAAUGUUAUAUCUAUGCAAUGUUUUUUUCAGGACAUCACCCGGGCGGAAGAGUUGGGUUUGUUGUGCAGGCUGUUGACCCACAUGAUUAAAUUGGAAAAAAUAAUCUUAUACGUACAAUCUUAUUAUGGUAUAUGACUCACACAUAUGUGCUAGACUUGAAAACUGGCAUGCUUGUGUGUGGUUAGUGACAUUGCUCAAGAGUCAUAUGAAUUUUUUCAAAAACUGAUGGAAAUAGUAAAACACCUAAAAAUAGAGUUUAUAAAUAGGUUCAUGCACACUAGCCUCAUUAUGCACUGUGAGUGGUAUAACGGAAAAAAUAGAGAAACUAAACGAUGGCAUAUAUAUUUUCCAACAAUCAUAACUUCAUUUCUCAUUGUGUGCUGUUGCAUGUGCAAAUCGUACACCAUGAGGACGAAAAUCAUUAGAACGAUUCAUUUUUCCUGUGUCAAAUGAAGUAACAUAAAAAGAGAAAUGGUCGAAGAAAAAAGCAAUCAUAUAGUGAGAGACAGAAGCAAAAAAUCGAAGAAAUUACUUCCUUCGUUCUUGUCAUCAAAAUGAAUCAAAAGGAAUGUAUCUAGACAUAUUUUAGUUCUAAAUACAUUUCUUUUUAUUAAUUUUGAUGACAAGUAUUUUUGAACGGAGGGAGUAUUUGCCGUCUUCAAAACAGCCCUCGGGGACCAGUUUAAGAGGUGUUCUUUUUAUACGUUCGGCUACUGGGCUCGAAAUCAUAAAUUAGCACCCAACGUGGGCUUUUGUGUCCAACCCAGUUCUGGGCCCUUGACGACGACUUCUUCUCUGUUACACGGCCUGCUCUUCAUUUCACCAGAUCCCGCAUCGCGUCAGUGACUAGGGCGAGAUGAGCAGCCGCCGCCACCUCUCGCCGCCGGCGGCGCCGCUGGAUGACGAAAACCUACUCCCCGAGAUCCUCCUCCGGCUCCCGCCGCAGCCCUCCUCCCUCCCCCGCGCCUCCCUCGUCUGCAAGCGCUGGCGCAGCCUCGCCUCCGACCCCGGCUUCCUCCGCCGCUUCCGGAUCCACCACCGCCGCAGCCCUCCCCUCCUCGGUUGCUUCUUCCAAGAACCUCACGGUAUCUCCUUCCUACCUGCUCUCGAGGCCCCCAACCGUGUCCCUCCUGGCCGCCUCUCUUUCCAGUCCACCCACAGUAACGGCCUUCGGCUACUCAACUGCCGCCAUGGCCUCGUGCUCAUCGCCGACAAGACUCGGCACGACCAAUUCCUCGUGUGGGACACCAUCACCGGCGAGCAGUACCACCUAGCCGUCCCCGCGCUGUUCGACACGGCAGUGGCGGUGCUGAUAACCGGGGCGGUGCUUCGUGCUGUGGGAGACACCCAUCACUUCCAGGUGGUCUGUGUAGCAACACGCAGACGCGAUCCGCAACGUCGACAAGCAGCCUGCGUUUACUCGUCGGAGACGGGCGCGUGGGGAAACGUCAUCUCGACACACAUUCCGUCCGACCUCGACUCCCAGUCAAGGUUUAAUCUCUACUUAUUUGGCAUCACAACGACCCCAGCGCCCGCAAUGCUUCUCGGGGACUCUCUUUACUGUACUCUUACUGAUGAUUCAUCAAGCAUCCUUGAAUUUGAUCUUCUGAGGCAAAGUCUGGCUGUAAUACGGAUGCCCAAGGAUGUGUAUAAGUAUAAAGGUCACAUCACGGUUACAAGGGCAGAUAGUGGUGGGCUGGGUUUCCUCAUGGUGACAGACUUCACCCUGCAAUUAUGGAAGCGGAAGAUUGAUUGCGAUGGUGUUGCCUCAUGGGGGCUGGAAAAAACUAUUGAACUGGACAAGCUGCUUUCCCUUAAUCCAGAGAAGGGCAGCAUUAUGAUACUUGGGUUUGCUGAGGAAAACAAGAUGGUGUUCCUGGGGACAUUUAUUGGCCUCUUUGUACUCCAGCUUCAGUCAUUGCAGUUCAAAAAGCUAUCCGAAACCGAAACCGUAUUUCACUGCCAUCCAUUUGAAAGUGUGUAUACUGCAGGUAAUAGCAUGCCUUUCACAGUGUGGGUAUGACAAAAACAGGCUAUUUUUUGGAUAAUUGGUUUAUGGAAUGUUGUUGACAUCCUUUGGUAAUAAGCUAAUAAUUCUAAGUAGUGUCAUGUCGGUUAUUUAUAUUGCUGCUUCAUGGUCUCUUCAUUAUGUAGCGCUAUUGUUCUGUGGCGUUUUUUCUGUGGUGGCAUUCUAUGUAAUGCUUCUGAGCUGGACAAAAUAUUUGAUAGCGAUAUCUAGUACAGUAAAUGUCAGCAGUUCUUAUGUAGCCAGGUGGCAGGUUGUCAUUGUUCUAGUGUGGCUUGUUUAUUGUGAUUGAAGCAGAGGGGCAUUGGGUAUGCCUUCUUUGUCGAAAAAAGUAUCAACUUUCUUUCGAAUAUUCUGACACUAUUAUUAUUACUACUAGUAUUGUUACUAUCAUUGGACUUUAAGCCUAGCAGGCUUUCUGUCUGUCUAAUUUUAGCGUAUGAGGAUCCAUAGAUAAAACAGGUAACACCAGGUUGAAAAUUGUCCGUAUAAUAACUGAACUAAAUGUCAUUUUGCCUGCCUCUUCACAUAUGCUAUGCAAGAACUUUAUAUGGUAGUGGUAGUGCAUAGCUGAGUGCAGUUUUUUCCUCAAGAUGAACUACUACAUAACAGUUGGAAUCUGAAGAUAACGACAUGAAACUUACAAUGUCAAAUGUAUAUAGCUUAAUACAUGCAGUUGGAAGCUUAAUGCUAGUUACAGUUCUGUCAUUCAAUAUUGUUAACCCGCUGAUCUUCUAAUAUUUGUAAAUCCACAAAAAUGGAAGGGUUUCAAAUUUAGGAAAGUAUUGAUGAUUUUAUCACUUGGAGGAGAGUCUUGCUGUGAGUCUCAAGUCCAUUGGCACCAGUAUUUAAGAAAAAACUGAGUUCACUUCAUAUUUUCAGCCUAGAUUCAUUUAUUAAUAUAAUCUUAAUCUGAAUUGUCAUGAUCACUUAUGUUGAUAGGAUAGAUUAGUAUGAGCACAUCUGUUGUGUUUGAUAUGGCGUGAAAUGAACUGAAAAUAAUUCUAGUUAACUUCUCUUUUCUGAUUAGCUAAUAGUCUGAGGUUGCAUGUUCUUCAUUUUGAUGGUAUUAAUGAAUAUAUGCUGUUUUGAGGGAUAUUCCUUGAAGUUGACUAGAAGUAUGGUUUUGUCUACCCAUUUCUAAUGUUGUUUCAACCCUGAGAUUUUUCUUUCCUUUCUAAAAUUACACCCAUAGGUUUAUCUGAAUAUCUCCUUGAUGCCUUCUCAUAUCUACUUGUUUUCUUUUGGAAUAUAAUUGGUUAUUUGACUUAUUAUCCUUCCAGAAACAGAUGUUGGCGGUGAACAUGGUCGAGCUGAACUUUUGAACAAUGCAUAAGGUGACUGGCUGAUCAGAUACACUAUCAUGAUAUAUUGGUUGAUCAGGUAAGCUUAUCUUCUCCAUGUAAGUUGAGGUAUCUGAAAUGUUAUUUUUGUUGUAAAUGAUGCUACCUCUACAAUUACCAAAUGUUAAGAGAGGACUCCCAAGAUUCUCCAUACGAGCCUUUGCUAAACUGUUGCUCACCUGGCUACCUCCUGUCAUGCUUGCAUGGCAGUCUGCUUUACUGGAUCUCUUCUGUUUGUGUUGCUUCCUCAUCCCUUCCCCAGCAGCUUUCCAUCCCCUUCGUAAUGUGCCUUUAGAGCAUCUCCAACAGGCGCGGCAAAACGCGCGCCCACGCGGUAAAAUCAGUUUUUCGCGUGCGCCGGUUGGUUCCGCGCUCUCCAGCGGUGGCGGGAAGUUACCGCGCGCGGGAAGCGUUUGCGCGUGCGCGGUAGAAAGCGGCACGCGGCGCGCUAGAUUUGGCGCGCCGCUUCGCGCGCGUCUAUAAAGUCCCGCGCUUCGCCACGCGCACAGAACAGCCACGCGCCCUUCUUCUCGCAAUCUCGCCGCGUCGCCGCUUUCUGCGCCACCAGCGUGCCACCACCGCGCCACCAUGCCGCCGCGCCGCCGGGGUGCUUCGGGCUUUCGCGGCGUCCGCGAGCGCCGCAACGGUUGGUACUCUGCCGAGAUACGGGCCGGCGACGUCCGGCUCGGCCUCGGGACGUUCCGGAGCGCGCGCGAGGCGGCCCGCGCGUACGACGCUGCGGCGUGGCGCUUGGAGAGGCCCCGGUCCCAGAUGAAUAUCCGGGACGUCUUCACGCGCGAGGGGGCGCAGCGCCUCACCCCUCCGCCGCGUCUCAUCACGGACAUGGACCGCGCCGACCAUGCUCGGCGGCAGCACCGUCUCCUCGUCGCCGAGGAGGACGAGCGAGCCAUGGCGGAGUGGCGCCGUCGCCACCCAGAGGACGUCGACGCCGAGCGUGCCUACUGGGCAGAGAGGACGGCAAGGCGCCGCUCGGAGCGGGCGGACCGGCGUCAGCGGAAGGCAGUGGCGGACGAGCAGUGCGACAUCGUCUCCGCAGGUGGGAGGUCGUUCUUCACCUCGGACGAUCAAUGUUGGGACGACGUAUGGCUCUCAACCUCGGACGACACCGACGAGGAUGACGAUGGUGAUGGUAGCGACUUAGAGUAGUUUUCUAUCUAUGUAUGCCGUAGUAGUUUCUAUCUAUCUAUCUAUGUAUGUUGAACUAUCUAUCAUCUAUGCCGUAGUAGUUGCACCGAUGUAAAAUAUCUAUGUAUCGCUUUUUUUAUCUAUGCAAUUUUAAUUAAAAAAAUAUUAUAGAAUGAGCGCGGGCGCUGCAUUUUACUGCGCCUGCUGGAGCUGCGCCCGCGCGGCUUUUCAGCGCGGCUGCUGGAGCAAACGCUGCGCGCGGCACCAAACCAGGCGAUGGGCGCGCGUCAAAUCCGUUUUUACCGCGCGGCGCGUUGGGCGCCUGUUGGAGAUGCUCUUACCCAGCUACUGGAUUUGCUCUUUAGCUUGCCCUCCCUUCUUCAUCCUUAGUUCUCCAGUUCCUUCUGAUAAUGCAAGUGCUUCUCUCCCUCUAGAUUCCCAGAUGACAGUUGACUUGGGAACCUUUCCCAUUCCUUAUUGCUGUGUUCGUGCCUCCUCAUAGAUGAGAAUGCAAUGCUAAGUAGUAGCAGAAUAAAUACUUCCCUUUACUAUGCUUUUUCAACAUUUUCUGGUCUUACUUUUACUGGUUGGUACAUUGCCUUUGAUUUUUAUAUUUUUAUGUGGUCAUGGAUCUAUCAAGUCCUCUAUUUUGAUUUUUUUGUUAUCCCUCUACGCAAGUAAUUGGUAACUAAAAAAUCUCUUAGCAGUUGGUUUCAAAUUCCUUUGCUUGUGCAGGCUUAUAGCUAUGCCAUUUAACCUUGCUGCUGAUUUGGGAUUGUUAUAAUGCCUAGUGCUACAUUUUAGACUGUUACAAUACUCCAAGAGCAUGUCCUCAUUAGAUCUUAUACUACUAUUUGUUGUUUUGCCUGCAUUACUAAUUUCUUAUGGACAAUAAUGCUAUUUAGCUGGUUUGCUUAAAUAUUUUCUCUUCAUAUAUUAGUUUGUCUGUCCAACUGUGCUCAUGUAAUUGGUCAUUUGGCCAUUAGCCUAUAAUAUACUUUGCCUGAGCCUGAUCCAAACAUAUUAUUGCAUGGUUUAUGUGCAGUCUGAUUUCUUCUGUUUUAGUUACCACAGGUGUUUAAAUUUUUUGUUGAACACAUGAUAUAAAAAUUACAUGGCUAGAUUCGUCACUGAAAGUGCUUUCAACAAAAUUGCACUUCGUCAUGUUUCAUAUCGUAUUAUCAAGAGUAAUGGUCAAAGUUUUGCCUUUUAUGCUGUGGAUAGUCUUAUAAAAAUGGACUUGUAUUUGGACCAAAGUAGUAUCAACAUAUAUGCCCAUCAGCUAAAAAUCAAAUUUUUUCGUUUACUACUACAUGAGCCCCUCGUAGUCAUAUGCACAUGCACAUCAUAACAUAAUGUUUUAAACUAUCAUAAGGUAGGUUGUUCAGUGUUUGACUCCAAGGCCAUUGAUCAUGUAGAAUGGAUUAUGAGUCCAGGGACUAGUCAAGACUAGUCUGUUGACUAGUCUAUGAGCCUCAACUCCAGGGCCGACUACACUCCAGUGUCGACUAGUCUAUGAGUCGCAACUUAUGUGUCGACUAGUGUCGAUUAGUCACGCUUAGUCUAUGAGUCUCAACCUCGUAACGACUCGUCGACUCAUAAACCUUGUCAUGUAGCUUCUUAGAUCAAAGCAAGAAACUUGAGGAUAUGUUAACAAUAGAAGGCAUACUAGUAUCCCCAUUGAGGUGUGGAGAGGCCUCGGGGACGUAGUGAUAGUAUGGCUAACCAAUCUUUUCAACCUCAUUUUUUUUGGAAACAAGAUGCCGGAAGAAUGGAGAUGGAGUAUAUUAGUACCAAUCUUCAAGAACAAGGGGAAUGUACAGAGUUGUACUAAUUACCGUGGAGUUAAGCUGAUGAGCCAUACAAUGAAGCCAUGGGAGGGAGUCAUUGAGCACCACUUAAGAAGAAUGACAAGCGUGACCAAAAAUUAGUUUGGUUUCAUGCCUAGGAGGUCGACAAUGGAAACCGUUUUCUUGGUACGACAACUUAUGGAGAGAUACAGGGUGCAAAAGAAGGACCUACAUAUGGUGUUGAUUGACUUAGAGAACUCCCAUGAUAAGAUACCACGAAAUGUCAUGUGGCGGGCCUUGGAGAAACACAAAGUCCCAGCAAAGUACAUUACCCUCAUCAAGGGCAUGUACGAUAAUGUUGUGACAAGUGUUCGAACAAGUGAUGGCGAUACCAAUGAUUUCCCGAUUAAAAUAGGACUGCACUAGGGGUCAGCUUUGAAUCCUUAUAUUUUUGCUUUGGUGAUGGAUGAGGUCACAAGGGAUAUACAAGAAGAUAUCCCAUGGUGUAUGCUCUUUGCGGAUGAUGUGCUGCUAGCCGAUGAUAGUUGGACGAGGGUUAAUAGGAAGUUAGAGCUAUGGAGACAAAUCUUGGAAUCAAAAGGCUGUAGACUUGGUAGAACUAAAACCGAGUACACGAGGUGCGGUUUCAGUACUGCUAGGCACGAGAAGGAGGUUAGCCUUGAUGGGCAGGUGGUGCCUCAGAAGGACACCUUUCGAUAUUUGGGGUCAAUGCUACAGAAGGAUGGGGAUAUUGAUGAAGAUGUGAACCAUCGAAUCAAGGCCCGAUGGAUGAAGUGGCACCAAGCUUCUGGCAUUCUUUGUGACAAGAGAGUGCCACAAAAGUUAAAAGGCAAGUUCUAUAGGACGACGGCUCGACCCGCAAUGUUGUAUGGCACUGAGUGUUGGUCAACUAAAAGGCGACAUGUUCGACAGUUAAGUGUGGCGGAGAUGCGCAUGCUGAGAUGAAUGUGUUGCCACACGAGGAAUGACCGAGUCUGGAAUGAUGAUAUACGAUAUAGAGUUGGGGUAGCACCAAAUGAAGAGAAGCUUGUCCAACAUCGUCUGAGAUUGUUUGGACAUAUUCAGCCCAGGCCUCCAGAAGCUCCAGUGCAUAGCGGACGGCUAAAGCGUGCUGAUAUUGUGGAGAGGUCGGGGUAGAUCGAACUUGACAUGGGAGGGGUCUGUAAAGAGUGGUCUGAAGGACUGGAGUAUCACCAGAGAACUAGUCAUGGAUAGGGGUGCGUGGAAGCUUGCUAUCCAUGUGCCAGAACCAUGAGUUGGUCGCGAUAUCUUAUGCCUCUAAUUUAUCAGUACAAAUUUAUUUAUUUAUUUUCAACAAACCACUGUCUUCUUAUUGAUGUUCGUAAUUUCUAUUGUUGGUUUCGUCCAAUAAUGCUGAGAAGAUUCAGCUUUGAGCACUUGGCACUAGUUCCAUAGUGAUAUUUAAGGAAUGCUAACUGCCUGAGUCAUACCGAAGUUGUGAGAUGACAAGGAUGGGAUGCCUCAGGCGAAAGCCUAGUGCCAACCUUGUCGGCAACGAUGAUGGCGACGCCUUCGGGCACCGCUUCCCUUCAUGGAGGCAUCAUUUGAGAGCUACCGUUGCCCGCUCUUUCCUGUGCUCUGGGCGAAAGCCUCAGAUCCUUCUCUUGUGCGGUGGAAUGAUCUGUGGCGGCAACCGGUGCCUUGGUAUGGUUGACCUAUCCCUUGGUCAUCCUGGUGCUGAUGGUUGAUGGUGAGGUCUCAGGUGUUUAGUGCCCUUUGAAGGCGCCUGAGGUUUUGUUGCAUUGCAUAGUGCUCUGGUUCCCUCUAUUUGUGAUGGCGGUUCCGCUCUUCGCGAUCUGCCCAGUGGUGAUGGGUGCUAAAUUCUUGGUUUUGGCUGCUUGUCAUAGCUCGUUUCUGGUUGUUCUUCUGUUGUUCCCUGUCACUUGUGUAUGUUAGGUGCUACCUGUUGUAGCUGCUGUGUUGUAUCUCAAUCUUGUUUUAUCAAAAUGAAAAUCUUUUAGGCUGACUUUUUCCCACUGUAGCAAACAAAGAAUAGUUACAGGUUGGUCUCGGUGUUUGGCUGAUAUGGCGUUGGUUGUUCUGCAGGUACCUGGAGUUACUGUUUUGAUGGCUGAGAUGCAGAACGGCUUCUUUGCUUUAAGUUCUAUGCACCAUGUACUGGUCAGCGCUGUAGUGGAGUAGGAAUUAAUUUGAACAUUUUGUUCCCUCAUGACUAUUAUGUAAUUUGAACAUUGUGUUAAUUCAUGCAUGUCAUGUAUUUUCUGUAAAAGUUAAGUCAACUGGCACGAAGACGUAGUGACUUGCUUAGAUUAAUUAGACCCCAUGAUGUCCCAUCUGUGUAUGCUGAAUUUUUAUCUCUGUUUCUCACGGUGUCAGUAAUGAAUGUUCAGUUAUUCUGUUUUCUUUCUUCAGACAUAUGGAACUAUUUUAGAGUCAUUGUGAUCCAGACAGGAAUAGGUAAAUGAAGGGAAAAAUAUGGAUUAGCUUCUGCACAUUGAUAACCGCUUGUAUUUUUGAGAUUCUGGGAUAAAAAUUGCUGUGCUCGUCCCAGGUGACCCUUGUUAGUGGAGAAAUUUUGGCGGACAAUCCUGUGAACAUCCUUUUGUUUCUUAUAUGCUCGCAUGACUAUACAUUACACACGAAUCACUUUUGCAUUACACACCACGAUCUGAUCAUGCACACGGAUCAAGAUGAAAUCACAUUGAUAGCUUGUUAUGAAAUUGUUGUUUGUGAACUUUCAGCUCUGAUUUGAUUUGAACUUUAAAUGCUUACUAUAUACUAUAGAUAUAGCUUCCCAUUUGACUUGGUAGUAAGGACAGGUCAAGUCUGAAGCUUUCAGAGAUUCAUAGUUAACUUUCAGCUCUGAUUCAGAUUGAGAGCUGAGGAUACAUAUUCUAUACCACAUCAAUUGAUUGUUUACAUGGAAGUGAUUAUGGCUGCAAACGAGUCGAGUUCGAGCGAGUUGACCUAAGCUCAGCUCAACUCAUAUUAAAAUUCGAGCGGACCCAAAAUGUGCGAAGCUCAAGGUCAAGUUGUAGAAAGUGGCUCAUGCUCAACUAGUAACGAUCUCGAGUUGAUCUCGGCCUAGUUUCCAGCUAAAUAAGACGAUUUUUCGAAUUAUUUUAUGGCAAAUUUUAAAGUAAGAUAGGUCACAACAGAAAAUAUCAGUAUAAAAUUAGACUUAUUCUUUGUUAACUUAUGACUAGUAUUUAAUAACAAGAGAUCGUGGAUAGAAGACAACAAAGGUGGCCAAAAUAACAAUAUAUUGAACACAAGGUUGGCCACAUGUCAUAUUGAGGCUAAAUUUUCUCCACGCUUAAUUUCAAUAUUUGCUAGUAGGUAAAAUGAAGAAAUAAUAUCAUACAUAACAUAUAUGGCAAUGGAUGAUCCUAAAUUCUUCAUAAUAGACAUGAAGAUUAUUUAAUAUACUUGUAUGAUAUCAAUCUAUCGAGCUAGAAUCGAGCGAGCUAAUGUAGGCUCAAGAUCAACUCGUUUCUCCAUCGAGCUACACAAAAUGCUCAUACUCAGCUCAUUUCUUUUCGAGUCGAUCUCUAGUUGAGCUAAAAUACGAGUCGAUCUCGACCGGCUCAUGAGCCUUGAGUUUUUUUUUUGCAGCUCUAGAAGUGAUAUCUUAAGCAGAAGCAUGGAGCAUUCAAUUUGUACAUUCAGCCAUUACCCAUUGGGUCCAUCCAGGCCCGGCCCUGAUGGGGGGGCAGGGGGGGCGGCCGCCCCGGGCCCCCGAAAAUGGGGGCCCCCAGGUUUGUGCUCUUCCCUGUUAAUACGAUUGGGCUCUAGUUCGUAAAUAAUGAUAAUUGGGCCUACGUUACGUGCACUGAUCACGUUUGGGAGAGAUCGAUCACCCACGCUGAUCACGCACGAUGACCAUCGUCCAUCCUCGCCUGUAGCCUCCUAUUUUUUCGCCUGAUCUCCUGGAAACCUAAUCGCCCGCAGCCACUGGCCGCCGCCAUGGAGCAGACACUAGAUACCCACGCCACACCAUGGCACAUCGAUGCCGCAGCUCCAGCCUACGCCAUCCGCCGACGAUUUCAGAUAAGACGUCUUUUUCCUUAAUGAUGCCCUAGAACUGCUGCUUGACGUGGUGAGGCUUUUGUCGGCCGUAGUGUUGCACAGAACGACACAAGUAUGAAAGCGAAGGUCCCCUUGAUCAUAGUCUUCAAUCCUCAGAACCAGGCGUGGAAGCCUGUGAACAGUUUCAAGGAUUUGUACAAGGAUCAGUGGUACAUUGCUGGGCUGCCACAUCCAGGUACGUAAGAUACCAUGUAAACUCUUGAUGCAAGGAAAGUUUUGUAGCUUUCAGCUUUUUGCAUCUUGGCUGUGUAAAACUGUUUGAUGAAAGGUAGUGUUUGUAUGCACUUGCAAUGCGAAAUUAUAUUCACUUUUUCAUUCUGAAAAAAUACCAACGAAAUGUAAGACACAGCCCAAUAUAUGACUAUGUGGUCGAUUCUGUUGGAUUAAUUAGGACUAGUUGGCGCACCAUCAAUAAAAUAAGAACAUGAUAAUGCUAAUGUGAUCAAACCUGAUAAGCCAGUUAGUAAAAACUUCAUUACUCUGUCUGGUGUUGUUAAAGGACUUCAGCAGUGUAAAGGAGCAGUGUAAAGGAAGGGAUUGGUGCUUUAUAUAUAAAGUGGGGCGAAAGCCUUUUUCGGUAAUAUGCAAACGAAUGCACAUGAAGUAAUCGAACAUUAUUCUUCUAUAGAAAAUGAUUAUCAUCCCUACAUGAUUUGUUAGUAGUAUGGUGUAGAAGCAAAAUCUUAAAGUUGCGCAAAGUAUAUGCUGAAAAUAAUUUUUGAAAGUACAAAGGGCCCCGGAUUCUGGUUUCGCCCCGGGCCCCUAAAAUCUCAGGACCGGCCCUGGGUCCAUCGCGUCGACGUUACCUACUGGGAGAUGUAUGCAUUUUGCAAUAUGGAGGUCAGGUGGCGCAGCCGCUGCGUCCGGCAUGUGCGGGUCAGCAGCGGCGCUGUCAGCCUUGGCCGGCUACGUGGAGGUGAUGGUCGAAAGCCUUGCCAGUGCUUGCCGGCUGGCGGCGGCGGUGCCUGUGGGCGUCACCAUCCUCCUUGGAGGUGCCAUCGUGUUCAUGUGCAUCAUCAACUUCCGGAUCGAGCUCUUCAGGCUGGGCCGGGCAACGACGUCGUCGCUACGGCGUUUCUUCCUUUGGGGCGUUGCUUUAAAGACCAGUGAUCCUUCACUAUUCUUCCCUUGGGCUGGACAUGCACGACAUCACGGUUGGCAGGUGCCCAAUCGGUGAUGCGAGUGGUUGGCACUGCGACUCGUGUGACAACGAUAACAGUGACUUGUAGAGGGUCAAGGCUUGUCCUUCAGAUGUUGACGGUGCGGUUUAUCAAUAGGUGCGCCUAUGUGUCGCGCCCCACGGCAACGAUGACUCCAUGAGGUUGGUUUUAGUGGGUGGUGCUCUUCGGAGGUUGCGCUGGACUAGGUCGGUGCGAGGCCUGCAACUUUCUCCUGCGAUGCGCAUUAGCAAAAUCGGAGCUGCCAGUCCUCGACGUCUAUGGUAAAUUGUUUGGCCCUCACCGGCUAGGUUCUCAGGUGUCGUUUGUUUGAAGGGAUCUUAAUGGGUCUCUGGCGGCGAAGUCGGAGUCGCCUGUUCGGGGAGAGGUGACGAUGAUGACAUGGCAGACAACCUCGCCGGUUUCCUUUUCUCGGCGGUGUGUAUGGUCUUGUUGGUGCCAGAUCAACCGGGUGCCCUUUCUUGUGGGCGUGUUGUAAUGGUUUUGCCCGUGUUUCCAUUAUUUACUGUGCAACUCUAUUCUACUCCAUCUCUCCCAUAAUAUAAGAACGUUUUUGAUAUUAACAUAGUUUCAAAAACAUUCUUAUAUUAUGAGACGGAGGAAGUAUCUUUUUUUAAUAGUUUUGCUAGAACUCAUCUAGACGAGGUAUAAUUUGGUCUCAUUCACCUUUUAUAGUCAUUGGAUGUGAUGCUAUAACAUGCGUGUCUGCUGACGUGGGUUGUAUCUGUUUUUGUUUUUAAAGUGAAUGAGACCAAAUUAUAUCUCAUCUAGAUGAGUUUUAGGUACUCCUUCUUUUAAUGAAUAGGGCCCUAAGGGACCGCGUUCCAGAAAAAUAAAAAUGGAGGUGCACUACACGUUAGAACCCUAUAGUGAACUUUAUUCUACAACUCAGACUGUAGCUUCAUAUGUAUCUCUGCAUAGCGGAGCCACAAUAUAUCUAUGAAAUUAUGAAGAUGACUGGAUUUUGCAUCAUGAUGUUAGAUGUGUUCGGUAGAGAAUCUACAAUCCCUUGCAUUUGCGGCAGUAUUACAUAUUCGGUGUGAUCCAUACCUCUGAAGGAACAUGCACCCUCCAACCUUUAGGGAUCCCUUCAACGGGAAAAGCAUUCUCAAAGAUCCUUGUUUCCAUGUCAUGUGACCUUACAAUUCCCCAUCCAUGACAACGGCCAACUAAAUCAAAUGUUUCUGUCAUCCAGGGAGCUGAGAAAUAGAUACAUUGAGGUCUUAACCCAGGGAAUUUCUUUGAGGGUAAGCACGCCGAGUGAUUCAGUCCAACAAAUAUCGCAUGGUCCAUCAAGUCGUCGGGUGAUAUCUUCUUGCAUCCUUCGGGAUGAACCUUGCCAAUUAGAAACCUAACACGAUCCACACGGUUUGCAGAAAUGGCCUGGACCUGCAAGAGAUCACCCCAUGGUGUAGACACCAAGUGCCUGGUAAGAACACAUGAAAAUGUUCUAUGUGCGAUAAUCGCCUCCUUUGUCGGGCCGUUCGGUCCAUCAAGAUGAUAUUUCUCUACUAUUCCAAGGUAUGUCACGCUGUAGAACCUCCCAUUGUGGUAUGCACAGUCUGCAUAUCGAUCAUGUUCCUUUAUAGAUAAAGUUGAGGCCACUUGCCACUUGGUCUUUCCUGCCCUCGCAAAAGAGAGCCAAUUGCUAUCAUAAUGGAUGAUCAUGGCAAUGCAGUCACCAUCUUUGGAUGGAGCACAGGACAACACUGCCUUCUGGUAGAACCAUGUUGCCAGAUAUCUUGCAUCAUAGAAUCUAUAGUUUAAAAGGCGAUAACCUUCUAUGUUUCCUUGUUCAUCAUAUACAGCCUCCACAAACGAGAAAUCGUUGAUCGGCGGUAACGGGACCAUGUCCGAGGUGAUGGGGUUGAAGAGAAGUAGAUUGGAGAGGUGGUUCACCAGGACCAACCAUCCAUGAGAAGCUCCAGCACAUGCAACGAAACAAUCCUUGGGAAAAUCGACAUCAUAAGACUUGUUGACGUCUAGGAGAUGGCGAAGCUUGCAGGUCAUGGUCGAGCUGCAGUUGAUCUUGGGUUGACUCUCCUCCUCCACGAGAUGUGUCCAAGACAUGAGCCACGUUCUGCAAGAAGAUGGGACGCCGGCGGCAGCAGCAGCUCCGCGCCAUGAUGCGCAGACUGACGCGAAAGCGAGGGAUUCCCGGAGCUGGAGGCGUUGGAGGAUUAUGAGGAGGAGAUCCGUCGGGAGGUCCGACCAAUUGGACAUUGCGUAAGAGCCUGCCAUUGUUGAACAAAAUAUUCUUCCUAUUAUGUGCUUGCCUGCAGGUUAUGUAUAUAUAGCAAGACAAACAAACGAUCCGAUACAUAUACUGGUCGGACUCGGACAAUGAAUAUGUUGUGAUGAGUGGAAUCUCUAUCUUUAUAAUUAUCUCUACUAGAAGAACGCCCGUGCGUUGCAACGGUGCCAUAUUAACUUUAAAAGUUCAAUAUCAAUUAUGUUAAUAUUACAUUUAAUAUUCUCAUACAUAUUAAGUGACAUUGACGACCUUUUUUACCAUCAAAUUCUCACACACACACCCUCUCCCUCCCUCUUCCUCGCUCUCUCUCCCCCUCUCCCUCACUGGGAGGUGGGACGAAAAUAAACCCGGAACGAAGACUACCAACUGAGACAUUAAGAGUAGAGAUUAUUUAGUUGAUAAGAAUAAAUAGAAAAAGGUGUUAAAAAGGAGAAACAUAUUAGAAUACAUUGAAGAACCAAAAUGACGAUGUAAAAGGGGAUUCGCCCUGCCCCCCGGGCCUUGCCACCGAACCGGCUCAGUGGUCCAGUCCCCGCGCAGUCGUCUUCUCCUGUUCCCCGAGCCGCGUCGCUACAGAGCCGGGCUCCCACCCGACCACCUCGCUGGCAUCAAAGGGGAAUGGAUAAGGGUGACGCCCUUCCUUCCCUGCCCCAUGGCCUCACUCCUCCUCGACGUCCCCUCCCAAAUCCACUUCUCCUCCUCGCUCACUCGAUCCCGUCGAUCUAGACGAAGUCAGACGCCACGGCCACCAUGACCAACCCCGUCCACAUGGCCACUGCCCUCCCUGCGGGCUAUGAGCUUAUCGAGCAGCUCCGAACGCCUUCGCUACUUCGUUGUGCCAACAAGAUCAAGUCCAGCACCCCCGCAUCGACGUCACUGCCGUCUUCCUCAACCUUGGGCCACUACGACAUUGUCGUUCGAUCCGCGCCGCCCCGAGCUCCCAUGUCUUCCUCUAGGGCACCAUUGACACCGCCACGAUCUCCUCUUGCCUUUCCCCUGUUUCCCCUCUCGUUUGCUCUCGUUAGGUAUUUCGCCGUGGCCGAGAACCGCCGUCCGCCAUGGCCAUUGCAGGGGUAGCCAUCGAGCUCCUCGGAGUGACCCCGUGGCACAUGCCCGCUCCUAUGCACGCCCAUGCCCGAGCUUGGCGCUCUUCUUUCGCGCCCGCGGGGCCACUCCCUCUCCAUGCCCACGCCGUGCUACACGGCGUCGGUCGCGCCCGCCGCUGCCGUCGUGCUCGCCGCAGCCACCGCACCAUUGUGCCCCCGCAUGACACACACCCUGGCCGCGCGCCACACUCUCGCUGGCUGCGCUCGCCCCGUCUGCUGCCGCCUAUCCUUCGCUUGCCCCGCUGUCGCGCCCCUGCCUCGCGCCGCCUCCAGUUGUGGCCAUCUUCUGCCGGCCGCCCCCUCAGCCACGCCGGCCGCAUCUCUGCCCUCCACCGUCGGCCGCUCACCUCGCCUGCUACGUGUUGCUUCCUGUUACUAUGCGCUGCUCUACCGCUGGUACGCUACUGCGCCAUGCCCUCGACACCGCCGUGGACAAAUGUGACGGAGGGAUUGUUAAUGGAGUACGAGAAGGAGGUGGCGGAGAAGGUGUGGAGAGGCAGGAGGUCUGGGGCGGUGUCACCUGGCUGUGGUGGAGGUGUUUAUGCGAGAAGGAGCCGGAGUGGAAGGAGAGGUCACAAUUGGAAAGAAUCGCAAAAAAAAAAUCAUAACCCGGAGAUCUCAGUUCAGAAAAAUGCUAAUAUCGAUGGAGGGGUGAUUUCUUUCAAUGGGUGGAAAACAUAGGAAAUAUUGGUUGUUAUCAAGGAAAGGUAAAAAUUUAGGAAAGUUAGAAUUUUUGAACUAAUUUCUAUGCAAAUGGGGUUUUAUUGUUUGGUAACAUGAUAUCAGAACCUGCCCGUUUGUGACGUGUCUGAUUAGGAAAGUUUGCAAAUGUUAAGAAACUAUUUAUUGGAAGGAAAGUUGUGACGUGUCUGUUAUUUGUUUCCUAAGACAAAUUGAACCAAUAAAAGAAAUCAUUGAUUUGCAUAAUUUAAGGAAGUUAGAUUAAAAUGUAUUAUUUGUUUCCUAAAAAUCUGUUAUUUGUUUCCUAAGACAAAUUGAAAGGAAUCGAUUGAUUUGCAUAAUUUAAGAAAGUUAGAUUACAAUGUAUUAUUUGUUUCCUGAAAAUCUGUUAUUUGUUUCCUAAGACAAAUUGAACCAAUAAAAUUUAAGGAAGUUAGAUCCGUGAUUUGUUAUACGUUAGGAAAGUUCUGGUUGUAAUAAAGAGUGGAGAGAAAAAUAAACCGAUGGACCAGAGUGGGAGGGGGUGGUGGGAGGAUAGACGAAAAAAACUAGUAAAAAUAAACAGCGGACUAGGGUGGGAGAGGGUGGUGGGAGGAGAGACGANNNNNNNNNNNNNNNNNNNNNNNNNNNNNNNNNNNNNNNNNNNNNNNNNNNNNNNNNNNNNNNNNNNNNNNNNNNNNNNNNNNNNNNNNNNNNNNNNNNNNNNNNNNNNNNNNNNNNNNNNNNNNNNNNNNNNNNNNNNNNNNNNNNNNNNNNNNNNNNNNNNNNNNNNNNNNNNNNNNNNNNNNNNNNNNNNNNNNNNNNNNNNNNNNNNNNNNNNNNNNNNNNNNNNNNNNNNNNNNNNNNNNNNNNNNNNNNNNNNNNNNNNNNNNNNNNNNNNNNNNNNNNNNNNNNNNNNNNNNNNNNNNNNNNNNNNNNNNNNNNNNNNNNNNNNNNNNNNNNNNNNNNNNNNNNNNNNNNNNNNNNNNNNNNNNNNNNNNNNNNNNNNNNNNNNNNNNNNNNNNNNNNNNNNNNNNNNNNNNNNNNNNNNNNNNNNNNNNNNNNNNNNNNNNNNNNNNNNNNNNNNNNNNNNNNNNNNNNNNNNNNNNNNNNNNNNNNNNNNNNNNNNNNNNNNNNNNCUUUAUAUUUUUACUUAUAAAAACGGAAAUGUUAACGCCCACACGUGUGGGCGUUAGCCAACUCACCCACACGCCUCCAUCACCGUCCAGUAACUUCUGCACGAAUCUUGGCACGAAUUAGCUGAUUUUGUAUGCCAUGUAGGACAACUCGCGUAUGUGGUGUGUGAGAGAGGUCGCCCACACAUCCGUUUUACCACACGGAGGGGCCGGUGUGUGGGCGUUUAGCAGUUCGCCCACACACCAGUUUCAGUCACGCACAAGGGCUGGUGUGUGGGCAGUUUGCCAUCUCGCCCACACGGCCGCCUCCUCUCCCACACCCAAACUGCCAGUUGCCAUGCAUUUUGCAGUGUACAUGGCAACUGCCCUAGUGUGAUUGCAAGCAGAUGGCAACUCUCUUUUUUUUACCCGGACAUGUCAGUUGCCAUAUGUUUGGCAUGGUACAUGGCAAACUGCCCUAGCAUGCACGUAAGCAGAUGACAACUCUUUCUUUUUUAAAUGGCAACUGCCCUAACGUGCUUGUGAGCACAUGGCAACUCUCACUUUUACCCGAACAUGUUUUUUUCCAUGCCUUUUUUUUGUAGCGCUACAUGGCAACUGCCUAGUGUUACUAGGUGGCAACUCCUAAAGUUUUGAAAUCAUGGCAACUGCAGUAAACCAGACCACACAUGGCAACAACUGUAGUUGUCCAAAAAAUGGCAAUCUGGAACUUUGACCUGAGAUGGCAACUGCAGUUGAGCAAACAUGGCAACUGUAGUUGUCCGACAUGGCAACUGCACUUAAACGAACAUGGCCGAGGGUCCGACCCAUGGCAACUGCGGGGCGCGCGGUAAAGUGUCACGUGGGGCGUGCGGGACCACGAGGUACGAGGCCUGACGUACCGGGCGUGAGUGCGUUAUCUAUUUUGCCCACACGCACACGUGUAAAAGGGACCGGGAGGGAAAAAAAGAGACAUGUGGGUGCUAGUUGUUUUGCCCACACACNNNNNNNNNNNNNNNNNNNNNNNNNNNNNNNNNNNNNNNNNNNNNNNNNNNNNNNNNNNNNNNNNNNNNNNNNNNNNNNNNNNNNNNNNNNNNNNNNNNNNNNNNNNNNNNNNNNNNNNNNNNNNNNNNNNNNNNNNNNNNNNNNNNNNNNNNNNNNNNNNNNNNNNNNNNNNNNNNNNNNNNNNNNNNNNNNNNNNNNNNNNNNNNNNNNNNNNNNNNNNNNNNNNNNNNNNNNNNNNNNNNNNNNNNNNNNNNNNNNNNNNNNNNNNNNNNNNNNNNNNNNNNNNNNNNNNNNNNNNNNNNNNNNNNNNNNNNNNNNNNNNNNNNNNNNNNNNNNNNNNNNNNNNNNNNNNNNNNNNNNNNNNNNNNNNNNNNNNNNNNNNNNNNAGACGUGUGGGCUGGUCCUCUUAGGCACCACACAGAACGUGUGGGCAAAUUCCUUAACGCCCACACGUGUGGCAGUUAGCGGUGUCCUAUAAAAAGAAUGAACGCCGAUAAGUGCCACACGUGUGGGCGUUAGGAAGUCCGCCCACACAUUUUGUGUGGUGUAUAAGAGGAACAGCCCACACACCUACAUGUGGGCAAAACAAGUAAUGCCCCCACACCUCUUUUUUCCCCUCCCGAUCCCUCUCACACGCGUGCGUGUGGGCGAAGUUGAUAACGCCCACAUGCCUGUUUGUCAGGCCUCGUACCUCCUGGUCCCGCAUGCCACGCGUGACAGUCACCGCGCGCCCGCAGUUGCCAUGGUCCGGACCCUCGUCCAUGUUCGUUUAACUGCAGUUGCCAUGUCGCUGAACUACGGUUGCCAUGUCGGACAACUGCAGUUGCCAUGUAUGGUCUGGUCUAAUGUAGUUGCCAUGAUUUCAAAAUUUUAGGAGUUGCCACAUACUAACACUAGGCAGUUGAGAGUGUUGCCAUGUGCUCACAAGCAUGCUAGGGUAGUUGCCAUGUAAAAGGAAAAGUUGCCAUCUGCUUACGUGCACGUUAGGGCAGUUGCCAUAUACAUGCAUGUUAGAGCAGUUGCCAUGUACCAUGCAAAAACACAUGACAACUCGGUAAAAGAGAGUUGCCAUCUGCUUACGUGCACACUAGGCAGUUGCCGUGUACCUUGCAAAACACAUGGCAACUCGGGUAAAAAGAGAGUUGCAACCUUCUUAUAAAGCACACUAGGGGCAGUUGCCAUGUGCACUGCAAAACACAUGGCAACCUUCCAUUUUCUUGGGUACAGCGCUGGUUGCCUGCAUUAGCCCAAGCGGCACAUGAACACGGUGUUUGGUUGCCCUCAUGGGGUAUGAUUAAGAGCUAGCACUUGCACUUAGCACACAGGAUUAAGAGCUAGCAGAGGGAGGGGGGAAGAAAUGCAGUGUGCGCCGGACCAUGGCGACUGCGGUGGAUAGUGGCUGUGGCGCCGUGUCCGACAUGACGAGCAUGGAGUCGUCGACUAGCGACCCCGUCGGCGGCACGGCGAGCGACACCGUCGAUGAACUAGUUGCGGUGCUCACGCAAAGACAGUCGACAGAGGAGGAGAAUGCAGUGCUCGCGCCAUGGUUCGUCAGUGCAGUGAACGAGAGACGAAGCCGAGAUGAUCGAUGCCGGAAAUGACUCCAGUGUAGUAGGGCGAGAGAGAGGAGGCCAAGAAGAUCGACCCCGUCGGCGGCGCGGCGAACUGCAGUGUGCACGGAGGCAGAGGACACGAGAAAAAAGUGUGCACGCCAUUGCAGCGUCAGUGCAGUAGGAGGACGACAGAGAGACCGAGAUGAGCGACGUGUCCUCGCCAGCGGCGACUCUGCUCGCCGUCGCCGCCUGCUGCGCGGUGCUCCUCGUCGCGGCCGUGCUGCCGCAGCACCACCAGCCGCAGCAGCAGCACAAGCACGUCAGGAUCGUCGGUGCAGUAAACUGCUAUUCAAAAGGAGAUGAAGUUACGAUCGUCGAAACCAAAAACUUACAACACGAAUGUUUUGAGGAACCGCGAGAUUAGGCUGCUGGUCAAAGGAAAACUCAAAUGAUCGAUCGUGCGCGACGAAUUUGACAAAAUUCGUCAAGAACAGCUUCAAACGGGAAGAUAAAAUUAAGAACUUACAGCCGACAAAACUACGAACUGAUCGCCUGAAUGAAACCAUAGCAUCGAGGUGCAUCUUUUUCGUGUAGAGCUUACCUUGAAUCGAAGCACCGUUGUGUAGAUCAGAAUGGGCUAGGAAGAACAGAAUUAGAGGGAAGGUUAAUGGAGGUAGGAAGAUAAGCACGGGUAGGCUGCAUAUCAGCUAGUAUCCCCAGAGAUGUUUUAAGUUUGUUAUGCAGGCCCAAUAAUAAAGCCAGGCAACUAAACAGCCCGUUCACUUCCCGCGUGGGCCUUGUUGGACCUCACACUGGCAACCAAACACGCCCUGGAUGAGAGACUCGGGCAUCUGACACACCGGCAGAUAGCUGCUAAAGGAGGCGAGCGGCGGUGGCGGCUCAAGGAGGCGAGACGACCAAGCCCUCGCCACCGACCCAGGAUCCCGCAGAGGCCGACGCAUAUGGGAGGCCGAUGAUGAGGCCCUGCUGACACAGAUCGGCUUCAGCUUUGUGAUCUUCGCCUCCCUCUUCGGCAGCAGCUCCGACGCGUGCCAUAUGGUGUCGCUGCCAGGGCGAAGACGGGGCAAUAAGCGGGGGCCAGGCCACCCCUAACUACUUAUCGACUUAUCGUAGAACUCAGUACUAGUUGUCAUAGAUUUAUGCAAUGGUAAUCUGUUUACCUCUGAUAGAUUUUUGGGAUGAAUCAACCGGUGUAUAUUAGAUUAGUUCUCAUGGCCUAAGCCCAACAGGCACAGCAAAUUAAAUGGCCUAAACGCUGCAUGUUCUGGUCGUUUGAAUUGGCGACUGUAUUAGGCCUUGACCGGUUGAGAUCCCUCAACAAUUCGAUCCCAAUAUUGCCGUCGCCGCCGCUCGCUUGCUGCCGACCUGCCGUCAACUACUUCAGAAAUCAGUUGCUGCCGAUGAUGAUCGUUUGUUUGCAGCUGGUUGUGGUGAUUUUUUAACCUCAUUUCAAAGUUCAUUAUGUAAUUUAGGAUGUGAAUGAUUACCUCAAAUUUUGGAGGCUCAUGCAUGAAGUGACUAUAUGGCCCUUUUUUGGUAGAUCAUGUCUACAUUAUAUUGAUGUUUUACAUAUAUGAGAGGAGGCUCUAAGGAAAUAACCGAAUGAGCCAAUGACGAUAGCGUGGUGAGUGACACUGUCGGUUUUUGUGAUUGCUUAACCUCAUUUCAAAGUUCAUUGUGUAAUUUUCGAUGUGAAUAAUUGCGUCAGAUUUUAGACCCUUGCUUCAGGUGACUAUGACACUUACAUUAGGUGGCUAUAUGGCUCAAUGUUAUUCUACAUGCAGAUGAUGUCUAAAUCAUGUUGCUUUUUUUACAGAUAUGAGAGGACUCAGAGGAGUAUCUAAGAAAAGAUGUGAAUAAGCCAAUGUCGGUGACAUGGCCAGUGACACUAUCGGGGAGCUGAUCUUUCCUAUCCGGUGCGUUGUUCGAUAGAGUGGGCAUCUAUUUUUUUAAUUUAUGAUUCACUGAUGACAUCAUGCGUGUUGGCGGCGAUUCCUGUAGGGUAAAAUAUUCAAGUCCAACAUUAAAAUUGAUGGUUUGCAGCCAAACUAAAAUGGUUGUUCUAUCAUAUGAGGAAUGUUUAUAGGUGUUCGAAGGAAGGUUGCCCAGGCCAUGGUUUCUUUCAUUACUGUACUAUCAAUUAUGUGCCUUACAUGUUUUUUCGUUUGCUGAUGAGAUGCAUGUACCGGUUAACGAUCUUGGAUGCGGGAUAAGCUAUGUGGUUGGCAUGGUAUUCUUGGUCGAUGUGGAGCAAGACUUGGUUGACAAAGGUAUUGAUGUUUUACUAGCCGAGACCUAUGUUAUGUUCUCUGUUUGUGCCUAUGCAGAUAUCUGGUUUGGUUGGAAGGAACUACAGUUCUGAAUGCCGCUACCUCGCGUUAACCCGCACAUUGUUGCGGAAGUAUUUUGCAAUAUAUUCAGUGAUAAUUGGUUGUAUGGAACAUGAAUAUGUAGAGUAAUAAUAUGAACUAAAACUGAAAAUAAAUAUGAUUUGUGGUGUUUGGUUAUUGUAUAAUAUAACUAUCAUAAUCGAAUUUCAAUUCUCAUGCAUGUUUUUAUGUUGAGGUGUCUUUUUAUUAUGCAUGGUUGCAUGUUGUGGCGGGCCUUUCUCCAUGCAUGUUGAAUGAUGAGUUGGCAUAUUUGCAUGUUGAGAGAAAUAGGUUACUGGGGGCUAGCUAUUUAGAUAUAGAAGAUUCGUUUCAUUUCAGGUCCUCAAAAUUCUCCCUAAUGGUAGCAGUGUUUUUGUUGGUUUUCAGCCAAAUGAAUGUAAUGCUGCCGGCCCAAGUACUAGCCAGCUUCCAUGGCUUGCUGCUUCUGCUAGAGGACCAACGAAAUUGACGAGACCUUCAUUUUCUUCAUGAAUGUUGGUUGUUUUUAGUUUUCUGCGUGUAGUAUGCAACCUUUUUUUAUUUUCUGAAAGCAGUUGAAGAAGCCGGUGAGUUGAGCUACUUUUGUCUUACCAGUGCCUCAGUUAGAUCGUACACUCUGCCGCCCCUUGCUCUUUGGCUUUUAUAAAGACGUCUCUAUAUUGAUUCAUCUUUGUUGAUGGUUCUUCUAUUACUCCUAGAUGUCCGCAUUCGGAAACUCCUGUCGGACAUGUUUCAGGCAGUAGUGAAGAGCCAGGGGAUAUACUGAAGAAGGUACUGACUCUUGGAUAACGUGGUAGAAAAAGGUGAACCCCCGUAGAUCCAUGGUCUUUUCUCUCUGUGUUAUUUUUCUGUUGUUAUUUUCAUGCCUAUCCUAUUGUUAUAAGGCAUAUGCAUGGAAGCAGAUUUUCGCUAAUGCGGCCGAGAGGGAGGCAAAAGAUGACAACUGUGUUCCCCUUUAAGAUCCUUUAUAUGGUUACUAUAUGUGUUUGUUUGUUUUUUGCCGGAUGUUGGUUAAUGAAUAUGUUGCUGUCAUUAUGGGUGUAAUGACUGAAUUUGCUUCUCCUGCAGGUGGGGGCGGUAGGUAGCUUCAUCUGCAACGUUCAGUUUAGGAUGUGGCUGUGAUGACCCGUUCAGUGAACUGCUUCAUGUAGGAGUAGUUUGCAUGUCUAAAAGCUACUUAAAAGGCAUGGACAAGGCUGGUGCCAAGACUGGAAUUAGUUCAUAGUGAAUUGCUGGAUCUCUUAGCGAAGUUAGAAAUUGGAGAAUAGCCAAUAUGCCGACUCUAAUCUUUAUUCUGCUCCGAUCUCUUUUUUUUCUGGUUACAUUCUUUAUUUAUGCUUGUGGAAGAGACUACAGGCUACACGUUGUCAUCCCGCUAGAGAAGUGUGAUGCAAAGAGCAAACCAACGCAAUACUAGAAGAACGCCCGUGCGUUGCAACGGGGCCACAUUAACUUUAAGAGUUCAAUAUUACGACAUUGGCGACCUUUUUUACCAUCAAAUCCUCACACACACAGACACACACUCUCCCUCCCUCUUCCUCACUCUCUAUCCCCCUCUCCCUCUCCCUCUAACACACACACACAUAUCCAUCUUAUUGGGUACGGGACCAUAAUCCAUCUAUUUCACACAUACACGCUAGUGCAUAACAAUAUGGAUUAUGUGUAUUAUAUUUGCCACCAGAACUGAGGGAAUUAAUUUCAUGAAAAUCGACCAGCCACAGCUCCAAGAAUACGCGGACGAGGUGGCUCGGGUCGGCGUCGGCGCCGUCCAGCACGGGCCACGGGCCCGCUUCCAAGUGCACGUGCAAUGCACGUCUUCACAAAUAUUAUAACCAGAUGUGAGAAAUCACAUGCAUAGAAAAGACAUUCUGAUAGCAAUUCAAAUACCAUACUCAAUUGAAUACCUAACCUGGACAAUACUCUUAUUUCUAUGCGCCAGAAAAAAUGGAAUAGCAAAGCUAAGUAUGCCUACAUACGCUCAAAUUAUGUAUAAGAAUCUUGGGUGAACAAUUGCAACAAAGCACUAAGCAGCGCUAAAUUUAAAUAAAAAAUCCAUUAACUAUGCAGGUAGCGGGCUUGUUACAACAUAGAGAGAUAGGAAAAUGUCACCUCCAGUAAUGUAGCGCAAAGGAGUGGAACGAAGCAUGAAUGAACGAUUGUCUGUUCUUCUCCAUGUACAUGGAUCAGCAGUAGAGGCCAAGUAUAUAAGUACUUGACUGAACUCCACUCUUCGUGUACGGAGAGCCAUGUCACCUUCUAGCCGCUGCAGCAUGGGAGGACGGCUGGUUCACGUGACCCUCCAGCUGGAGGAUCCAUGGUGGCUGACCGUCGAGCUCGAGACAGAGAAGUUGAGGGCAGCAGUGGCGAGAUCCAUGCCGGCCAACCGGGCGAAGAGGAGGUCGUUGGGGAGGGACACAUCGGUAAGAUCCGGUCACCACGCGACCUGAAGAGCAACAGUGAUCUCCACAAGUUGUAGGCCGACAGCGUGCUCCAUCCCCUGCGAUGGGGUGACCAUGGCGGUGGUCACAGCUCCUCAUGCUCGCCUCGAUCUCGGUGACACACCCUGAGUGUAGGAGGCAGCAACGACCUCGACGAAAUCAUGGCCUCCAUCCCGGAACGCAUGAAGGACCUCGGCCCCGUCGCUACUCCUCCCGCCGUAGCCGCACGCGGCAGCGGACCGUGGGUAGGAGGGCAGGCGGCGUCGCCUCGGCUGACGGCAGGGAGCAGCGUUGAUUUCGGGUAGGUGGCAUCGCGAGGACGGCCGCGGCCGCGGGGAAGCACCCGAUCAUGCUGCCAGGCCAAUCCUUCUCCUCCGAUCCCCUAUCCCCGAAGAUUGCGCCGCCGCCCCGGUCGUGUUGUUUCCAUAUAUUAUGCCAUUUUUUCCUGUACCUAAACAAACGCGGGCGAGCGGAUGGCAGAGUUUUGGUCCGCCCUCUAAAAUUGCUAAACGCACUUUUGGUGAGGAUUAUUGUUAAUAAAUGAAUUCAAUCAUGUCGCUCUAAAUAAAUGGAUUCAAUCACGUGACUCUAAUUACUUCGGAUUGUUAUGUGCACACUAAGCGGGGUGCAGUUAGGAAAGAAAAUGUUUUCUAAUUAAAGUGAUUGAGUGAUUUAAGGUAAGGUUAAUUAAUUUAGGUUUGAUUUUUAGUGAUUGUUAGUAAAGUAUGAUGCGUUUUUAAAAUCUUUUAUUUGUUUCCUUAUAAUCUAUUAUUUGUUUCCUAAAAAAUUUGCAAUAAUGGAAGGUAUCGGUUGAUUUGGAUAAGUUAGUAAAUUUAGAUCCGUGAUUACGUGUACGUUUGGAAAGUGCUGAUUUGCAAGGAAAGAGCUGAGGGGUAAAUAAACCAGUGAAUAAGAAACCAGCAUCGAAAAAAAUCUACGACGGUUAACCUACGAAAAAAAACCGGACGAAAGUGAUGGGACGAAAAAAAAGCUGGAAGCGAGACUACCAACUGCUCCAUUAAGAAUAGAGAUAUAGGCCCUUGCAGGAACCUUUAAAAAAUGCCAUUUACCCGGACAAAACUGAUAGCAUAGCCCCACUACGUAGCAAACCCAAAUCAAGAAAUCGCAACCUGUCCUCAGCGCACGCGGCGAAAGCGCGCGUGAUCCACUAUUACUUUUUCCAUGUGCAGUAAAGGAUUACCGCGUUCACUUUGGCUGGUGCUUGGCAAUCAUUUUCUGCAAAUACUUUUAUAGUGUGCGGUAAAUAUUUGUCGAGGUUCCUAUGAGCCGUACUCGGCAAUCAUUUAUCCAAACACUAUUUUAAGUGUGGUAAAGAUUUGUCGAGUUCCCUGAGAUACUCAACAUAGUGGUAUAGGUGUUCCAGCGCGGCCUAUUGUGCCUUGUUUUGCAGCUCUCAUGAAAAUGUUGAUGAUGUCAGUUGUUCCCAGGUGACACCUCUGUUGAGAGCUGCAUUCGGCAAAAGAGUACCUUCAUCGAGAGUACCGAACUUGGCCGGGGACAGGGAUCAUCGUUGUUUUGUCGUCUUAAAAGGAAAAAAUUUCAUAGUAAGAAGAUGUGAGAAUAAAUUAGGUAGUUUAAGGGAUCCUUCCUCCAUCCUCCUUUUUUUGUUCAGUUUAGCUGCAUGUCAGUCGCUUAAAAAUGGAAUACAGAAUUUGGGUCAGUCAACUUUGUGGAAAGAAAGGAACAAUGGUAUUGUACCGAGGCAGGUUUGAUCUCAUCUAGGGGUAGAAGUAGCCACCUUGUCUAUCUUAGGCUUCAGGAGGUGUAGCAACUCCCCCCUUGUCUAUCUUAGGGGUAGGGGUGGUGCAGGUUCGCCGGGGGAUUUCUGGGGUUCAUCGGUUUAGAGGGAUGGCUGGGGGUGGCGGCAACACUGCGGUGGGGAGAGGUUGAGGGGAGUGCAGGGCGGCGAGGCUAGUGCAAUCGCGCCGCUUACUGCGCGGGGGAGAGGGGCAGUAGGAAGAACAUGGGCGUGAGUGAUCUAUUUUUCAGGAAGGAAGGAAAUGGUUGAAGGUAGAAGAUGUAAUCCAGACCAUUCUUUUUUUAUCUAACGCUUCAUACUGAUCCUAGCAAAAUUGGCUGACCCGAAAACAAAUUUCAGCCGACAUGCCUCUAGCCAUUCCCUUUUUGUUUCUCUUGUCAGUUGCUUCGGUUGUUUGUUGGGGAACACUCAUAUAAAAUUGUACUCACUUACAAAGAAUAUGUCAAUAUGUGUAAAACACAAUGUGAUAUCAGAUUUUGUUCUAUUGCUUCUUUUGAGAAUCAGUUCUUGGCAUGGGAAAAAGAUACUUAUAAAGAAUAAUAUGAGACGAUAGUGAGGAUUCAAUUAAAAGGCUACAUGGCAGAAUCUUGUGAAACAAAAACUUUAUCCGAUAGAUGAUAUUGUUCUGAUUUGUCAUCUCUCAACCAUUGGAUGGAGCAUAUCCAAUGGCUGAUAUUCAAAGUUAUUGUGACACUGACACCACAUAGCACCCCAUCGCACCGGCUGCAGAAAGGCUCAAAUUUCCACCGUGAUGAUCUCCACAACUGAUCCUUCACUUUCACCGCAUCUUGCUACACUAACUGAAAUACUCAUAAACCCCAUCCUAGCAUGAACUAAACGGGAACCUAGUUUGGUUACGCGUAGCUGGGUCCCUUUUGUGCCAAGCUGACGGCAAGGAGUAAACUGAAGAGCACUCACCUAGAGUACCCGUGUAACUGCUGCCAAUAGGAAAGCAUGACCUGGAAAUAGCACAAUCUGCACCUCUGCCCCAUAUGGUUUAGCAGAUUCUUUAUGCCCUACAUCACUCUCAUUCAACUAUAUAUCUAGCAAGAAUUAUUUGAUUUCGGAUGAGUUGGUAAGGAUUCGGUUGCAAUCGUUGUCAAUUUUGAAGCACUUGAACAGCCUUGUUGUCAUCAUUACAUCACAAUGCCAUCCGAACAAAAUGUCGCCAUGAAUGGAUCCUCAAUGUAAAAUUUGGACACAAACUAUUGUUAAUACGGUUGAGCAUCAACCGGUGUGAAGAGAAAAAAAAUGCACACUGGUUUGAUACUGCACAUCCUUGCACUACAAAUCAUGCGCAAAGGCUAAUUAAGGCUGGUCAAGAUUAGUGUUACUUGGAAGACUGCAAAACAAAAGUAGGAUGUUCCAGAUUGUGCAUUUGAUUUCUGAUAGGCAUCACGAGGAUUUAAAAUAGUAGUGAAGGUUCAUAUUUCCCUUUUUACCGAAGCUUGUUCCCAGUACAAGAACUCAGACACCAACACAGCUCGAGCCCCGCGGCCACGCCUAGCUACUUCGUGAGCUGCCAUAUGCAUGUUUGGCUGACUGAGCCCUGAAGAACGGCAAAACAGAGCUCUGCUCCUAGAUUAGAACCCAUAACCUGCAAGCAAAUAUCAACACAAAGUUAGCAAGAUAGUGUGGCUUGCGAGGAAAGCGGCAUUAUCAUGGUUGUCGGUGUGGAGGUGUGUGCCAGCGAUAUCUUGGUACGCAUGCCGAAUGAAUUGGUUCGCUGGGAGUGACAAAAUUAAAACAAAUAAGCACACCUUGUGUGAUAUCAAUUAGUAGAUGGCUUGCAUGUGCAUCUACUCUUGGAGACAAGCUUCAGCAGUUUAUCAGCAAAAUCAAGCCUUUCAGCUUGGCAUUUCUGCUCCAUUUCGUCCAUGUGGGCACACAUGCGAGCAUUGCAUUCCCUCAACAGUGUGCAUACCGCCUCAGCGUCCUGAUGAACACAAAUUCCCAAGUGUCACGACAGUUGAUAAAAUAAGAUGCAGAUCGACAAGUGCUGGUAAGCAAACAACAGAGACAAUGGGAGGUGGGAGUGGGCUGAUCUUACCAUCUCUGGAUAUAGUCUGCGCAAAUGUUCUGUGAAUUCUUCUGCAGAGCUUGGGUACUGCUCUGGAUCUGGAGUUUGCUCUUGAUGACUGGAAACAAAUGGGUGCUGCUCGUUGUGGGCACCGGCUCUUGCGAUGUGUCCAGCAUUGCUGACAGUGUACCCAACAUCGUCGCGGCGUAGACCCUGCUGGGGUAAUUGUGAUGUCAGUAAUACUAAUACUCGGAGUGUUUUUGAGCAUCUUUUGGAGCAAUCAUGUCAUGGUUAUAGUAACAAGAAUAUAUAUGCAUGGGGGUAUUAUAUAUGUUAGUAUCAGAUUAAUUUCUCACACGGGCUAAGAAGAAAGACUUGUCCCCGGUGACACCUGUGGUCAGGAUGCCAAUCAUCUUCCUCAGCGUGGCACAGUCAAACAGGGAAAUUCUUGGAGAAGCAUGCUGCCGAAGGGUGACCGCGCCUAGGUCCAUGUUAUCCAGGACAAAAAUCUGUUAUCCAUGAAGGAAAAAACAUAAAUGAAAUGCUUAGUGGGCAUUACAUUACAGUAAGAAAACAAUUGCAAUGAGUUGUAAAAAACAGAGGCCAACUACGUACCUGAAGGAAGAGAUGGCAUCCUGAAAGGUGAAUUGGGGAGUACCCUCUUUCCAUGUUGGCCUUGAGCUUCUCGACGGCCGGCAUGAGGUGUCCCAGGACAUAUUCGCAGCAGUUGAACUCGGCGAUGCUUGAAAUGUUGCACAGUGCUUGCCAGUAGUCGAUGCUGGUGUAAUCAUACUUGGAGGAAGGGCACAACACAUGUCCUACGGCGAAAACCACAUAGGCGAUCUUGAAGCAGUCGAUUUCGACCUGCGUCGACGAUGCCUCAGUCAGCUCCUUCAGGAGAAUGGCCUCCACCGCCUUGAGGCUAUGCGUGCCCUUGCCACCGAUCUCGGCCGCCGCCCGCCUGAACUCCUUGCAGGCCUCCGACAGGCGAACCGGCUUUGAUGAUAAGGUCCUGGCCCCACAUGGCAGACCAAAGACGUUUCUGACGUCCUGAGGGGAGAACUUGAUGGAGGUCUCGUCGUCGAUCCGGAUGGACCGGUCGUCGACGUUGACCCUCUCCAUCAGGAAGGCGCUGAACUUGAGGUUCAGUUUGGGCAGCGGCUUGAGCCGGAGCAUGCCGCCGAGCCCGGUCUCCGUUGCCAGCCUGGUCUUGAAGCCGUCGAAUCGGGCCACGGUGGCGCAGAACUUCUGCACGGAUAUCCUGGACGUGACCGCGGGAGGGGACGGGGCGCCAUUGCCGGCUGGUAAGAGCUCAAGCUCGAGCCCUUGGGCACGGAGGACGGGCGGCGUGGUGGCGCAGGAUGGAUCUUCUCGGGCGUCGGGCGAGACUAUUAGAUCCUCGAGCCAGAAAUCGGCCGAAUCCAUCCCACUACGUUGGAUUAGAAUGAAAGUGGCAUUAUAAUGCAAUCGAACUAGGGUUUUGGGCGCAGCGGCCGGCGGGCGGACAGCCCAAAUGCAGAGCAGAUUUGUGAAGCCUGAUGGACGCGGCGAACGUACCUUGCUUGAUAACCAGGGGCGCGGCGUGACCGGUGGAUUGCUUCGCCGUCGUCCCUCGCCUCGAUCGAUUACGGCCGGCGGUGUGCUUGUGCCUGUGUUGCUUCUGCGCGGGGGGCGAUGGGCUGGUCAAAUGCGGCGGCGGAGUGUAAACCGGAGAAGAGUCAGAGGUGGCUGGGGAAAUAGGCAGCAGUAAUAAUUGCUCAAGUGACCGAACGGCUGGAUCUCCACUAUUAAACAAUCAAAUAAGAACUUUCUUAAGUGCAUCUUGUAAUUAGUCCCACAACAACUUACAGACUAAUCAGCACCACACAAUUAAACCCAUAAUUCUUAAUCUAACAGUCCUUAUUGAUCUACUACUUCUAUCAUGUGCACUUAGUAAUUUUUCAUGACUGACGAUACUCCAUCAGGAGGAGUAGAGAAGUACUCGAACAACUGUCCCUACAAUCACGGAUCGGGAGAGUCGCCUACCACGGCUGACGCUGCCGCAUCCAACCUCCACCAUGGCCGAUUGCCUCCACGUGAAUUCCCUUGCGAGGUUGUACUGUGUUAAAAAAAAACUAUAAAAGUAUACCAGAAGUGAGAAACAGGUCAAACAAAAUAGAAAUUACUCCAAGAUCUCUCGAACUUAUGGUUAUCAGGCUUCGAACAAAAUCAAAUACCUCUAUCUCCACAACAUGCUUGCAUAUAGUCCAUGGACCUCCUUCCUAGAUGUAGAUGCCAUCUCUACCAUGCUUUAUCUCUAGAUUGGCAACAAACAUGUUCUCACCCACUGAGCUAAAAACAAGCCCAUUGGAGUGUCCUUGUGUUGACAUGCAUCACUCUUCGUUACAAAACUUUUCGAAUCAUCACACAGCUCGGAACCCUCCCCUUCCAUGUCAUCCACACCAAUUUUGGCUCCCCCUCUCGAUCAGAUUCAUUAUUUCUACCUUCUCUACCCUCUCUUUCUUCUUUCCUGGAUUAUAGGAACUCGUCAUCUUCGCCUCUCUCUCCAAACCCUAAACCUUCUCUCCAUUCAGCGCUCCAAGGGUGGGAAAGAUCUCUAGACCCAAACACCCCCCUGAUUCACCACGCAAGUGGCAAACCGGACACGACUGAAGGAUCAGAGCAACAAUGGAAUACAUGGGUGAGAAAACCCCCCAAUGCAUCAUGGGAGAUUACAAAUCGCUCCAUGCACUGUCUCUGCCACUUGAAACCCUAACAAUGAUUCCAGGCCAACUCCACCAAUAUAUGUUUUCCAAUGUCAAAGUUUUAAAUAGUGGGGGAUGACAAAUAGUGGCAGAAGCAUUAAUGCGCUAAAUUGUCCUAUAGCACACUAAAUGGCACUAAGCAACUUAGUGUGAACCCCGUCCAAACGCUAGAGUGCUAUUUAAAACUUUGCUCAAUAUUCAACAAUGCAGGUAAAAGAAUUCUAGCCUUAUCACUUAACUCAAUGUGGAAUUAUUCAUAUUAUUGAUGUAUGUGAAGGGGAAUUGUUGAUGUGGAAUUUCACUCGAGGAAGUAAUACUCCAUGUGCUAAGGAUGACUGUGCUGGAGUGCAAUACAAGAAUUUCUUAUGGUCGACUCUAUUGAAAUGUUAUAUCUAUGCAAUGUUUUUUUCAGGACAUCACCCGGGCGGAAGAGUUGGGUUUGUUGUGCAGGCUGUUGACCCACAUGAUUAAAUUGGAAAAAAUAAUCUUAUACGUACAAUCUUAUUAUGGUAUAUGACUCACACAUAUGUGCUAGACUUGAAAACUGGCAUGCUUGUGUGUGGUUAGUGACAUUGCUCAAGAGUCAUAUGAAUUUUUUCAAAAACUGAUGGAAAUAGUAAAACACCUAAAAAUAGAGUUUAUAAAUAGGUUCAUGCACACUAGCCUCAUUAUGCACUGUGAGUGGUAUAACGGAAAAAAUAGAGAAACUAAACGAUGGCAUAUAUAUUUUCCAACAAUCAUAACUUCAUUUCUCAUUGUGUGCUGUUGCAUGUGCAAAUCGUACACCAUGAGGACGAAAAUCAUUAGAACGAUUCAUUUUUCCUGUGUCAAAUGAAGUAACAUAAAAAGAGAAAUGGUCGAAGAAAAAAGCAAUCAUAUAGUGAGAGACAGAAGCAAAAAAUCGAAGAAAUUACUUCCUUCGUUCUUGUCAUCAAAAUGAAUCAAAAGGAAUGUAUCUAGACAUAUUUUAGUUCUAAAUACAUUUCUUUUUAUUAAUUUUGAUGACAAGUAUUUUUGAACGGAGGGAGUAUUUGCCGUCUUCAAAACAGCCCUCGGGGACCAGUUUAAGAGGUGUUCUUUUUAUACGUUCGGCUACUGGGCUCGAAAUCAUAAAUUAGCACCCAACGUGGGCUUUUGUGUCCAACCCAGUUCUGGGCCCUUGACGACGACUUCUUCUCUGUUACACGGCCUGCUCUUCAUUUCACCAGAUCCCGCAUCGCGUCAGUGACUAGGGCGAGAUGAGCAGCCGCCGCCACCUCUCGCCGCCGGCGGCGCCGCUGGAUGACGAAAACCUACUCCCCGAGAUCCUCCUCCGGCUCCCGCCGCAGCCCUCCUCCCUCCCCCGCGCCUCCCUCGUCUGCAAGCGCUGGCGCAGCCUCGCCUCCGACCCCGGCUUCCUCCGCCGCUUCCGGAUCCACCACCGCCGCAGCCCUCCCCUCCUCGGUUGCUUCUUCCAAGAACCUCACGGUAUCUCCUUCCUACCUGCUCUCGAGGCCCCCAACCGUGUCCCUCCUGGCCGCCUCUCUUUCCAGUCCACCCACAGUAACGGCCUUCGGCUACUCAACUGCCGCCAUGGCCUCGUGCUCAUCGCCGACAAGACUCGGCACGACCAAUUCCUCGUGUGGGACACCAUCACCGGCGAGCAGUACCACCUAGCCGUCCCCGCGCUGUUCGACACGGCAGUGGCGGUGCUGAUAACCGGGGCGGUGCUUCGUGCUGUGGGAGACACCCAUCACUUCCAGGUGGUCUGUGUAGCAACACGCAGACGCGAUCCGCAACGUCGACAAGCAGCCUGCGUUUACUCGUCGGAGACGGGCGCGUGGGGAAACGUCAUCUCGACACACAUUCCGUCCGACCUCGACUCCCAGUCAAGGUUUAAUCUCUACUUAUUUGGCAUCACAACGACCCCAGCGCCCGCAAUGCUUCUCGGGGACUCUCUUUACUGUACUCUUACUGAUGAUUCAUCAAGCAUCCUUGAAUUUGAUCUUCUGAGGCAAAGUCUGGCUGUAAUACGGAUGCCCAAGGAUGUGUAUAAGUAUAAAGGUCACAUCACGGUUACAAGGGCAGAUAGUGGUGGGCUGGGUUUCCUCAUGGUGACAGACUUCACCCUGCAAUUAUGGAAGCGGAAGAUUGAUUGCGAUGGUGUUGCCUCAUGGGGGCUGGAAAAAACUAUUGAACUGGACAAGCUGCUUUCCCUUAAUCCAGAGAAGGGCAGCAUUAUGAUACUUGGGUUUGCUGAGGAAAACAAGAUGGUGUUCCUGGGGACAUUUAUUGGCCUCUUUGUACUCCAGCUUCAGUCAUUGCAGUUCAAAAAGCUAUCCGAAACCGAAACCGUAUUUCACUGCCAUCCAUUUGAAAGUGUGUAUACUGCAGGUAAUAGCAUGCCUUUCACAGUGUGGGUAUGACAAAAACAGGCUAUUUUUUGGAUAAUUGGUUUAUGGAAUGUUGUUGACAUCCUUUGGUAAUAAGCUAAUAAUUCUAAGUAGUGUCAUGUCGGUUAUUUAUAUUGCUGCUUCAUGGUCUCUUCAUUAUGUAGCGCUAUUGUUCUGUGGCGUUUUUUCUGUGGUGGCAUUCUAUGUAAUGCUUCUGAGCUGGACAAAAUAUUUGAUAGCGAUAUCUAGUACAGUAAAUGUCAGCAGUUCUUAUGUAGCCAGGUGGCAGGUUGUCAUUGUUCUAGUGUGGCUUGUUUAUUGUGAUUGAAGCAGAGGGGCAUUGGGUAUGCCUUCUUUGUCGAAAAAAGUAUCAACUUUCUUUCGAAUAUUCUGACACUAUUAUUAUUACUACUAGUAUUGUUACUAUCAUUGGACUUUAAGCCUAGCAGGCUUUCUGUCUGUCUAAUUUUAGCGUAUGAGGAUCCAUAGAUAAAACAGGUAACACCAGGUUGAAAAUUGUCCGUAUAAUAACUGAACUAAAUGUCAUUUUGCCUGCCUCUUCACAUAUGCUAUGCAAGAACUUUAUAUGGUAGUGGUAGUGCAUAGCUGAGUGCAGUUUUUUCCUCAAGAUGAACUACUACAUAACAGUUGGAAUCUGAAGAUAACGACAUGAAACUUACAAUGUCAAAUGUAUAUAGCUUAAUACAUGCAGUUGGAAGCUUAAUGCUAGUUACAGUUCUGUCAUUCAAUAUUGUUAACCCGCUGAUCUUCUAAUAUUUGUAAAUCCACAAAAAUGGAAGGGUUUCAAAUUUAGGAAAGUAUUGAUGAUUUUAUCACUUGGAGGAGAGUCUUGCUGUGAGUCUCAAGUCCAUUGGCACCAGUAUUUAAGAAAAAACUGAGUUCACUUCAUAUUUUCAGCCUAGAUUCAUUUAUUAAUAUAAUCUUAAUCUGAAUUGUCAUGAUCACUUAUGUUGAUAGGAUAGAUUAGUAUGAGCACAUCUGUUGUGUUUGAUAUGGCGUGAAAUGAACUGAAAAUAAUUCUAGUUAACUUCUCUUUUCUGAUUAGCUAAUAGUCUGAGGUUGCAUGUUCUUCAUUUUGAUGGUAUUAAUGAAUAUAUGCUGUUUUGAGGGAUAUUCCUUGAAGUUGACUAGAAGUAUGGUUUUGUCUACCCAUUUCUAAUGUUGUUUCAACCCUGAGAUUUUUCUUUCCUUUCUAAAAUUACACCCAUAGGUUUAUCUGAAUAUCUCCUUGAUGCCUUCUCAUAUCUACUUGUUUUCUUUUGGAAUAUAAUUGGUUAUUUGACUUAUUAUCCUUCCAGAAACAGAUGUUGGCGGUGAACAUGGUCGAGCUGAACUUUUGAACAAUGCAUAAGGUGACUGGCUGAUCAGAUACACUAUCAUGAUAUAUUGGUUGAUCAGGUAAGCUUAUCUUCUCCAUGUAAGUUGAGGUAUCUGAAAUGUUAUUUUUGUUGUAAAUGAUGCUACCUCUACAAUUACCAAAUGUUAAGAGAGGACUCCCAAGAUUCUCCAUACGAGCCUUUGCUAAACUGUUGCUCACCUGGCUACCUCCUGUCAUGCUUGCAUGGCAGUCUGCUUUACUGGAUCUCUUCUGUUUGUGUUGCUUCCUCAUCCCUUCCCCAGCAGCUUUCCAUCCCCUUCGUAAUGUGCCUUUAGAGCAUCUCCAACAGGCGCGGCAAAACGCGCGCCCACGCGGUAAAAUCAGUUUUUCGCGUGCGCCGGUUGGUUCCGCGCUCUCCAGCGGUGGCGGGAAGUUACCGCGCGCGGGAAGCGUUUGCGCGUGCGCGGUAGAAAGCGGCACGCGGCGCGCUAGAUUUGGCGCGCCGCUUCGCGCGCGUCUAUAAAGUCCCGCGCUUCGCCACGCGCACAGAACAGCCACGCGCCCUUCUUCUCGCAAUCUCGCCGCGUCGCCGCUUUCUGCGCCACCAGCGUGCCACCACCGCGCCACCAUGCCGCCGCGCCGCCGGGGUGCUUCGGGCUUUCGCGGCGUCCGCGAGCGCCGCAACGGGCCGGCGACGUCCGGCUCGGCCUCGGGACGUUUCGGAGUGCGCGCGAGGCGGCCCGCGCGUACGACGCUGCGGCGUGGCGCUUGGAGAGGCCCCGGUCCCAGAUGAAUAUCCGGGACGUCUUCACGCGCGAGGGGGCGCAGCGCCUCACCCCUCCGCCGUGUCUCAUCACGGACAUGGACCGUGCCAACCAUGCUCGGCGGCAGCGCCGUCUCCUCGUCGCCGAGGAGGACGAGCGAGCCAUGGCGGAGUGGCGCCGUCGCCACCCAGAGGACGUCGACGCCGAGCGUGCCUACUGGGCAGAGAGGACGGCAAGGCGCCGCUCGGAGCGGGCGGACCGGCGUCAGCGGAAGUCAGUGGCGGACGAGCAGUGCGACAUCGUCUCCGCAGGUGGGAGGUCGUUCUUCACCUCGGACGAUCAAUGUUGGGACGACGUAUGGCUCUCAACCUCGGACGACACCGACGAGGAUGACGAUGGUGAUGGUAGCGACUUAGAGUAGUUUUCUAUCUAUGUAUGCCAUAGUAGUUUCUAUCUAUCUAUCUAUAUAUGUUGAACUAUCUAUCAUCUAUGCCGUAGUAGUUGCACCGAUGUAAAAUAUCUAUGUAUCGCUUUUUUUAUCUAUGCAAUUUUAAUUAAAAAAAUAUUAUAGAAUGAGCGCGGGCGCUGCAUUUUACUGCGCCUGCUGGAGCUGCGCCCGCGCGGCUUUUCAGCGCGGCUGCUGGAGCAAACGCUGCGCGCGGCACCAAACCAGGCGAUGGGCGCGCGUCAAAUCCGUUUUUACCGCGCGACGCGUUGGGCGCCUGUUGGAGAUGCUCUUACCCAGCUACUGGAUUUGCUCUUUAGCUUGCCCUCCCUUCUUCAUCCUUAGUUCUCCAGUUCCUUCUGAUAAUGCAAGUGCUUCUCUCCCUCUAGCUUCCCAGAUGACAGUUGACUUGGGAACCUUUCCCAUUCCUUAUUGCUGUGUUCGUGCCUCCUCAUAGAUGAGAAUGCAAUGCUAAGUAGUAGCAGAAUAAAUACUUCCCUUUACUAUGCUUUUUCAACAUUUUCUGGUCUUACUUUUACUGGUUGGUACAUUGCCUUUGAUUUUUAUAUUUUUAUGUGGUCAUGGAUCUAUCAAGUCCUCUAUUUUGAUUUUUAUGUUAUCCCUCUACGCAAGUAAUUGGUAACUAAAAAAUCUCUUAGCAGUUGGUUUCAAAUUCCUUUGCUUGUGCAGGCUUAUAGCUAUGCCAUUUAACCUUGCUGCUGAUUUGGGAUUGUUAUAAUGCCUAGUGCUACAUUUUAGACUGUUACAAUACUCCAAGAGCAUGUCCUCAUUAGAUCUUAUACUACUAUUUGUUGUUUUGCCUGCAUUACUAAUUUCUUAUGGACAAUAAUGCUAUUUAGCUGGUUUGCUUAAAUAUUUUCUCUUCAUAUAUUAGUUUGUCUGUCUAACUGUGCUCAUGUAAUUGGUCAUUUGGCCAUUAGCCUAUAAUAUACUUUGCCUGAGCCUGAUCCAAACAUAUUAUUGCAUGGUUUAUGUGCAGUCUGAUUUCUUCUGUUUUAGUUACCACAGGUGUUUAAAUUUUUUGUUAAACACAUGAUAUAAAAAUUACAUGGCUAGAUUCGUCACUGAAAGUGCUUUCAACAAAAUUGCACUUCGUCAUGUUUCAUAUCGUAUUAUCAAGAGUAAUGGUCAAAGUUUUGCCUUUUAUGCUGUGGAUAGUCUUAUAAAAAUGGACUUGUAUUUGGACCAAAGUAGUAUCAACAUAUAUGCCCAUCAGCUAAAAAUCAAAUUUUUUCGUUUACUACUACAUGAGCCCCUCGUAGUCAUAUGCACAUGCACAUCAUAACAUAAUGUUUUAAACUAUCAUAAGGUAGGUUGUUCAGUGUUUGACUCCAAGGCCAUUGAUCAUGUAGAAUGGAUUAUGAGUCCAGGGACUAGUCAAGACUAGUCUGUUGACUAGUCUAUGAGCCUCAACUCCAGGGCCGACUACACUCCAGUGUCGACUAGUCUAUGAGUCGCAACUUAUGUGUCGACUAGUGUCGAUUAGUCACGCUUAGUCUAUGAGUCUCAACCUCGUAACGACUCGUCGACUCAUAAACCUUGUCAUGUAGCUUCUUAGAUCAAAGCAAGAAACUUGAGGAUAUGUUAACAAUAGAAGGCAUACUAGUAUCCCCAUUGAGGUGUGGAGAGGCCUCGGGGACGUAGUGAUAGUAUGGCUAACCAAUCUUUUCAACCUCAUUUUUUUUUGGAAACAAGAUGCCGGAAGAAUGAAGAUGGAGCAUAUUAGUACCAAUCUUCAAGAACAAGGGGAAUGUACAGAGUUGUACUAAUUACCGUGGAGUUAAGCUGAUGAGCCAUACAAUGAAGCCAUGGGAGGGAGUCAUUGAGCACCACUUAAGAAGAAUGACAAGCGUGACCAAAAAUUAGUUUGGUUUCAUGCCUAGGAGGUCGACAAUGGAAACCGUUUUCUUGGUACGACAACUUAUGGAGAGAUACAGGGUGCAAAAGAAGGACCUACAUAUGGUGUUGAUUGACUUAGAGAACUCCCAUGAUAAGAUACCACGAAAUGUCAUGUGGCGGGCCUUGGAGAAACACAAAGUCCCAGCAAAGUACAUUACCCUCAUCAAGGGCAUGUACGAUAAUGUUGUGACAAGUGUUCGAACAAGUGAUGGCGAUACCAAUGAUUUCCCGAUUAAAAUAGGACUGCACUAGGGGUCAGCUUUGAAUCCUUAUAUUUUUGCUUUGGUGAUGGAUGAGGUCACAAGGGAUAUACAAGAAGAUAUCCCAUGGUGUAUGCUCUUUGCGGAUGAUGUGCUGCUAGCCGAUGAUAGUUGGACGAGGGUUAAUAGGAAGUUAGAGCUAUGGAGACAAAUCUUGGAAUCAAAAGGCUGUAGACUUGGUAGAACUAAAACCGAGUACACGAGGUGCGGUUUCAGUACUGCUAGGCACGAGAAGGAGGUUAGCCUUGAUGGGCAGGUGGUGCCUCAGAAGGACACCUUUCGAUAUUUGGGGUCAAUGCUACAGAAGGAUGGGGAUAUUGAUGAAGAUGUGAACCAUCGAAUCAAGGCCCGAUGGAUGAAGUGGCACCAAGCUUCUGGCAUUCUUUGUGACAAGAGAGUGCCACAAAAGUUAAAAGGCAAGUUCUAUAGGACGACGGCUCGACCCGCAAUGUUGUAUGGCACUGAGUGUUGGUCAACUAAAAGGCGACAUGUUCGACAGUUAAGUGUGGCGGAGAUGCGCAUGCUGAGAUGAAUGUGUUGCCACACGAGGAAUGACCGAGUCUGGAAUGAUGAUAUACGAUAUAGAGUUGGGGUAGCCCCAAAUGAAGAGAAGCUUGUCCAACAUCGUCUGAGAUUGUUUGGACAUAUUCAGCCCAGGCCUCCAGAAGCUCCAGUGCAUAGCGGACGGCUAAAGCGUGCUGAUAUUGUGGAGAGGUCGGGGUAGAUCGAACUUGACAUGGGAGGGGUCCGUAAAGAGUGGUCUGAAGGACUGGAGUAUCACCAGAGAACUAGUCAUGGAUAGGGGUGCGUGGAAGCUUGCUAUCCAUGUGCCAGAACCAUGAGUUGGUCGCGAUAUCUUAUGCCUCUAAUUUAUCAGUACAAAUUUAUUUAUUUAUUUUCAACAAACCACUGUCUUCUUAUUGAUGUUCGUAAUUUCUAUUGUUGGUUUCGUCCAAUAAUGCUGAGAAGAUUCAGCUUUGAGCACUUGGCACUAGUUCCAUAGUGAUAUUUAAGGAAUGCUAACUGCCUGAGUCAUACCGAAGUUGUGAGAUGACAAGGAUGGGAUGCCUCAGGCGAAAGCCUAGUGCCAACCUUGUCGGCAACGAUGAUGGCGACGCCUUCGGGCGCCGCUUCCCUUCAUGGAGGCAUCAUUUGAGAGCUACCGUUGCCCGCUCUUUCCUGUGCUCUGGGCGAAAGCCUUAGAUCCUUCUCUUGUGCGGUGGAAUGAUCUGUGGCGGCAACCGGUGCCUUGGUAUGGUUGACCUAUCCCUUGGUCAUCCUGGUGCUGAUGGUUGAUGGUGAGGUCUCAGGUGUUUAGUGCCCUUUGAAGGCGCCUGAGGUUUUGUUGCAUUGCAUAGUGCUCUGGUUCCCUCUAUUUGUGAUGGCGGUUCCCGCUCUUCGCGAUCUGCCCAGUGGUGAUGGGUGCUAAAUUCUUGGUUUUGGCUGCUUGUCAUAGCUCGUUUCUGGUUGUUCUUCUGUUGUUCCCUGUCACUUGUGUAUGUUGGGUGCUACCUGUUGUAGCUGCUGUGUUGUAUCUCAAUCUUGUUUUAUCAAAAUGAAAAUCUUUUAGGCUGACUUUUUCCCACUGUAGCAAACAAAGAAUAGUUACAGGUUGGUCUCGGUGUUUGGCUGAUAUGGCGUUGGUUGUUCUGCAGGUACCUGGAGUUACUGUUUUGAUGGCUGAGAUGCAGAACGGCUUCUUUGCUUUAAGUUCUAUGCACCAUGUACUGGUCAGCGCUGUAGUGGAGUAGGAAUUAAUUUGAACAUUUUGUUCCCUCAUGACUAUUAUGUAAUUUGAACAUUGUGUUAAUUCAUGCAUGUCAUGUAUUUUCUGUAAAAGUUAAGUCAACUGGCACGAAGACGUAGUGACUUGCUUAGAUUAAUUAGACCCCAUGAUGUCCCAUCUGUGUAUGCUAAAUUUUUAUCUCUGUUUCUCACGGUGUCAGUAAUGAAUGUUCAGUUAUUCUGUUUUCUUUCUUCAGACAUAUGGAACUAUUUUAGAGUCAUUGUGAUCCAGACAGGAAUAGGUAAAUGAAGGGAAAAAUAUGGAUUAGCUUCUGCACAUUGAUAACCGCUUGUAUUUUUGAGAUUCUGGGAUAAAAAUUGCUGUGCUCGUCCCAGGUGACCCUUGUUAGUGGAGAAAUUUUGGCGGACAAUCCUGUGAACAUCCUUUUGUUUCUUAUAUGCUCGCAUGACUAUACAUUACACACGAAUCACUUUUGCAUUACACACCACGAUCUGAUCAUGCACACGGAUCAAGAUGAAAUCACAUUGAUAGCUUGUUAUGAAAUUGUUGUUUGUGAACUUUCAGCUCUGAUUUGAUUUGAACUUUAAAUGCUUACUAUAUACUAUAGAUAUAGCUUCCCAUUUGACUUGGUAGUAAGGACAGGUCAAGUCUGAAGCUUUCAGAGAUUCAUAGUUAACUUUCAGCUCUGAUUCAGAUUGAGAGCUGAGGAUACAUAUUCUAUACCACAUCAAUUGAUUGUUUACAUGGAAGUGAUUAUGGCUGCAAACGAGUCGAGUUCGAGCGAGUUGACCUAAGCUCAGCUCAACUCAUAUUAAAAUUCGAGCGGACCCAAAAUGUGCGAAGCUCAAGGUCAAGUUGUAGAAAGUGGCUCAUGCUCAACUAGUAACGAUCUCGAGUUGAUCUCGGCCUAGUUUCCAGCUAAAUAAGACGAUUUUUCGAAUUAUUUUAUGGCAAAUUCUAAAGUAAGAUAGGUCACAACAGAAAAUAUCAGUAUAAAAUUAGACUUAUUCUUUGUUAACUUAUGACUAGUAUUUAAUAACAAGAGAUCGUGGAUAGAAGACAACAAAGGUGGCCAAAAUAACAAUAUAUUGAACACAAGGUUGGCCACAUGUCAUAUUGAGGCUAAAUUUUCUCCACGCUUAAUUUCAAUAUUUGCUAGUAGGUAAAAUGAAGAAAUAAUAUCAUACAUAACAUAUAUGGCAAUGGAUGAUCCUAAAUUCUUCAUAAUAGACAUGAAGAUUAUUUAAUAUACUUGUAUGAUAUCAAUCUAUCGAGCUAGAAUCGAGCGAGCUAAUGUAGGCUCAAGAUCAACUCGUUUCUCCAUCGAGCUACACAAAAUGCUCAUACUCAGCUCAUUUCUUUUCGAGUUGAUCUCUAGUUGAGCUAAAAUACGAGUCGAUCUCGACCGGCUCAUGAGCCUUGAGUUUUUUUUUUUGCAGCUCUAGAAGUGAUAUCUUAAGCAGAAGCAUGGAGCAUUCAAUUUGUACAUUCAGCCAUUACCCAUUGGGUCCAUCCAGGCCCGGCCCUGAUGGGGGGGCAGGGGGGGGCGGCCGCCCCGGGCCCCCGAAAAUGGGGGCCCCCAGGUUUGUGCUCUUCCCUGUUAAUACGAUUGGGCUCUAGUUCGUAAAUAAUGAUAAUUGGGCCUACGUUACGUGCACUGAUCACGUUUGGGAGAGAUCGAUCACCCACGCUGAUCACGCACGAUGACCAUCGUCCAUCCUCGCCUGUAGCCUCCUAUUUUUUCGCCUGAUUUCCUGGAAACCUAAUCGCCCGCAGCCACUGGCCGCCGCCAUGGAGCAGACACUAGAUACCCACGCCACACCAUGGCACAUCGAUGCCGCAGCUCCAGCCUACGUCAUCCGCCGACGAUUUCAGAUAAGACGUCUUUUUCCUUAAUGAUGCCCUAGAACUGCUGCUUGACGUGGUGAGGCUUUUGUCGGCCGUAGUGUUGCACAGAACGACACAAGUAUGAAAGCGAAAGUCCCCUUGAUCAUGGUCUUCAAUCCUCAGAACCAGGCGUGGAAGCCUGUGAACAGUUUCAAGGAUUUGUACAAGGAUCAGUGGUACAUUGCCGGGCUGCCACAUCCAGGUACGUAAGAUACCAUGUAAACUCUUGAUGCAAGGAAAGUUUUGUAGCUUUCAGCUUUUUGCAUCUUGGCUGUGUAAAACUGUUUGAUGAAAGGUAGUGUUUGUAUGCACUUGCAAUGCGAAAUUAUAUUCACUUUUUCAUUCUGAAAAAAUACCAAUGAAAUGUAAGACACAGCCCAAUAUAUGACUAUGUGGUCGAUUCUGUUGGAUUAAUUAGGACUAGUUGGCACACCGUCAAUAAAAUAAGAACAUGAUAAUGCUAAUGUGAUCAAACCUGAUAAGCCAGUUAGUAAAAACUUCAUUACUCUGUCUGGUGUUGUUAAAGGACUUCAGCAGUGUAAAGGAGCAGUGUAAAGGAAGGGAUUGGUGCUUUAUAUAUAAAGUGGGGCGAAAGCCUUUUUCGGUAAUAUGCAAACGAAUGCACAUGAAGUAAUCGAACAUUAUUCUUCUAUAGAAAAUGAUUAUCAUCCCUACAUGAUUUGUUAGUAGUAUGGUGUAGAAGCAAAAUCUUAAAGUUGCGCAAAGUAUAUGCUGAAAAUAAUUUUUGAAAGUACAAAGGGCCCCGGAUUCUGGUUUCGCCCCGGGCCCCUAAAAUCUCAGGACCGGCCCUGGGUCCAUCGCGUCGACGUUACCUACUGGGAGAUGUAUGCAUUUUGCAAUAUGGAGGUCAGGUGGCGCAGCCGCUGCGUCCGGCAUGUGCGGGUCAGCGGCGGUGCUGUCAGCCUUGGCCGGCUGCGUGGAGGUGAUGGUCGAAAGCCUUGCCAGUGCUUGCCGGCUGGCGGCGGCGGUGCCUGUGGGCGUCACCAUCCUCCUUGGAGGUGCCAUCGUGUUCAUGUGCAUCAUCAACUUCCGGAUCGAGCUCUUCAGGCUGGGCCGGGCAACGACGUCGUCGCUACGGCGUUUCUUCCUUUGGGGCGUUGCUUUAAAGACCAGUGAUCCUUCACUAUUCUUCCCUUGGGCUGGACAUGCACGACAUCACGGUUGGCAGGUGCCCAAUCGGUGAUGCGAGUGGUUGGCACUGCGACUCGUGUGACAACGAUAACAGUGACUUGUAGAGGGUCAAGGCUUGUCCUUCAGAUGUUGACGGUGCGGUUUAUCAAUAGGUGCGCCUAUGUGUCGCGCCCCACGGCAACGAUGACUCCAUGAGGUUGGUUUUAGUGGGUGGUGCUCUUCGGAGGUUGCGCUGGACUAGGUCGGUGCGAGGCCUGCAACUUUCUCCUGCGAUGCGCAUUAGCAAAAUCGGAGCUGCCAGUCCUCGACGUCUAUGGUAAAUUGUUUGGCCCUCACCGGCUAGGUUCUCACGUGUCGUUUGUUUGAAGGGAUCUUAAUGGGUCUUUGGCGGCGAAGUCGGAGUCGCCUGUUCGGGGAGAGGUGACGAUGAUGACAUGGCAGACAACCUCGCCGGUUUCCUUUUCUCGGCGGUGUGUAUGGUCUUGUUGGUGCCAGAUCAACCGGGUGCCCUUUCUUGUGGGCGUGUUGUAAUGGUUUUGCCCGUGUUUCCAUUAUUUACUGUGCAACUCUAUUCUACUCCAUCUCUCCCAUAAUAUAAGAACGUUUUUGAUAUUAACAUAGUUCCAAAAACAUUCUUAUAUUAUGAGACGGAGGAAGUAUCUUUUUUUAAUAGUUUUGCUAGAACUCAUCUAGAUGAGGUAUAAUUUGGUCUCAUUCACCUUUUAUAGUCAUUGGAUGUGAUGCUAUAACAUGCGUGUCUGCUGACGUGGGUUGUAUCUGUUUUUGUUUUUAAAGUGAAUGAGACCAAAUUAUAUCUCAUCUAGAUGAGUUUUAGGUACUCCUUCUUUUAAUGAAUAGGGCCCUAAGGGACCGCGUUCCAGAAAAAUAAAAAUGGAGGUGCACUACACGUUAGAACCCUAUAGUGAACUUUAUUCUACAAUUCAGACUGUAGCUUCAUAUGUAUCUCUGCAUAGCGGAGCCACAAUAUAUCUAUGAAAUUAUGAAGAUGACUGGAUUUUGCAUCAUGAUGUUAGAUGUGUUCGGUAGAGAAUCUACAAUCCCUUGCAUUUGCGGCAGUAUUACAUAUUCGGUGUGAUCCAUACCUCUGAAGGAACAUGCACCCUCCAACCUUUAGGGAUCCCUUCAACGGGAAAAGCAUUCUCAAAGACCCUUGUUUCCAUGUCAUGUGACCUUACAAUUCCCCAUCCAUGACAACGGCCAACUAAAUCAAAUGUUUCUGUCAUCCAGGGAGCUGAGAAAUAGAUACAUUGAGGUCUUAACCCAGGGAAUUUCUUUGAGGGUAAGCACGCCGAGUGAUUCAGUCCAACAAAUAUCGCAUGGUCCAUCAAGUCGUCGGGUGAUAUCUUCUUGCAUCCUUCGGGAUGAACCUUGCCAAUUAGAAACCUAACACGAUCCACACGGUUUGCAGAAAUGGCCUGGACCUGCAAGAGAUCACCCCAUGGUGUAGACACCAAGUGCCUGGUAAGAACACAUGAAAAUGUUCUAUGUGCGAUAAUCGCCUCCUUUGUCGGGCCGUUCGGUCCAUCAAGAUGAUAUUUUUCUACUAUUCCAAGGUAUGUCACGCUGUAGAACCUCCCAUUGUGGUAUGCACAGUCUGCAUAUCGAUCAUGUUCCUUUAUAGAUAAAGUUGAGGCCACUUGCCACUUGGUCUUUCCUGCCCUCGCAAAAGAGAGCCAAUUGCUAUCAUAAUGGAUGAUCAUGGCAAUGCAGUCACCAUCUUUGGAUGGAGCACAGGACAACACUGCCUUCUGGUAGAACCAUGUUGCCAGAUAUCUUGCAUCAUAGAAUCUAUAGUUAAAAAGGCGAUAACCUUCUAUGUUUCCUUGUUCAUCAUAUACAGCCUCCACAAACGAGAAAUCGUUGAUCGGCGGUAACGGGACCAUGUCCGAGGUGAUGGGGUUGAAGAGAAGUAGAUUGGAGAGGUGGUUCACCAGGACCAACCAUCCAUGAGAAGCUCCGGCACAUGCAACGAAACAAUCCUUGGGAAAAUCGACAUCAUAAGACUUGUUGACGUCUAGGAGAUGGCGAAGCUUGCAGGUCAUGGUCAAGCUGCAGUUGAUCUUGGGUUGACUCUCCUCCUCCACGAGAUGUGUCCAAGACAUGAGCCACGUUCUGCAAGAAGAUGGGACGCCGGCGGCAGCAGCAGCUCCGCGCCAUGAUGCGCAGACUGACGCGAAAGCGAGGGAUUCCCGGAGCUGGAGGCGUUGGAGGAUUAUGAGGAGGAGAUCCGUCGGGAGGUCCGACCAAUUGGACAUUGCGUAAGAGCCUGCCAUUGUUGAACAAAAUAUUCUUCCUAUUAUGUGCUUGCCUGCAGGUUAUGUAUAUAUAGCAAGACAAACAAACGAUCCGAUAGAUAUACUGGUCGGACUCGGACAAUGAAUAUGUUGUGAUGAGUGGAAUCUCUAUCUUUAUAAUUAUCUCUACUAGAAGAACGCCCGUGCGUUGCAACGGUGCCAUAUUAACUUUAAAAGUUCAAUAUCAAUUAUGUUAAUAUUACAUUUAAUAUUCUCAUACAUAUUAAGUGACAUUGACGACCUUUUUUACCAUCAAAUUCUCACACACACACCCUCUCCCUCCCUCUUCCUCGCUCUCUCUCCCCCUCUCCCUCACUCGGGAGGUGGGACGAAAAUAAACCCGGAACAAAGACUACCAACUGAGACAUUAAGAGUAGAGAUCAUUUAGUUGAUAAGAAUAAAUAGAGAAAGGUGUUAAAAAGGAGAAACAUAUUAGAAUACAUUGAAGAACCAAAAUGACGAUGUAAAAGGGGAUUCGCCCUGCCCCCCGGGCCUUGCCACCGAACCGGCUCAGUGGUCCAGUCCCCGCGCGGUCGUCUUCUCCUGUUCCCCGAGCCGCGUCGCUACAGAGCCGGGCUCCCGCCCGACCACCUCGCUGGCAUCAAAGGGGAAUGGAUAAGGGUGACGCCCUUCCUUCCCUGCCCCCAUGGCCUCACUCCUCCUCGACGUCCCCUCCCAAAUCCACUUCUCCUCCUCGCUCACUCGAUCCCGUCGAUCUAGACGAAGUCAGACGCCACGGCCACCAUGACCAACCCCGUCCACAUGGCCACUGCCCUCCCUGCGGGCUAUGAGCUUAUCGAGCAGCUCCGAACGCCUUCGCUACUUCGUUGUGCCAACGAGAUCAAGUCCAGCACCCCCGCAUCGACGUCACUGCCGUCUUCCUCAACCUUGGGCCACUACGACAUUGCCGUUCGAUCCGCACCGCCCCGAGCUCCCAUGUCUUCCCCUAGGGCACCAUUGACACCACCAUGAUCUCCUCUUGCCUUUCCCCUGUUUCCCCUCUCGUUUGCUCUCGUUAGGUAUUUCGCCGUGGCCGAGAACCGCCGUCCGCCAUGGCCAUUGCAGGGGUAGCCAUCGAGCUCCUCGGAGUGACCCCGUGGCACAUGCCCGCUCCUAUGCACGCCCAUGCCCGAGCCUGGCGCUCUUCUUUCGCGCCCGCGGGGCCACUCCCUCUCCAUGCCCACGCCGUGCUACACGGCGUCGGUCGCGCCCGCUGCUGCCGCCGUGCUCGCCGCAGCCACCGCACCAUUGUGCCCCCGCAUGACACACACCCUGGCCGCGCGCCACACUCUCGCUAGCUGCGCUCGCCCCGUCUGCUGCCACCUAUCCUUCGCUUGCCCCGCUGUCGCGCCCCUGCCUCGCGCCGCCUCCAGUCGUGGCCAUCUUCUGCCGGCCGCCCCCUCAGCCACGCCGGCCGCAUCUCUGCCCUCCACCGUCGGCCGCUCACCUCGCCUGCUACGUGUUGCUUCCUGCUACUAUGCGCUGCUCUACCGCUGGUACGCUACUGCGCCAUGCCCUCGACACCGCCGUGGACAAAUGUGACGGAGGGAUUGUUAAUGGAGUACGAGAAGGAGGUGGCGGAGAAGGUGUGGAGAGGCAGGAGGUCUGGGGCGGUGUCACCUGGCUGUGGUGGAGGUGUUUAUGCGAGAAGGAGCCGGAGUGGAAGGAGAGGUCACAAUUGGAAAGAAUCGCAAAAAAAAUCAUAACCCGGAGAUCUCAGUUCAGAAAAAUGCUAAUAUCGAUGGAGGGGUGAUUUCUUUCAAUGGGUGGAAAACAUAGGAAAUAUUGGUUGUUAUCAAGGAAAGGUAAAAAUUUAGGAAAGUUAGAAUUUUUGAACUAAUUUCUAUGCAAAUGGGGUUUUAUUGUUUGGUAACGUGAUAUCAGAACCUGCCCGUUUGUGACGUGUCUGAUUAGGAAAGUUUGCAAAUGUUAAGAAACUAUUUAUUGGAAGGAAAGUUGUGACGUGUUUGUUAUUUGUUUCCUAAGACAAAUUGAACCAAUAAAAGGAAUCAUUGAUUUGCAUAAUUUAAGGAAGUUAGAUUAAAAUGUAUGAUUUGUUUCCUAAAAAUCUGUUAUUUGUUUCUAAGACAAAUUGAAAGGAAUCGAUUGAUUUGCAUAAUUUAAGAAAGUUAGAUUACAAUGUAUUAUUUGUUUUCUGAAAAUCUGUUAUUUGUUUCCUAAGACAAAUUGAACCAAUAAAAUUUAAGGAAGUUAGAUCCGUGAUUUGUUAUACNNNNNNNNNNNNNNNNNNNNNNNNNNNNNNNNNNNNNNNNNNNNNNNNNNNNNNNNNNNNNNNNNNNNNNNNNNNNNNNNNNNNNNNNNNNNNNNNNNNNNNNNNNNNNNNNNNNNNNNNNNNNNNNNNNNNNNNNNNNNNNNNNNNNNNUGAAAAUAAACCGCGGACUAGGGUGGGAGGGGGUGGUGGGAGGAGAGACGAAAAAAUAGCGAAAAUAAACCGCGGAGACGAUUCACCAACUCGUCCAUUAGGAGUAUAUAUAUAUAUAUAUAUAUAUAUAUAUAUAUAUAUAUACAUACUUUAUAUUUUUACUUAUAAAAACGGAAAUGUUAACGCCCACACGUGUGGGCGUUAGCCAACUCACCCACACGCCUCCAUCACCGUUCAGUAACUUCUGCACGAAUCUUGGCACGAAUUAGCUGAUUUUGUAUGCCAUGUAGGACAACUCGCGUAUGUGGUGUGUGAGAGAGGUCGCCCACACAUCCGUUUUACCACACGGAGGGGCCGGUGUGUGGGCGUUUAGCAGUUCGCCCACACACCAGUUUCAGUCACGCACAAGGGCUGGUGUGUGGGCAGUUUGCCAUCUCGCCCACACGGCCGCCUCCUCUCCCACACCCAAACUGCCAGUUGCCAUGCAUUUUGCAGUGUACAUGGCAACUUCCCUAGUGUGAUUGUAAGGAGAUGGCAACUCUCUUUUUUUUUACCCGGACAUGUCAGUUGCCAUAUGUUUGGCAUGGUACAUGGCAAACUGCCCUAGCGUGCACGUAAGAAGAUGACAACUCUUUCUUUUUUAAAUGGCAACUGCCCUAACGUGCUUGUGAGCACAUGACAACUCUCUCUUUUACCCGAACAUGUUUUUUUCCAUGCCUUUUUUUUGUAGCGCUACAUGGCAACUGCCUAGUGUUACUAGGUGGCAACUCCUAAAGUUUUAAAAUCAUGGCAACUGCAGUAAACCAGACCACACAUGGCAACAACUGUAGUUGUCCAAAAAAUGGCAAUCUGGAACUUUGACCUGAGAUGACAACUGCAGUUGAGCAAACAUGGCAACUGUAGUUGUCCGACAUGGCAACUGCACUUAAACGAACAUGGCCGAGGGUCCGACCCAUGGCAACUGCGGGGCGCGCGGUAAAGUGUCACGUGGGGCGUGCGGGACCACGAGGUACGAGGCCUGACGUACCGGGCGUGAGUGCGUUAUCUAUUUUGCCCACACGCACACGUGUAAGAGGGACCGGGAGGGAAAAAAAGAGACAUGUGGGUGCUAGUUGUUUUGCCCACACACAGACGUGUGGGCUGGUCCUCUUAGGCACCACACAGAACGUGUGGGCAAAUUCCUUAACGCCCACACGUGUGGCAGUUAGCGGUGUCCUAUAAAAAAGAAUGAACGUCGAUAAGUGCCACACGUGUGGGCGUUAGGAAGUCCGCCCACACAUUUUGUGUGGUGUAUAAGAGGAACAGCCCACACACCUACAUGUGGGCAAAACAAGUAAUGCCCCCACACCUCUUUUUUCCCCUCCCGAUCCAUCUCACACGCGUGCGUGUGGGCGAAGUUGAUAACGCCCACAUGCCCGUUUGUCAGGCCUCGUACCUCCUGGUCUCGCAUGCCACGCGUGACAGUCACCGCGCGCCCGCAGUUGCCAUGGUCCGGUCCCUCGUCCAUGUUCGUUUAACUGCAGUUGCCAUGUCGCUGAACUACGGUUGCCAUGUCGGACAACUGCAGUUGCCAUGUAUGGUCUGGUCUAAUGUAGUUGCCAUGAUUUCAAAAUUUUAGGAGUUGCCACAUACUAACACUAGGCAGUUGAGAGUGUUUCCAUGUGCUCACAAGCAUGCUAGGGCAGUUGCCAUGUAAAAGGAAAAGUUGCCAUCUGCUUGCUUACGUGCACGUUAGGGCAGUUGCCAUAUACAUGCAUGUUAGAGGAGUUGCCAUGUACCAUGCAAAAACACAUGACAACUCGGUAAAAGAGAGUUGCCAUCUGCUUACGUGCACACUAGGCAGUUGCCGUGUACCUUGCAAAACACAUGGCAACUCGGGUAAAAAGAGAGUUGCCACCUUCUUAUAAAGCACACUAGGGGCAGUUGCCAUGUGCACUGCAAAACACAUGGCAACUAGCAGAUUGGGUGUGGGAGAGGAGACGGGCGUGUGGGCGAGAUGGCAAAUGCCCACACACUAGCCCUUGUGCGUGCGUGCAAAGUGGCGUGUGGACGAACUGCUGAACGCUCACACACCAGCCCCCUCCCGUGGGUGAAACGACCGUGUGGGCGGCCGGAUGAACACCCACACACCAGGCCAGUCCUACGUGGCACUAGAAACAUGCCAAGAUUCGUGCGCUCACGAACAAACGCGGAUCCAUGUGUGUGGGCGAGAUGCAAACGCCCACACAUGUGGGCGUUAACAUUUCCGAAAAGAAUAGAGUUUCCUUUUCUGCCAGUAGACCGCAUUCUGCCAAUCUUUUUGUCCGACCUCUCCCAUGGCCUCUCUCAUCGUGGCCUUUUCUCCUCCGGUAUAUUUGUCCAUCGCCGCCGCACACCCCUUUCAUCCUCCUCGCUCGCUCACAUCUCUGUUCCCCAUCUCCUCUCUCUCUUUCUCUCUCGUGGCCACCGCCAUCGAUUCAUGCCGCCACUACGUCAGUCAGACUCCGCCCGACUCAUCUUUCGAACAUCCACCACUGGCUCGCUGUUAUUCCUCCACACAUGGCACCACGACUAACUCUAUAUGCCUAUUUCUCCGUGCCGCUGAUGCCGCCAUCAUCAACCUUCUUUUCAUGUCUCCUUGUGUGGCCUCUUGCGCUCCUCGUCUUGGCCUCCGUCGCCCCCCUUCUGUGCCUUCCUGUGUGAGGCCACGAUAGCGGUAGAUACGACCGGUGGACACCGAAGAAGAGAAGAGGCGCAACCAUGUGGGUCGCGUCGUGCUCGUGUGAGGCAUGGAGUCGAGAGAGGGCACAUCAGUAAUAGCAUGGAGGUGUGGAUGUUCCUGCCAGGGUGGCCUCUACUGGGAAAUGUAGUAGAUAAAAAUAUUGUGUCCCUGAAAAACCCAUGAUCACUAUGAAGAUGCAAAGAGGUUUCAUCUGAUCUUUACCAACAAAUAUAUCAUAGAGAAGAGGUUGGUGAAAAUUGCUGCAGAUUCCACAGCUAGGUUCUAUCUUCCAGUCGCGAGAAUUUCUCCAGUUCGAGGAUUGAAGGGACGGUCCCUCUACCGUUAUCCAUGUGAACGGAGUCACUGAUCUAGCUGAGCUUCGCUGUCCAGAACGAAGAACUACCGGGUACUAGAGGUAUGGUGUAGCAGCCUUAAUUACAACGGAGAGAAACUUCUGAGAGACAGAGAGGGUGCAACCAACGAGCAAAAGCUGAUGUGUUGGAGGGUGCCCCGCGCAGGGCAGGGUGCGCCUUGGAGGAGGGGCUCCCCCCAGGGACAACCACACAACCACACAGGGAAUGGGUGCACCCCAAAACACUAGCCACCGCCCCUUGCUUGCACCCAAGCAUGUGGUGUGCCACUUAUGGGCCACCUUCGGCCCAUGUGGCUGCCCCCACAGGCCUAGCCAAGGAAGCAACCCAUGAUGCCUUCCAGAAAUUUCCGGAAGGUUCAAGGAUGUUUUGUAACCUUCCUAGAUCUUUAGAUGGCUUUUAGGGUUCUCCGGGACUUUCCUGAUUUUUCAUAACUUUCCGGUUUUCUCCGAAACACUUUCAAUCUUUUCAGAACGCUUUUUGUGCAUUUCUCUCAAGAUCUCCAUAUCCGAAGCCGCUCCACCGCCACAGCUCGAAUGCAUCAAUGGAUAUCAGUAGCGGUGUAGGGGAGCUUUUGGAUUUCUGGAUCUCAUUGUAGUCGCACCAAUCACCAAACCAAGCUUGUGCCAAACCGUGGCGAGUAAGGUAAGGGAUGGUUGCAGUUUGAUGGCCAAGAUAGAUACGGAAGCUCGUCGGAGUAUGCAUGAUUGCGGAUGCCAACGCGGUGAAGAGAGGAGCACAACAACUCAGGAGCGGUGGCUCAGCGCAUGUCACAGGUGCGCGUUUAACACGACCGCCCUUGCAUGUGAUGAGAUAGCACAUGCCGCUAUUUGCAUAUACUAUAGUUUGUCUUGUCCAACUAGUCUAAUCCCACUUUACUCUAAAACUAACUUCUAAUCCUGCAUCCAAUUUAAACCAUGCCACUUGUGAUAUGAUACCGUAGCCAUCAAAUUAUCAUUUAUUAUAAGCCAAGAGAAGUUAUUAAAGGGGGAGGAAACUUCCCUAUUUGUGCCACGUAACCCCGUGCCUCCCUCCUUGGCAACUCGGGGGAGAGGGGGGCUAGCACCGCCACAGUACUCCUCGAUCCCCUUUCUCAUCUCACUGCCGCAAGGGGCACUGACCGGCGAAGCUCGGCUGGUUACAAGGAUGGUGGCGUGAUACGUCUCCGUCGUAUCUAUAAUUUUUUAUUGUUUCAUGCCAAUAUUUUUCAACUUUCAUAUACUUUUUAUAUUAUUUUUGGGACUAACAUAUUGAUCCAGUGCCCAGUGUCGGUUCCUGUUUGUUGCAUGUUUUAUGUUUCGUAGAAAAUCCAUAUCAAACGGAGUCCAAACGGGAUAAAAACGGAUGGAGAAUAUUUUUGGAAUAUUUGUGAUAUUUGAGAAGAAGAAUCAAAGCGAGACGGUGCCCGAGGGGGCCACGAGGCAAGGGGGUGCGCCCCAAGGGGGUGGGCGCGCCCCUGACCCUCGUGGGCACCCCGUAAGGCGGUUGCUGCUCUUCUUUGGCCGCAAGAAAGCUAAUUUUCUGGAAAAAAAUCAUGGCGAAGGUUUCAAUCCCAUCAGAGUUACGGAUCUCCGGAUAUAUAAGAAACGGUGAAAGGGCAGAAUACCAGAACGUAGAAACAGAGAGAGACAGAGAGACAGAGAGACAUAUCCAAUUUCGGAGAGGCUCUCGCCCCUCCCACGCCAUGGAUACCAUGGAGCAGAGGGGAAACCCUUCUCCCAUCUAGAGAGAAGGUCAAGGAAGAAGAAGAAGAAGGGGGGCUCUCUCCCCCUUGCAUGCCGUGGCGCCGGAACGCCGCAGGGGGCCAUCAUCAUCACCGCGAUCUACAACACCUCCAUCAUCUUCACCAACAUCUCCAUCACCUUCCCGCAUUUAUAUUCAGUGGUCCACUCUCCCGCAACCCGUUGUACCCUCUACUUGAACAUGGUGCUUUAUGCUUCAUAUUAUUAUCCAAUGAUGUGUUUCCAUCCUAUGAUGUCUGAGUAGAUUUUCGUUGUCCUAUCGGUAAUUGGUGAAUUGCUAUGAUUGGUUUAAUUUGCUUGUGGUUAUGUUGCUGUCCUAUGGUGCUCUCCGUUCACGCAAGCGUGAGGGAUUCCCGCUAUAGGGUGUUGCAAUACGUUCAUGGUUCGCUUAUAGUGGGUUGUUUGAGUGACAGAAGCAUAAACCCGAGUAAGGGGGUUGUGUCGUAUGGGAUAAAUGGAACUUGAUACUUUAAUGCUAUGAUUGGGUUUUACCUUAAUUAUCUUUAGUAGUUGCGGAUGCUUGCUAGAGUUCCAAUCAUAAGUGCAUACUAGAUCGUCUAUUUGGACGAUUGAAUAUAUUCUUUUUUUGUAUGCACGGAGCCAUGGAGGCAGGAUGAAUAAACGUCAAAUUUACAAAAACUCAAUUGUAACAUUACUUAGUUAUCAAAGAGGAAACUUUUGCAACUAUGGCAAAGAGGAAAGCUGGGAUUUAUAGUGUCUAGUGGACUUGGAAGUUAGUUCAUGUUUGGAUUUCAUGGUCCUGCCUUAACAGUGGACUCCUUAUUGGUACUUAUGGCUGGAUUGGAAGGAGUUUUUGCGAUGAAGAUUCUAAUUUAUUACUGAUUCAUAUUUAACUAUUGUUGGCCGAGGAUACAUGUGUCUUAUUAAGGUUUGCUUGGUAAGAACGCAGUCGAUGUGCAUUUGAUCAGUCGGUCAGUCCUAAGUAACCAAUAUACAAAUCUCCUUGUUAUUGAUCUUAACUUGGUAAGACUGCAGUCGAUUUGUAUACGAGUCAUUGGUCAGUCCGUAAGUAGUCCAUAUACAAGGUCACUUGUUAUGACAACAUGCACAACAAUCUAUUAUUAUUAAAAGAAACUGUCAACAUGUAAUAUGACCAAACUCCAAUUGUUGAAUUUAAGCACAGCGUGCCGAUGAAAUCCUCAUUGGUCUCUACCUAAAGGACUGCCCGGAAAAGGGAAUGGCCCUGGUGCAUUUGGUUAACCUUGAGUUCAUUACAUCCAGGGAGAAAGAUUACUAAAGAAUAAAUUUAAUUAGGUAGGAAUCAGAAAACGAUGUAUUACAUACAUCUUUUAUACAAUGGGCCAAGUGGACGGUAGUAAUAAGAUCUUUCGUUGUGAAAACUGUCUAAAGUGCAACCUGACUGAAAGCUGUCUACAUAUGAUACACAAAGAUGCUAUCCAAAAUAAGCCAUUGUGAAAAGGGAAUUGGUUGACUUGCACGAAACAAAUAAGAUCCAAAUUGAGUUGUUACCAAUCAACAGUUGGCCACCUUGCACCACAUACACACCACAUACAAAAGGGUACAACUCCCGGUUAGGAGAGAAUUAUGUCUGACAGAGCAAGUAAUAUCAUGCGUAAGGUAGACAAUACAAACAUAAUACUCCCUCCAUUCCUAAAUAUAGGGUGUAUAGUUUUUGACACGGAAAUUAAAAAACGUAUGUGGAGGGAAAAUUUCACAAGUUUUGGGUGAGAUUACACCUGACUAAUUGACACGAGAAAAUAAAGGAGCUUGCAUGAUACAAGGAAAUGUAAUCAAAUCCCUAAAAAAAUAUCCAAAUGAGUGGUGCAACGCAAUACACCUUAUAUUUCGGAUUUUUUCUCAAAAAUCUAUACACCUUAUAUCGAGGAAUGGAGGGAGUAUAAUAUAAUAUAAAAAAAGAUAAUAACUAUCACCAGUCACAUACUGGACACGGGAUGGCAUAAGGCACCCUACAAGGCUACACUUCUCAUAUAAGAUGAGAACCCAUACAUUAGUAAUAUGAAAAUAAAUUUUGUAUGAAAAACAGAAUCAGUGUCCGAUGGAUAGGAUGCAAAUACAUUAGUAUGACCAAAGUAUGUCAUCUGACCUCUGUUUAGAUGAAAAAGUAUAUAGUUGGAGCAGUACUUGCAGCUAGAGUAAUAUUUCUUGAGCAGAUAGUUAAACAUUGGUAAUGUGUACUUUCUAAUCAAUUCAGCUAACUCUGCAGAUAAUAACUAUCUAACAUUACAGAUGUAUAUGCAUUUUAGAUGCAAUAAUACUCCCACUCUUCGAGACAUUACAUGGAAUUUGCAAUUGUACCUGUAUCUGUUCAGAAGCUACUUUAGGUGUAAAUUUACAUCCGGUUGAAAGUAGAGGAUUCUCACUUGCUUCCUGCCCAUUGGUGCACUCAAGAUUUUCCUUUCGGAAUCUGAAUAACCGCAUGAUUCACCGAGAACCAAUACUGUGAAAAAAUGCAUGUGCUGUGAAAAAAAUGCAUGUGAACCUUAAAUAGUACGCUGUAGUGCUUGCUGAUCAAUCCACCAGUUGGUACCACGCAUAAAUAGCCUUAGCUUAUAUGAACCUGAACCUAAAGAGCUAUGAAAUCAGUAGAGGGGAAGGUAUAGUGUAACCUGAAAGUUCAAGGUUAACAGUUUCGAGAUGUGAAACAGUCCCAUAUAUAUAAAACUUUAAAAUUGCCAAAAAUUAGAAUCACAUAUUUGGCCGGUCCUGACAGUAAUACUGAGAAAUCUAAAACAAGGGAGAAGACAAGCUCAACAUGGACGGAUAUUCACAAGAUUCAUGUUGAAAUAAUGAUGGGAACCUACAGUGAGAAGACGACAUUGGUGGUGGAAGAACUACUCGGUUAAACUGCAAGAAUAAUAUAAGAGAAUGAGGCGACGAAGCAACUAUUAUAUAGGCGCACAAACAAGAACGUGCCUCCAUUAAUCACGGCCGGUGAGUGCCGCACAUCAAUGACCAUGAAGGCUUCCAGAAACGGAUGCUCCAACACUGACGGGUCGGCUUCAAUCGUCGGGAUCACUCAGCAUCGAUUUGAUUCCUUGCGCAUGGGCUGGAGCCAGAUCCUGCUCCUCCAAUCGAUCCGAGCGCUCACAUAGACUUGCCUUGAUCCCGCACCUCUGGUGGAUCACACCGAGCGACGCACACCGGUGGGCGGCUCCUCUGCGCCUGAUUCGUCUGGAUCCCUUUAGCGAAGCCGACCACCACUGGACCUUCAGCAAAGCACUGGAAUGGGCUUGCUGACGGCCUAGUUUACCACAGGCCUUCGUUUCGGCCUCUGGAGCAGCAGCCCACCGGACAGCCGGACCAAAUUACACACAGUGCGGGAUAGAACGUUUUUUUACGUCAGAUCCGACGGCCAGGAACGCCGAGAUCACAAAAACGGACGGCCGAAAACCCAAAACGUUGUGAGGGUAGGGAUUAAGUGCGGUUAUACUGUCCUUAAUGAUCCAAUAAGAGAAAGUAUGUUAGCUUAUGCCUCUCCCACAUAAAACUUGCUAUUGGUCUAGUAAAGUAGUCAAUUGCUUAGGGAUAAUUCCACAACUCCUACCACCACUUUUCCACACUCGCUAUAUUUACUUUAUUGCUUCUUUAUCUAAAUAGCCCCUAGUUUAUAUUUAAGUGCUCUUUAUAUUUUUGUAAACCUAUCCAACAACACCUACAAAGUCCUUCUAGUUUCAUACUUGUUUUUGGUAAAGCGAACGUUAAACGUGCAUAGAGUUGUAUCGGUGGUCAAUAGAGCUUGAGGGAAUAUUUGUUCUACCUUUAGCUCCUCGUUGGGUUCGACACUCUUAUUUAUGGAAAGAGGCUACAAUUGAUCCCCUAUACUUGUGGGUUAUCAUGGCGGCAGGGUGCUGCAUUGCCUAAUUUGAGGUGGUAAGGUGGGCAUUCCUUUUGCACGUGGGUGUGGCUACUACCAUGGCAGGGCUAGGUACAAUGUAUUGACAGAAAAAACGCAAGGUGGCUGCUCGCAGUGGAUCUGGCAUCUAGGCUAGCGGUUGCCUAUGGCCACAAUUAGAGGGGUUGGCGGUGGAGUGGUGGUCAUGGUUGCGGCCUGCGGGGACAGGUACAUAAUGGUGGGUGGAGUGUUGGUCGGUGGCGGUGGAUUGGGGGUUCCUGUCCAUACAAGAUCCUAGUGCCGCCUCUCUGUUCUGGGGGUGCAGUGCCAAGGGCUUGCACAGUUGGCGGAGGUGAUAGUGUGGCAACCAAGACCGAAUGACAAAUCCUACCUUCCAUCGACAUCGGUGCUCGAGGUGACUGACUGUGUCUAUGGAUGUUCUCUUUCCAGACAUGGCAAGGGUGCCCUCCGCGGUCUAGCAGGAGGGAGUUGAAGUCUCACACUCAUGUGAUUGUCGGACUCGAAAGCCAGCAUGUCGCGGUGAAGUUCAUGUCAUGAAGAUUCAAGCGAAAGCCUAUUGUCGACUUGGUUGGCUGUGAUGAUGGUGACACCGUCGGGUAUCGCUUACCUUCUUUGGUGGAUUUGCCAGAUGAUUGGCAAAUCCAUAGAAAAUAAAUGGAUCUUCAAGAAGAAGACUGACGCUAACGGUAAUGUUACUGUCUACAAAGAUCGACUUGUUGUGAAAGGUUUUCAACAAGUUCAAGGAGUUGUCUACGAUGAGACUUUCUCUCCUGUAGCAAUGCUUAAGUCUGUCUGAAUCAUGUUAGCAAUUGCCGCAUUUUAUGAUUAUGAAAUUUGGCAGAUGGAUGUCAAAAUUGCAUUCCUGAAUGGAUUUCUAGAAGAAGAGUUGUAUAUGAUGCAACCAGAAGGUUUUGUCGAUCCAAAGGGUGCUAACAAAGUGUGCAAGCUCCAUCGAUCCAUUUAUGGACUGGUGCAAGCCUCUCAGAGUUGGAAUAAACACUUUGAUAAUGUGAUCAAAGCAUAUGGUCUUAUACAGACUUUUGAAGAGGCCUGUAUUUACAAGAAAGUGAGUGGGAGCUCUGUAGCAUUUCUAAUAUUAUAUGUGGAUGACAUAUUGUUGAUUGGAAAUGAUAUAGAAUUUCUGGAUAUCAUAAAAGGAUACGUGAAUAAGAGUUUUUCAAUGAAAGAUCUCGGUGAAGCUGCUUACAUAUUGGGCAUCAAGAUCUAUAGAGAUAGAUAGACGCUUAAUUGGACUUUCACAAAGCACAUACCUUGAUAAAGUUUUGAAGAAGUUCAAAAUGGAUCAGUCAAAGAAAGGGUUUUUGCCUGUGUUACAAGGUGUGAAGUUGAGUCAGACUCAAUACCCGACCACUGUAGAAGAUAGAGAGAAAAUGAAAGUCAUUCCCUAUGCUUCAGCCAUAGGUUCUACCAUGUAUGCAAUGUUGUGUACCAGACCUGAUGUGUGCCUUGCUAUAAGUAUAACAGGGAGGUACCAAAGUAAUCCCGGAGUGGAGCACUGGACAGCGGUCAAGAACAUCCUGAAAUGCAUGAAAAGGACUAAGGAUAUGUUUCUCUUUUAUGGAGGUGACAAAGAGCUCGUCGUAAACGGUUAUGUUGAUGCAAGCUUUGACACUGAUCCGGAUGACUCUAAGUCGCAAUCCAGAUACAUAUUUUUAUUGAAUGGUGGAGUUGUCAGUUGGUGCAGUUCCAAGCAAAGCGUCAUGGCGGGAUCUACGUGUGAAGUGGAGUACAUGGCUGCUUCGGAAGCAACAAAUAAUGAAGGAGUUCAUAUCCGAUCUAGGUGUCAUAACUAGUGCACCGGGUUCAAUGAAAAUCUUUUGUCAUAAUACUGGUGCAAUUGCCUUGGCGAAGGAAUCCAUAUUUCACAAGAGAACCAAGCACAUCAAGAGACGCUUCAAUUCCAUCCGUCAUCAAGUGUCGGAGGGAGACAUAGAGAUUAUCAAGAUACAUACGGAUCUGAAUGUUGCUGACCCAUUGACUAAGCCUCUUCCAUGAGCAAAACAUAAUCAACACCAAGACUCCAUGGGUGUUAGAAUCAUUACUUUGUAAUCUAGAUAAUUGACUCUAGUGCAAGUGAGAGACUGAAGGGAAUAUGCCCUAGAGGCAAUAAUAAAGUUAUUAUUUAUUUCCUUAUUGUGACGCCCGGGUAAUUAAGCUACAGUAAUUCCCUACUAAUGAUGCCAUGUCACCAUGGUUACUGUUUUUAACCUCACGUUAGUUUAAAACAGAUUCAAAAUUCAAAUUCAAAAUAUGGCAAACAACAAAAGUUUUCAAACAUCAAAACUAAAAUGUUGGGAGUGAACCAAAUAUUGCAUAGGUAAUUAUGAUGGAGAAACCACACCUAUAUAAAAUGUUUAAAUACUAUAAGAUGAAUAAAACAACAACAAAAACAAUUUAUUAAAUACCUUUUGUAAUUAAUAAAAUGUCAAAAUAAUUUAUUUGAGGUUUAGACUUUUUGUGAUUAUGGGCUAAGUUGAGAUCCUAAAUUAGAUGCUAAGUGUAUGUUUUACUAAAACUAAAAUAAUUGGAAAUAAAGUAAAACAGUAGAAAGUAGAUAAAUAAAAAGAAUAGAAAAGUAAAAUAAAACAAAGAAAGGAAACCCCCUGGCCAACUGGGCCAAACGGCCCAGCCGACCAGCCCAACCAGCCCAGCCCGCCGGCCCACCCCACUCCCCAUAACCCCCUGUCGGUGAAACCCUAACCAACACCCCACCCACUCUCUCCUCCCUCUCGCCCCUCCCCCCCAAUCUGGAUCGGGGCACUCGGGCCCCAACCUCGCGCCGUUGCCAUUCACCAAACCAGGCGCCCCACCGCCGUCGCCCAUCGCCGGAUCGACCUCGCCGGACUGCCUCCUCGCCUCCUCAUCCCCCGCCUCGCCGGCCNNNNNNNNNNNNNNNNNNNNNNNNNNNNNNNNNNNNNNNNNNNNNNNNNNNNNNNNNNNNNNNNNNNNNNNNNNNNNNNNNNNNNNNNNNNNNNNNNNNNNNNNNNNNNNNNNNNNNNNNNNNNNNNNNNNNNNNNNNNNNNNNNNNNNNNNNNNNNNNNNNNNNNNNNNNNNNNNNNNNNNNNNNNNNNNNNNNNNNNNNNNNNNNNNNNNNNNNNNNNNNNNNNNNNNNNNNNNNNNNNNNNNNNNNNNNNNNNNNNNNNNNNNNNNNNNNNNNNNNNNNNNNNNNNNNNNNNNNNNNNNNNNNNNNNNNNNNNNNNNNNNNNNNNNNNNNNNNNNNNNNNNNNNNNNNNNNNNNNNNNNNNNNNNNNNNNUCCUCGACCCCCAUUGCCCCGUCCUCUGCAACCCACGGUGAGGCCCCCGGCCUCCGCCUCCCCCUCUCCUCCUCCUGUCUCCCGCGUGCAUGCGCUCACAGCCGUGGCCUCGUGCCGCGCGCGCCGAUGCCGUCCUGCACGCGUUCGCCUGUUGCCGCGCUAGAGAGCUCUGGCUGUCGCUCGUGCUCACUACCGUGUGGUCGCGCUCACGCACACCCCUGGCCGCACCUACUGUCGCCCCGUCGCCGCACACCAUGGCCACAGUCCGUGCCCGGACGCGCCCCGCAUCGCGGUCGCCACGUCCGGCUCGUGCGUCGCGUGCCCCUGGAGCAUCCAUGCCACGCGCCUCACCGCUGCCUCGGUGGGUGCCUAGCCCCGCAGCGCCCUAACAGGGGCGGGCUGGCGCCCGUCGCCGGCUACGCCCGUUCGCCCGUCCGCUGUGCCCGCUAAGGACCCCUGUACCAUUGACAACGGGCCCACCCCCGGUACCAGAACGUCUAUUAAAACAAAGGAUUAAAAAAAUAUCUAAUAAUAAAAAUAAAUUUAAUUAAUUAAUUAACUAAAUUAAUUAACUUAAUCAAUCUUGUUUAGUUAACCUAAUUAAUUAUUGUUAACUAAUUAAACAGUAAUUAGAUUAGUUAAAUCCUAAUUAGAAUAAACGGAGUAUGACCUACGUGACCCACACGUCAGAUUGACCCAAUCAACAUCCUGUUGACUGCUGAUGUCAUGAUGACGUCAACAUACACUAUUCUGGAUAAUGUUAGAAUUAAAUAGAUAAUAAUUUAGAAAAUGAUUUAAAACUUUAAAAAAUAAUAGAAAAUAAACCGUAGCUCGGAUGAAAAUACUUUGUACAUGAAAGUUGCUCAGAACGACGAGACAAAUCCGGAUAUGCAGCCCUUUCGUCCGCCACACAUCCCUAACAUAUCGAACACAUAACUUUCCCCCUCCGGUUCAUCUGUCCGAAAAUGCGAAACACCGGGGAUACUUUCCCGGAUGUUUCCCCCCCUUCGUCGGUAUCACCUACUACCGCGAUUGGGCACACCUAACACCGAUCAUUGUCAUGUCAUGCAUCGUCAUGCUUAUGUUUGCAUUGUAUUUACUGUUGUCCCCCCUCUUCUCUCUGGUAGACUACGAGACCGACGCUGUUGCUGCCCAGUUCGACUACGGAGUUGAUGACCCCUCCUUGCCAGAGCAACCCGGCAAGCCCCCCCUCCCUUGAUCACCAGAUAUUGCCUAUUCUUUUCUAUACUGUUUGCAUUAGACUAGUGUAGCAUGUUACUGUAUGGUUACUCCUAUUCUGUUGCAUAUCCUGUCAUUGUUGCUACAGUCGUUGAUACCGUACCCGCAAUCCUAAAUGCUUAGUAUGGGAUGCUAGUUCAUCAUCAUUGGCCCUACAUCCUUGUCAGUCUGCCUUGCUAUACUAUCGGGCCGUGAUCACCUGGGAGGUGAUCACGGGUAUAUACUAUACAUACAUACUAUACAGAUGAUGACUAAAGUCGGGUUGGCUCGUUGAGUACCCGCAAGUGAUUCGGAUAAGGGGGCUGAAAGGACAGGUGGCUCCAUCCCGGUAGAGGUGGGUCUGGGUUCCCGAUGGCCCCCGACUGGUACUUUGUGGCGGAGCGACAGGGCAGGUUGAGACUACCUAGGCGAGAGGUGGGCCUAGCCCUGGUCGGCAUUCACGGUUGCUUCAUAAUAACACGCUUAACGAGAUCUUGGUAUUUGAUCUGAGUCUGGCCACUGGCCUAUACGCACUAACCAACUACACGGGAAAGAUAUGGGCACUCGACGUCGUGGUAUCAGCCGAAGCCUUCGUGACAUCAGCGGCUGAGCGGCGCGCGCCGGGUUGGACUGCGUUAACGCAACUUCCUUUGUAAUGGAGGUUGCUAGGUCUGCUUCUGGCCGCCCUCGCAACGUGUAGGUGUGCAAUGGGAGAUGGGCCCAGACCCCUGCACGCAUAGGAUUUAGACCAAUGUGCUGACCUCUCUGUUGUGCCUAGGUGGGGCUGCGACGUGUUGAUCUUCCGAGGCCGGGCAUGACCCAAAAAAGUGUGUCCAGCCAAAUGGGAUCCAGCGUGUUGUGUUAUGUGUUGCACCCCUGCAGGGAAGUUUAUCUAUUCGAAUAGCUGUGUCCCUCGGUAAAAGGACGACCCAGAGUUGUACCUUGACCUUAUGACAACUAGAACCGGAUACUUAAUAAAACACACCCAGAAAGUUCCACAGACAUCCCGGUGAUCGCUUUUCCACAGGGCGACGAGGGGAGGAUCGCCGGGUAGGAUUAUGCUAUGCGAUGCUACUUGGAGGACUUCAAUCUACUCUCUUCUACAUGUUGCAAACCGGAGGCUGCCAGAAGCAUAGUCUUCGAUAGGACUAGCCAUCCCCCUCUUAUUCUGGCAUUCUACAGUUCAGUCCACCGAUAUUGCCUCUUUACACAUAUACCCAUGCAUAUGUAGUGUAGAUCCUUGCUUGUGAGUACUUUGGAUGAGUACUCACGGUUGCUUUGCCCCCUCUUUUCCCCCGUUUCCCUCUUCUUCUCGGAUGCCGCAACCAGGCGUUGGAGCUCAGGAGCCAGACGCCACCGUCGACGACUCCUACUACACUGGAGGUGCCUACUACUACGUGCAGGCUGCUGACGACGACCAGGAGUAGUUAGGAGGAUCCCAGGCAGGAGGCAUGCGCCUCUUUCGAUUUGUAUCCCAGUUUGUGCUAGCCAUCUUAUGGCAACUUGUUUAACUUAUGUAUGUACUCAGAUAUUGUUGCUUCCGCUGACUUGUUUAUGUCGAGCACUUGUAUUCGAGCCCUCGAGGCCCCCGGCUUGUAAUAUGAUGCUUAUAUGACUUGUUUUAUUUUUAGAGUUUUGUUGUGAUAUCUUCCCGUGAGUCCCUGAUCUUGAUCGUACACGUUUGCAUGCAUGAUUAGUGUAUGAUUGAAUCGGGGGCGUCACAAGUUUGUAUCAGAGCCGACUGCCUGUAGGAAUCCCCCUUCCACACUCCUUGGCCUAAGUCGAGUCUAGAUAUUACAAAACUGUUUGACUAACAUGGCUGUGCGGCCCAUGGGCCCAUGUUGCCAUUGGGUGGUAUGAGGAUCUUUUAUUCCUCGUCUAUACUCUGGGAUUCUGAUCUCUAUUCUACUCGAGUUAAAUGAUUUUUGCUAACUCUAACACUAGGUUCUCGUAACUACUUUCUCCCGGAGAGCCCCUCACUCCAGAUGAUUGCUUGGUGCACCGAAAGAUUCCAAAGAUACACUCUGAUGUUCUCUCGAGACCUUGUGCCUAUUGCUUUUGCAAUUCCCUACCACCGAAAUAUCCCUAUGGAUAAAUACAUACACCCGUUGUUCUUACUUAUAUCCCCGGUUGAUCUUGCUCUCUAUUGAUAUGAGAAUACCUUGUCUACUGCCUUGUAGUUCUUUACCACAUGAAUACCCCUGCAAAUAAUUACUCGCACUUAUCGAGUAUUCAUCCAUCCCCAGUUGUUCAUAUGUUUCAUAUGAUACUUUGAAAUUCUAUCCGAUCAUUCGAGAAUCCUCUUUAAAACUAUUGCUCUACAUAUACUUGUCUGCUUGCAUUAUGGAUGCUUCCCAUAGGUCUAGCAACAUUCAUUAGUCUCCUUUAACACCAUCAUUUUGAUCCUAUUGAUUAAAACAUGAGUGUGAAUGCACGCAAUCAUCGGUCAAUUCUUAUAAAAUUAUCUUUCCGGCUGAGAUGUCAUUUUGAACAUGAUCUGUUUAUCAACCAAUCAAAUUGUCGUCGAUUGUACCCCCUAAGUCUAUUCAGCUUACCCAUCCUUAAUCAGAGCGUUUGCUUCUGAUCCCUUGAAUCAGAAAUCAUGAUUCUUUACAUUGAGCUUUGAAUUAGUCAGUUGCUUCUAUAAUCCAAUGCAUUCACAUUGUUUCUUCCUCUGCUUGUGUACCGAUACUCACAUCAGCUCGCUAUGGACCAUCGGAUCCUUUGUUGUAAUAUCAUCCGACAGUGUCCUUCAUAUACAAAAACCUCGAGAAGAUCUUUCCCUAAUACAUAAUGCAUUCGCUAAAUUGUAUCCUCUCCUUUUGUCACCCAUGCCCUAUUAUCGAGCUUGUGUUAAUUACUAUUGAAGUUUGUGGUAUAUGUUCCUAAGAUGCCCUGAUGGGUUGAACCUACGCGUUCCCUAAUCCAUGUGAACCCGAAAGAUUUCACGGGUCAUACUUAUCUGGUAUUGCACCAGGUAAAACUUUCAAGAACUAAUGUCAUUUUUGAAAUAUGAGAGGUGAAUGGAAGGUUAUGCAUUGACGAAGUGGGAGUUGACCUUGAACCUUUGGGUUCAUGCCCAUGGACACGAUGUAGAUCCUAUCAUGGAAGCUUCUUGCAAUAAUAACUAUUUCCUUGAAAAUAUCAUCUGGAUCUGUGAAUUGAUCCUUUGCAAUCGUGGUUCUGACCAUAAUUUCUUCUUUUGAUUUCAUUUCUCAGACAAGUAAAAGCGCUUGUCUUCUAUAGAUCAAUACACCCCACUUCAACCUUUAAUUUGAUAUGCCUUCGAGUAUUAUCUCCCUGGUAUCUCGAGGAUAUCAUGCCAUUGCACUACAUCUUAUGAAUUUGUGCCAGAGUAAUACCUUUCCCUAUCAUAGUCACUCCAUGAGUUUUGGGUUGUCGUCAACCGAGAACACCGAAUAGUGAAUCAACUCCGCACUGCGAUUCGACAACUCUUAGUAAUCUUCAUUGAGUUUAAUACUCCAUCAUGUCAUUCCUAGCCUUAUCGGCUACAUCAUUAUCGUGCUAAAUUUAACUGUGCUAUCUGGUUCUUCCCGGAGCACAAAUUUCGACGGUGAGCUAUCUUAUGUGGAUCUUCCUCGUCAUAUCAUUUCUCCUUGAACAACGAAAUUGAUUUCGAGUUUGUGUCGUACCCAUGGUUCCAAUAACCUUUCGCUUCAUCUUUCCUUCAACUUGAUGUCAUCGCCGAUCGAUUACAUCUUCAUGAGAUCUCUCGACAAAUGUGUCGUGAUCAUCAUCAGCAUUCUGAGCUCUUCCAAGAUAUCUAUCGAAUUCUUGAUGAGAAAUACCACCCUUUGCUCUCGGUGAUUUGUGUUAUCAUCGACCACUUUAUUGCAUUUCGUUCAACAAAAACUUGUUCGUGUUUUGUGUUAUACCUUGAGCUCCUCACUAUCUAGCUCAUGUUCUAUUUUACCUUGGAGUAUUACCAUCUCUUUUGUCAAUAAUGUGGUGAGAAUUUCACCACCUAUCAAGAAUUCUUGAUAUAAUAACACUUCUCGCCAUCUCCGUUCAUUCCUUGGUCCCUGUGUUGUUUUUACCCGGAAUACCGACAAUUGAGCUAUGACACGUGAAUUCAAAACUUCUAGCAACCCUAUUGCUUUGAAGUGAAUGGGCGAUAGUUUCAUUAUAAGUCUUUUGAUGAUUGAAUCACCAUUCUAAACAUUGAUCAUGCUACCUAAGCCCAUAUUAUGGGUGCACCUUUCAACCAAUGUUUAAUUGUGUAGGUUUUCCUCGAGCAUGCAUCAUUAUACCAUUUGAUCUAACAAAUGCUAUCUCCUUGUUCACAUAACUGUGGAAAUCCAUCCUUUGGGAAUCUUGAUGAUUUGUCGCUGAGUUCAUCAGCCACCUCAUCAUCCUCUCCUUGGUUUACUGAUGAACUCUUGUUUUACUGAUGAACUCUUGGUUCGGAACUCACUUCCAUAGUUCAUUUCCCGAUAAUCUUAUGAUGUCUUCUCGUUAAUUCGUGUCACACCUUUUUAUCUCAGGAUCCUGAGUCUGAGGUAUCCUAACACCGAUCAGGUCUGAAUCUCGGUCAGAUAUAAUGGUUGGAACAUUUUUCCAAGAGUUAUAACACUGGUCUUUUAUGACCCGGUAAGGUGAUGUCAUGCCCAGCACACCUGGCCGAAGGACCUACUGUUAUAGUUUCCUUUUUAGCAAGGUUAUCCAUUCUUCCAUGAGGAAAUUGUAAGACUUAUUCUACAAGUUGUUCCUGAUGGAUCCUUCCUGUAUUUAAAGUUCGACCUUUGCUUGAAGACCAUGUCAAUGCUAUCUCGAAGCAUGUAUGUGGUACUCCUAUCAUCAAUAAGAACAUUUGAAGCACAAUGCUAAAUUUCCCUUAUCAGUUAUCCAAACACUGUUGUAUGGGUACGUAUCAUGAUUCUUCUUAUCCCUUUUAUCUGAAUGGUCAUGCCUUUGGUCUCGUGUCAUGGAUAUCAUUCUCUAUUUGUCCUUGGUAAGGCCUUGAGAUAUGUGUUUAAACACAUUUUCCUUUCCAUUGUUCUGUUUAAACCUGAUAAUCACUUUUCCCUUCCGUUGGUUUGUUUAAACAUUCUUGUGAUCUAUAUAAUAUAAGCAGUAAUAUAUCCCUGCUUAAGUAAACACCUUGUUGUACCACUCUGUCAAAAGGACACUGUUACUUUUGUUGAUGACAUUUCGGUAACCACCGAUGGACGAGAACUUUGCCUACUGGUCCGCCUCGUUCAACGAGCAGGAAAAUGGUUCUCUUCGUCCCUCGCACUUGGUACCGAUGUUGUUGCCGACAUAACUGACAGGGUAUUCUCUGGCAUGCCUUGCUAUCAUGACUGUGCAAGAGGCCAGCGCCCUUUCUAUUUUUAACCCAUAUGGUGGGACCAUAACGCACAGUUCCACAUGAUCAAAACCUGACUCUUCUGUAUAUCCCUAUCCCCCGAAGUUAUAUCUCGAGCCUGGCUAUGUAUGUAAAUCACGGGCCGCCUUCCUAGUGAUUUAUUCUGGUAUCAGAACUUAUUCUCAUUGUCCUGAAACCCUUUCACCUUCUGAUUAGGCAUCAAAUGAUUGCCUAUCCAUUUGAAACUCCUCAUGGUACCUUCUUACUAGGCUCUCAAUAUUUCCUUAAGUUUCAAUUCGAGAGUUACUUCCGCCACCCUCCCCGAUGUUAUCGACCAGAUAGUCAAACUUGCGGAGGUCCAUUCUCUCGGAAUACCCACCCUUUAUUCUUUCGUAAAUACGAUGGAGUUCCCAAAGAAAGGACGACAACUUCAUCAUGAUGCAUUGAUGCAUAGGUAUGAAGAAAUCAACGCUAUGGAUCGACAACCAAGACCGACAAGAUUCGUUAGAAUUUCGUAACCAGGCCUUCCCCCCUUAUCCCACCUCUUAAAUCUCGGGACGAGAUUUCUUGUAGUGGAGGAGAAUUGUGACGCCCGGGUAAUUAAGCUACAGUAAUUCCAUGCUAAUGAAGCCACAUCACCAUGGUUACUGUUGUUAACCUCACGUUACUUUAAAACGGAUUCAAAAUUCAAAUUCAAAAUAUGGCAAAUAACAAAAGUUUUCAUCAAAACUAAAAUGUUGGAGUGAACCAAAUAUUGCAUAGGUAAUUAUGAUGGAGAAACCACACCUUUAUAAAAUGUUUAAAUACUAUAAGAUUAAUAAAACAACAGCAAAAACAAUUUAUUAAAUACCUUUUGUAAUUAAUAAAAUGUCAAAAUAAUUUAUUUGAGGUUUAGACUUUUUGUGAUUAUGGGCUAAGUUGAGAUCCUAAAUUAGAUGCUAAGUGUAUGUUUUACUAAAACUAAAAUAAUUGGAAAUAACGUAAAACAGUAGAAAGUAGAUAAAUAAAAAGAACAGAAAAGUAAAAUGAAACAAAGAAAGGAAACCCCCUGGCCAACUCGGCCAAACGGCCCAGCCGGCCAGCCGAACCAGCCCAGCCCGCCGGCCCACCCCACUCCCCAUAACCCCAUGUCGGUAAAACCCUAACCGACACCCCACUCACUCUCUCCUCCCUCUCGCCCCUCCCCCCAAUCUGGAUCGGGGCACUCGGGCCCCAACCUCGCGCCGCCGCUGUUCACCGAACCAGGCGCCCCACCACCGUCGCCCAUCGCCGGAUCGACCUCGCCAGACUGCCUCCUCGCCUCCUCAUCCCCCGNNNNNNNNNNNNNNNNNNNNNNNNNNNNNNNNNNNNNNNNNNNNNNNNNNNNNNNNNNNNNNNNNNNNNNNNNNNNNNNNNNNNNNNNNNNNNNNNNNNNNNNNNNNNNNNNNNNNNNNNNNNNNNNNNNNNNNNNNNNNNNNNNNNNNNNNNNNNNNNNNNNNNNNNNNNNNNNNNNNNNNNNNNNNNNNNNNNNNNNNNNNNNNNNNNNNNNNNNNNNNNNNNNNNNNNNNNNNNNNNNNNNNNNNNNNNNNNNNNNNNNNNNNNNNNNNNNNNNNNNNNNNNNNNNNCGACCCCCGUUGCCCCAUCCUCUACAACCCACGGUGAGGCCACCGGCCUUCGCCUCCCCCUCUCCUCCUCGUGUCUCCCGCAUGCAUGCACUCACGGCCAUGGCCUCGUGCCGCGUGCGCCGGCGCCGUCCCACAUGCGUUCGCCUGUUGCCGUGCUAGCGAGCUACGGCUGUCGCUCGUGCUCACUGCCGUGUGGUUGCGCUCACACGCGCCCCUGGCCAUGCCCACUGUCGCCCCGUCGCCGCACACCCUGGCCACAGUCCGUGCCCGGAGGCGCCCCCACACCGCGGUCGCCACGUCCGGCUCGUGCGUCGCGCGCCCCUGGAGCAUCCAUACCAUGCGCCUCGCCGCUGCCCCGGUGGGUGCCUAGCCCCGCAGCUCCCUGACGGGGGCGGGCUGGCGCCCGUCGCCGGCUUCGCCAUUUGCCCGUCCGCUGUGCCUGCUGAGGACCCCUGUACCAUUGACAACGGGGCCCCACCCCCAGUACCAGAACGUCUAUUAAAAAAGGAUUAAAAAUAUAUCUAAUAAUAAAAAUAAAUUUAAUUAAUUAAUUAGCUAAAUUAAUUAACUUAAUCAAUCUUGUUUAGUUAACCUAAUUAACUAUUGUUUAAUAAUUAAAUAGUAAUUAGAUUAGUUAAAUCCUAAUUAGAAUAAACAGAGUAUGACCUACGGGACCCACACGUCAGAUUGACCCAGUCAACACCCUCUUGACUGCUGACGCCAUGCUGACGUCAGCAUACACUAUUCUGGAUAAUGUUAGAAUUAAAUAGAUAAUAAUUUAUAAAAUGAUUUAAAACUUUAAAAAUUAAUAGAAAAUAAACCGUAGCUCGGAUGAAAAUACUUUGUACAUGAAAGUUGCUCAGAACGACGAGACGAAUCCGGAUGCGCAGCCCUUUCGUCCGCCACACAUCCCUAACAUAUCAAACACAUAACUUUCCCCCUCCAGUUCCUCUGUCCGAAAAUGCAAAACAUCAGGGAUACUUUCCCGGAUGUUUCCCCCCUUCGUCGGUAUCACCUACUACCGCGAUUGGGCACACCUAACACCGCUCAUUGUCGUGUCAUGCAUCGUCAUGCUUAUGUUUGCAUUGUAUUUACUAUUUCUUCCCCCUCUUCUCUCCGGUAGACUACGAGACCGACGCUGUUGCUGCCCAGUUCAACUAUGGAGUUGAUGACCCCUCCUUGCCAGAGCAACAAGGCAAGCCCCCCCCCCUUGAUCACCAGAUAUUGCCUAUUCUUUUCUAUACUGCUUGCAUUAGAGUGGUGUAGCAUGUUACUGUUCGGUUACUCCUAUUUUGUUGCAUAGCCUGUCAUUAUUGCUACAGUCGUUGAUACCUUACCCGCAAUCCUAAAUGCUUAGUAUAGGAUGCUAGUUCAUCAUCAUUGGCCCUACAUUCUUGUCAGUCUGCCUUGCUAUACUAUCGGGCCGUGAUCACCUGGGAGGUGAUCACGGGUAUAUACUAUACAUACAUACUAUACAGAUGAUGACUAAAGUCGGGUUGGCUCGUUGAGUACCCGCAAGUGAUUCGGAUAAGGGGGCUGAAAGGACAGGUGGCUCCAUCCCGGUAGAGGUGGGUCUGGGUUCCCGACGGCCCUCGACUGGUACUUUGUGGCGGAGCGACAGGGCAGGUUGAGACCACCUAGGCGAGAGGUGGGCCUAGCCCUGGUCGGCGUUCGUGGUUGCUUCAUAAUAACACGCUUAACGAGAUCUUGGUAUUUGAUCUGAGUCUGGCCACUGGCCUAUACACACUAACCAACUACAAAGGGAAGGAGAGUGCAUUUACAUACCCUUGUAGAUCGCUAAGUGGAAGCGUUCAAUAGAACAGGGUUGAAGGAGUCGUACUCGUCGUGAUCCAAAUCACCGGAGAUCCUAGUGCCGAACGGACGGCACCUCCGCGUUCAACACACGUGCAGCCCGGUGACGUCUCCCAUGCCUUGAUCCAGCAAGGAGAGAGGGAGAGGUUGGGGAAGACUCCGUCCAGCAGAAGCACAACGGCGUGGUGGUGGUGGAGGAGCGUGGCAAUCCUGCAGGGCUUCGCCAAGCACCGCGGGAGAGGAGGAGAAAGAGAGGUAGGGCUGCGCCAACAGGAGAAGAACUUCAUGUGUUGGGUUGCCCCUUUGCCUCCAUGAUAUAUAGGGGGAGAGGGAGGGUUGCGGCCCCACCUAGGGUUCCCUCCCUAGGGAUGGCGGCAGCCCCAAUCCCCAUCUGGGUGGCGGCCAAGGGGGGGAGAGGGGAAACUUGCCCCCCAAGUAAGGUGGGUGCGCCCCCUCCCCAAACCCUAGGCGCCUUGGGCCCUUGUGGGGGGGCGCACCAGCCCACCUGGGGCUGGACCCCUCCCACACUUGGCCCAUGCCGCCCUUUGGGGCCGGUGGCCCCACUUGGUGGACCCCCCCGGGACCCUCCCGGUGGUCCCGGUACGUUACCAAUAACACCCGAAACUUUUCCGGUGACCAAAACAGGACUUCCAUAUAUAAAUCUUUAGCUCCAGACCAUUCCGAAACUCCUCGUGACGUCCGGGAUCUCAUCCGGGACUCUGAACAACAUUCGGUAACCACGUAUAUCUAUUCCCUAUAACCCUAGCAUCAUCGAACCUUAAGUGUGUAGACCCUACGGGUUCGGGAACCAUGCAGACAUGACCGAGACGUUCUCCGGUCAAUAACCAACAGCGGGAUCUGGAUACCCAUGUUGGCUCCCACAUGUUCCACGAUGAUCUCAUCGGAUGAACCACGAUGUCAAGGACUCAAUAAAUCCCGUAUACAAUUCCCUUUGUCCAGCGGUAUUAUACUUGCCCGAGAUUCGAUCGUCGGUAUGCCGAUACCUUGUUCAAUCUCGUUACCGGCAAGUCUCUUUACUCGUUCCGUAACACAUCAUCCCGUGAUCAACCCCUUGGUCACAUUGUGCACAUUAUGAUGAUGUCCUACCGAGUGGGCCCAGAGAUACCUCUCCGUCAACCGGAGUGACAAAUCCUAGUCUCGAUUUGUGCCAACCCAACAGACACUUUUGGAGAUACCCGUAGUGCACCUUUAUAGCCACCCAGUUACGUUGUGACGUUUGGUACACCCAAAGCAUUCGUACGGUAUCCAGGAGUUGCACAAUCUCAUGGUCUAAGGAAAUGAUACUUGACAUUAGAAAAGCUUUAGCAUACAAACUACACGAUCUUUGUGCUAGGCUUAGGAUUGGGUCUUGUCCAUAACAUCAUUCUCCUAAUGAUGUGAUCUCGUUAUCAACGACAUCCAAUGUCCAUGGUCAGGAAACCGUAACCAUCUAUUGAUCAACGAGCUAGUUAAUUAGAGGCUUACUAGGGACAUGCUGUUGUCUAUGUACCCACACAUGUAUCUGAGUUUCCUAUCAAUACAAUUAUAGCAUGGGUAAUAAACGAUUAUCAUGAACAAGGAAAUAUAAUAAUAAUAACUAAUUUAUUAUUGCCUCUAGGGCAUAUUUCCAACAGUCUCCCACUUGCACUAGAGUCAAUAAUCUAGUUCACAUCGCCAUGUGAUUAACACUGAUAGGUCACAUCGCCAUGUGACCAACAUCCAAAGAGUUUACUAGUGUCACUAAACUAGUUCACAUCACCAUGUGAUUAAGACUCAAUGAGUUCUGGGGUUUGAUCAUGUUUUGCUUAUGAGAUAGGUUUUAGUCAACGGGUCUGCAACAUUCAGAUCUGUGUGUACUUCGCAAAUCUCUAGGUCAUAUUGUAAAUGCUGCUUCCACGCUCCACUUGAAGCUAUUCCAAAUAGUUGCUCCACUAUACGUAUCCGGUUUGCUACUCAGAGUCACUCGGAUAGGUGUUAAAGCUUGCAUCGACGUAACCCUUUACGCCGAAUUCUUUAUCACCUCCAUAAUCGAGAAACAUGUCCUUAUUUACUCCAAGGACAAUUUUGACCGCUGUCCAAUGAUCCCCAUUCCUGGAUCAUUCUUGUACCCCUUGACCGACUCAUGGCAAGGCACACUUCCGGUGCGGUACACAGCAUAGCAUACUAUAGAGCCUACGUUUGAAGCAUAGGGGAUGGCCUUCGUCCUUUGUCUCUCUUCUGCCGUGGUCGAGAUUUAACUGUUAACUUCAUACCUUACAACUCAGGCAGGAACUCCUUCUUGACUGAUCCAUCUUGAACACCUUCAAAAUCAUGUCAAGGUAUGUGCUCAUUUGCAAGUACCAUUUAGCGGUCUUUGAUCUAUCCUCAUAGAUCUUGAUGCUCAAUGUUCAAGCAGCUUAAUCCAGGUUUUCUAUUGGAAAACACCUUUCAAAUAACCCUAUAUGCUUUCCAGAAAUUCUACAUCAUUUUUGAUCAACAAUAUGUCAACAACAUAUACUCAUCAGAAAUUCUAUAGUGCUCCCACUCACUUCUUUGGAAAUACAAGUUUCUCAUAAACUUUGUAUAAACCCAAAAUCUUUGAUCAUCUCAUCAAAGCGUACAUUCCAACUCCGACAUGCUUACUCCAGUCCUUAGAAGGAUUGCUGGAGCUUUGCAUAUUUGUUAGCGUUCUUCAGGAUUGACAAAACCUUCUGGUUGUAUCACGUACAACCUUUCCUCAAGGAUAUCGUCGAGGAAACAAUGUUUUUUGACAUCCUAUCUGCAAGAUUUCCUAAAUCAUGCAGUAAUUGCUAAUAUAGUUCCAACAGACUCUUAGCAUCGCUACGAGUGAGAAAGUCUCAUCGUAGUCAACUCCUUGAAGUUGUCGGAAAAUAUCUUAACGACAAGUCAAGCUUUCUUAAUGGCGAUACUUACCAUCAUUGUUUGUCUUUCUUUUAAAAUCCAUCUGUACCCAAUGGCCUUACGACCAUUAAGUAUUUACUAGUCGUCAACCCGUGCAAAUGCACGGGCUAAUCUACAGAAUAUCGAUAAAUUGCUAUGAUUUGAGUUUAUUGUUGUUAUUUGACUGUUGCAUUCUUCAAAAUUCUGCCCUUUUUCAUAGUGAUUUUGCUACAACUCUAUAUUUUCAUUUUCAAAGUAAAAUAAACUUGAUUUCCAUAAAAAAUAUAAUUUAUUAUGAAUUUAGAACUUUAUUGUAUUUAUGUUUCAGGUGCAUCAUUGUGCAUGUUUAAUUUCUAGUCAUUUUUAUUUGCCCACUUCAUUACAUCUAUAUUUUUUCUAGUAGUAUGUAAAUUGCUUCCGCUUAGAUCUGUAGAAAUGUAAACUUCCUCGAAAGUGUCAAUUUGCAUAAGACUACCCGAAUGAAAACUAUACAUGAAUUCAUAAAUAUUUGAAAGAAAUUUACCAAUCAUUGUCUUCCCCAUGCCCGACAACGUAAAGUAGCUUUCUAGACAACAUCUACCAGUCAAACUUCCCUUUGAUUAUUAAAAAGCAAUUCCGAUAUUAUUUCAGUAUAGUUGCUUCCUCAGAAAUUACCAUUGUUCAUUUUUUAUUCUGAGUAAAUAGUCUCACCUGUAAGGAACACUGAUGCAACUACCAAGACAUAUCUAAACUUGUGCUUUGGUCAUAUAUCAUAAUCUAAUUUUUUUACUGGUCGCAAUUGCUCAUUCGUAAGGCAUCACCUUUACUUGCUACUGCAUGCACCAUUUCAAAAUAAAAAUGCAUUGAAAACAACCAUGGUAUCCUUUCAAAAAAGCCAUCAACUUAAUAUGGGGCUAGAAAUAAGAUGUACAACCUAACAUUUCAUUUUUUUAGUGCCCACAUGAUGAAGUCGAGCCUUUGUCCACUAUAUACCAUCUAUUUAGAUAUACUCCCUCCGUUCCUAAAUAUUUGUCUUUUUAAAGAUUUCAAAUGGCUAUCACAUACGGAUGUAUGUAGACAUAUUUUAGAAUGAUGAUUCACUCAUUUUGCUCCGUAUGUAGUCACUUAUUGAAAUCUCUAGAAAGACAAAUAUUUAGGAACGGAGGGAGUAUUACACUAUUUACUGUAAUAUAAAGUGUGACCAUGAUUAAGUUGUACAAAAGCCCCAUCGACUAAUGUCAUCAACCAAAAAAGAUCAUUAGCCAGCCUUGUUCCUUGCUAAUAAUCAAUGUUGUUAUGUUGGUUCAUGUACGCUUGUUAGCAAUUUCAAACUAUGUGGAAUGCUAUUUCAUAUUUAAUAUUAUUUAUUCUUACAAAACAAAAUAAUUUUUUGAAACUAUACUUUUCACUUCCCCGAAUAUAUGCAUGUUUCUGGAAUUUUUGUUUCAAACCCAUAUAGUAUAAGACCAAAAAAACGCAUUAUUUUUUUUUAGCAAAACAUAGUAUACAUCUGAAUUUUGCAUUACACACCUUUUUCCACAGACUAUAUUAAUUUAUUUAUAUAUGUUCCCAGAAUCGUAGAGCAUUGAGUUGGUUGCCAUUCUACUCCUUCCCAUAUAUAAUAUAAAAGAUUAAACGAAAAAUUGUCAGAAUACAUUAAGAAAUCCACCUAACAUCAACCAAACUGGGUUUAAAAAGGGAUUGCUUCUUUUGUAAGAAAAUAAUUAAGGGGAUCAUUGGUUCCUUGGAGGAAAAUAAACGUACAACUGAAACACAACAAAGACAUGAUUCUGUCCCAGCCGUCGAAUUAAGUCCGAAGCAACAUGUUAGCUUCAUAUGAUGAAUUAAGAUCCAAUAUCCACAGUACAGACAGGCGUAACAUCUGCCACUCCGUCUGCUCUCAUCCGUUUGUUGUCUCUCUUUACUUCAUGUUCCCAAUCUCGGUNNNNNNNNNNNNNNNNNNNNNNNNNNNNNNNNNNNNNNNNNNNNNNNNNNNNNNNNNNNNNNNNNNNNNNNNNNNNNNNNNNNNNNNNNNNNNNNNNNNNNNNNNNNNNNNNNNNNNNNNNNNNNNNNNNNNNNNNNNNNNNNNNNNNNNNNNNNNNNNNNNNNNNNNNNNNNNNNNNNNNNNNNNNNNNNNNNNNNNNNNNNNNNNNNNNNNNNNNNNNNNNNNNNNNNNNNNNNNNNNNNNNNNNNNNNNNNNNNNNNNNNNNNNNNNNNNNNNNNNNNNNNNNNNNNNNNNNNNNNNNNNNNNNNNNNNNNNNNNNNNNNNNNNNNNNNGUGGCUGAAGAGGACGUGGUCGCCUCUGGAACAUGGAACGCCAACAUGUCCUAUAGCUAUUCACUUCUUCUAAGUCCGAACCACCACUUGGGAGGCAACAGUAAAACAAACCAAUUCACCAUACAAACAUAUCCCAUUGAGAAAGAAAAAUCAAACCUGUUAAGCUACCUAUGUGAUCUAGCAUCCUUGAAAUCAACGUCUGUGAUUUGCUCAUGGUGUUCUUAAUUAUGACGAAAAAAGAGACAUGGUCUUAGUGCUAGAGAAAAAUCAAGCAGUGUGUUAAAGGAAUUUACGCAUAGGUUACUUUCCUAUGGAGAUGGACAACUGACGAUGAACUCGGUGACUUUGGAGAGGCAAAUCGGUAUGCCACCAGUCCUCUAGUAGGUUCUUGAUUUGUCAAUGCACCACAUACGGCAGCAGUGCCAUCUACUUUAGAACGCCAUCACUACACCUUAUUCUAUCCUGCAUGAACCAUAACCAUAGAUUGCAGCCUGGUUAGAACAUGGAAGGCGAAGAGAUUAUGUAGAUGACUUUUUAUCAAAAGCGUUGGUGGAACUUUGAAGCUUAGGGCGGAUAAGUAGAACGAUUAAUCCUGACCUCGCAGCCUCGCAUGUCGACAUAGGCGACGCAGCUACAGGCACGGUUGGUCAAUCAUGUCCAUGGAGCUGUAGCUCAGAUUGUUCACCGAUAAUCUCCUGGUGCUGGUGGGCACUACAUCCCGGGUAGUUUCAGCGUAGCAAGCCAUACCCAGGUUCUGAAGGAGGUGACAUCAGAAGGGGUGAGGGAGGGCUCCGUUGCUGGUUGUAGAUAUAUUGAAUCGCCGGAUCAACACUCCGAGAUAGAGGAUUGGGAGCAGAAGACAUAUGAAGAUACAUAUUGCGUAAAUACUUCGUGAAGAAGGAAAGGAUCGAUCCUUUCCAUCGAGAGGAGAGAGAAAGAAUAGACGUGAGGUAUCGGUGGAAUAGUAGUACAUGGAAUUAGAUGGCAGAGAUAGAAGGGAUUGUUGGAAUAGUAUAAGGAAUAAGACGGUAGUUAGGAUCUGAUCUCUUUUGUCACAUAUUUGGGAGGUCGUGAGCCUUUUAAAUGGAAGGUUAUAUUGGUUCAUGUGACAUGGUUCCACCACGUAACUUGAUGUAUUUUUUAUUAAAUAUGAAUCUUAUAUCGGCUGAUCUGGACCGUAAUAACUCGGUCCCACCGAGAUUAACGACUCCUAUUUUCUAAUUAACGUGGUAAUUACUUGGGAGUCUGUAAUUAGUAUAGGUAUAGAUUCCAUAGUCAUGGAUCCUCUCUCGGAUUUUAUGGCCUCGAGCCAUUUGUCGGAAUCCGAGCCCACUAUCGCUUCUCCAUAGCUCGUAGGUUCAUUGUUGUCUAGCAACAUGACCUCUAAGACAGGAUUGCGUACCACUCUGAAGUAGUACGCGUCCUUGUCGACCUACAAGGUCCGGUAGUGACUUGAUCCGAAGCAUCAUGAUCACUAUCAUCAGCUUCUACUUCAAUUGGUGUAGGUGCCACAGGAACAACUUCCUAUGUCCUGCUACACACUAGUUGAAGUGAUGGUUCAACAACCUCAUCAAGUUUCCACCAACCUCCCACUCAAUUCUUUCGAGAGAAACUUUUCCUCGAGAAAGGACCCGUUCCUAUAAACAGUUACUUUUGCUUCCGGAUAUGAGAUAGGAGGUAUACCCAACCAUUUUGGGUAUCCUAUGAAGAUGUAUUUAUCCGCUUUGGGUUCGAGCUUAUCAUGAUGAAACUUUUCAUAUAAGCGUCACAGCCCCAAACUUUCAAGAAACGACAACUUAGGUUUCUCCAAACCAUAGUUCAAACUGUGUCGUCUCAACGGAAUUACGUGGUGCCCUAUUAAAGUGAGUGCGGUUGUCUCUAAUGCCUAACCCAUGAACGAUAGUGGUAAUUCGAUAAGAGACGUCAUGGUACACACCAUAUCCAAUAGGGUGCAACUAUGAUGUUCGGGCACACCAUCACACUAUGGUGUUCCAGGCGGUAUUAAUUGUGAAACAAUUUCCACAAUGUCUUAAUUGCGUGCCAAAGCUCGUAACUCAGAUACUCAUCUCUAUGAUCAUAUCAUAGACAUUUUAUCCUCUUGUCACAAUGAUCUUCAACUUCACUCUGAAAUUACUUGAACCAUUCAAUAAUUCAGACUUGUGUUUCAUCAAGUAAAUAUACUCAACAUCUACUCGAAUCAUCUGUGAAGUAAGAACAUAACGAUAUUCACUGCAUGCCUCAGCACUCAUUGGACUGCACACAUCAAAAUGUGUUACUUCCAACAAGUUGCUAUCUUGUUCCAUCUUACUGAAAAACGAGGCUAUUCAGUCAUCUUGCCCAUGUGGUAUGAUUUGCAUAUCUCAAGUGAUUCAAAAUCAAGUGAGUCCAAACGAUCCAUCUGCAUGGAGUUUCUUCAUGCGUAUACACCAAUAGACAUGGUUCGCAUGUCUCAAACUUUUCAAAAACGAGUGAGUCCAAAGAUCCAUCAACAUGGAGUUUCUUCAUGCGUUUUACACCAAUAUGACUUACAUGGCAGUGCCACAAGUAAGUGGUACUAUCAUUACUAUCUUAUAUCUUUUGGCAUGAAAAUGUGUAUCACUACGAUCGAGAUUCAAUAAACCAUUCUUUUUAGGUGAAAGACCAUUGAAGGUAUUAUUCAAAUAAAUAGAGUAACCAUUAUUCUCCUUAAAUGAAUAACCAUAUUGUGAUAGACAUAAUCCAAUCAUGUCUAUGCUCAACGCAAACACCAAAUAACAAUUAUUUAGGUUUAACACCAAUCUCGAUGGUAGAGGGAGCGUGCGAUGCUUGAUCACAUCAACCUUGAAAACACUUCCAACACAUAUCGUCAGCUCACCUUUAGCUAGUCUCCAUUUAUUUCGUAGCUUUUAUUUCGAGUUACUAACACUUAGCAACCGAACCGGUAUCUAAUACCCUGGUGCUACUAGGAGUACUAGUAAAGUACACAUUAACAUAAUAUAUAUCCAAUAUACUUUUAUCGACCUUGCCAGCCUUCUCAUCUACCAAGUAUCUAGGGUAAUUCUGCUCCACUGGCUGUUUCCCUUAUCACAGAAGCACUUAGUCUCGGGUUUGGGCUCAACCUUGGGUUUCUUCACUGGAGCAGCAACUGAUUUGCAUAUCAUGAAGUAUCCCUUCUUGCCCUUGCCCUUCUUAAAACUAGUGGUUUCAUUAACCAUCAACAAUUGAUGUUCGUUAUUGAUUUCUACUUUCGUGGUGUCGAACAUUGCGAAUAUUUCAAGGAUCAUCAUAUCUAUCCCUGAUAUGUUAUAGUUCAUCACGAAGCUCUAGCAGCUUGGUGGCAAUGACUUUGGAGAAACAUCACUAUCUCAUCUGGAAGAUCAACUCCCACUCGAUUCAAGUGAUUGUUGUAUUCAGACAAUCUGAGCACAAGCUCAACGAUUGAGCUUUUCUCCCUUAGAUUGCAGGCUAAGAAAAUCAUCGGAGGUCUUAUACCUCUUGACGUGGGCACGAGCCUGAAAUCCCAAUUUCACCCCUCGAAACAUCUCAUAUGUUCCGCGACUUUUCGAAAAACGUCUUUGGUGCCUCAACUCUAAACCGUUUAACUGAACUAUCACGUAGUUAUCAAAACGUGUGUCAAAUGUUCGCAACAUCUACAGACGACGUUCGAGGUUUAGCACACUGAGCGGUGCAUUAAGGACAUAAGCCUUCUACUGUCCGCAUAAUUGCUACUGUCAACUUUCAACUAUAUUUUCUCUAGGAACAUAUCUAAAACAGUAGAACUAACGCGUGAGCUAUGGCAUAAUUUACAAAGGGUUUUUGACUAUGUUCAGGAUAAUUAAGUUCAUCUAAUGAACUCCCACUCAGAUAGACAUCCCUCUAGUCAUCUAAGUGAUUACAUGAUCCGAGUCGACUAGGCCGUGUCCGAUCAUCACGUGAGACGGACUAGUCAUCAUCGGUGAACAUCUUCAUGUUGAUCGUAUCUACUAUACGACUCAUGCUCGACCUUUCGGUCUCUUGUGUUCCGAGGCCAUGUCUGUACAUGCUAGGCUUGUCAAGUCAACCUAAGUGUUUCGCGUGUGUAAAUCUGGCUUACACCCGUUGUAUGUGAACGUUAGAAUCUAUCACAUCCGAUCAUCACGUGGUGCUUCGAAACGACGAACUUUCGCAACGGUGCACAGUUAGGGGGAACACUUUCUUGAAAUUUUAAUGAGGGAUCAUCUUAUUUACUACCGUCGUUCUAAGCAAAUAAGAUGUAUAAACAUGAUAAACAUCACAUGCAAUCAAAUAGUGACAUGAUAUGGCCAAUAUCAUAUUGCUCCUUUUGAUCUCCAUCUUCGGGGCUCCAUGAUCAUCAUCGUCACCGGCAUGACACCAUGAUCUCCAUCAUCAUGAUCUCCAUCAUCAUGUCUUCAUGAAGUUGUCUCGCCAACUAUUACUUCUACUACUAUGGCUAACGGUUUAGCAAUAAAGUAAAGUAAUUACAUGGCGUUGUUCACUGACACGCAGGUCAUACAAUAAAUUAAGACAACUCCUAUGGCUCCUGCCGGUCGUCAUAUUCAUCGACAUGCAAGUCGUGAUUCCUAUUACAAGAACAUGAUCAAUCUCAUACAUCACAUCUCAUUCAUCACAUUCAUUUUUGGCCAUAUCACAUCACAUAGCAUACCCUGCAAAAACAAGUUAGACGUCCUCUAAUUGUUGUUUCCAUGUUUUACGUGGCUGCUAUGGGUUUCUAGCAAGAAUGUUUCUUACCUACGCAAAAACCACAACGUGAUAUGUCAAUUGCUAUUUACCCUUCAUAAGGACCCUUUUCAUCGAAUCCGAUCCGACUAAAGUGGGAGAGACUGGCACCCGCUAGCCACCUUAUGCAACAAGUGCAUGUCAGUCAGUGGAACCUGUCUCACGUAAGUGUACGUGUAAGGUCGGUCUAGGCCGCUUCAUCCCACAAUACCGUCGAAACAAGAUUGGACUAGUAACGGUAAGCAUAUUGAACAAAAUCAAUGCCCACAACUACUUUGUUUUCUACUCGUGCAUAGAAUCUACGCAAUAGAACUGGCUCUGAUACCACUGCUGGGGAAUGUAGCAAAAAUUCAAAAUUUUCUACGCAUCACCAAGAUCAAUCUAUGGAGUAAUCUAGCAACAAAGGGAAGGAGAGUGCAUUUACAUACCCUUGUAGAUCGCUAAGUGGAAGCGUUCAAUAGAACAUGGUUGAAGGAGUCGUACUCGUCGUGAUCCAAAUCACCGGAGAUCCUAGUGCCGAACGGACGACACCUCCGCGUUCAACACACGUGCAGCCCGGUGACGUCUCCCAUGCCUUGAUCCAGCAAGGAGAGAGGGAGAGGUUGGGGAAGACUCUGUCCAGUAGCAGCACAACGGCGUGGUGGUGGUGGAGGAGCGUGGCAAUCCUGCAGGGCUUCGCCAAGCACCGCGGGAGAGGAGGAGAAAGAGAGGUAGGGUUGCGCCAAUAGGAGAAGAACAACGUGUGUUGGGCUGCCCCUUUGCCUCCACUAUAUAUAGGGGGAGAGGGAGGGCUGCGCCCCCACCUAGGGUUCCCUCCCUAGGGGAGGCGGCANNNNNNNNNNNNNNNNNNNNNNNNNNNNNNNNNNNNNNNNNNNNNNNNNNNNNNNNNNNNNNNNNNNNNNNNNNNNNNNNNNNNNNNNNNNNNNNNNNNNNNNNNNNNNNNNNNNNNNNNNNNNNNNNNNNNNNNNNNNNNNNNNNNNNNNNNNNNNNNNNNNNNNNNNNNNNNNNNNNNNNNNNNNNNNNNNNNNNNNNNNNNNNNNNNNNNNNNNNNNNNNNNNNNNNNNNNNNNNNNNNNNNNNNNNNNNNNNNNNNNNNNNNNNNNNNNNNNNNNNNNNNNNNNNNNNNNNNNNNNNNNNNNNNNNNNNNNNNNNNNNNNNNNNNNNNNNNNNNNNNNNNNNNNNNNNUUGGCUCAUGCUGCCCUUUGGGGCCGGUGGCCCCACUUGGUGGACCCCCCGGGACCCUCCCGGUGGUCCUGGUACGUUACUGAUAACACCCGAAACUUUUCCGGUGACCAAAACAGGACUUCCCAUAUAUAAAUCUUUACCUCCGGACCAUUCUGGAACUCCUCGUGACGUUCGGGAUAUCAUCCAGGACUCCGAACAACAUCCGGUAACCACGUAUAUCUAUUCCCUAUAACCCUAGCGUCAUCGAACCUUAAGUGUGUAGACCCUAUGGGUUCGGGAACCAUGCAGACAUGACCGAGACGUUCUCCGGUCAAUAACCAACAGCGGGAUUUGGAUACCCAUGUUGGCUCCCACAUGUUCCACGAUGAUCUCAUAGGAUGAACCAUGAUGUCAAGGACUCAAUCAAUCCCGUAUACAAUUCCCUUUGUCCAGCGGUAUUAUACUUACCUGAGAUUCAAUCGUCGGUAUGCCGAUACCUUGUUCAAUCUCGUUACCCGCAAGUCUCUUUACUCGUUCCGUAACACAUCAUCCCGUGAUCAACCCCUGUUGGGGAAGGUAGUAAUUUAAAAAAAAAAUCCUACGCACACGCAAUAUCAUGGUGAUGCAUAGCAACGAGAGGGGAGAGUGUUGUCCACGUACCCUUGUAGACCGAAAGCGGAAGCGUUAUGACAACGCAGUUGAUGUAGUCGUACGACUUCACGAUCCGACCGAUCCAAGCACCGAACGUACGGCACCUCCGAGUUCAGCACACGUUCACCUCGAUGACAAUCCCCAGACUUCGAACCAGCAGGGUGUCGGGGAUGAGUUCCGUCAGCACGACGACGUGGUGACGAUGAUUAUGUUCUACCGAAGCAGGGCUUCGCCUAAGCACUGCAACGAUAUGACCGAGGUGGACUAUGGUGGAGGGGGCACCGCACACGGCUAAGGAACGAUCACGAUGAUCAACUUGUGUCAUGGGGCGCCCCCUGCCCCCGUAUAUAAAGGAGCAAGGGAGGAGGAGGCCGGCCCUAGGAGGGGGUGCACCAAGUGUGGAGUCCUACUAGGACUCCCUAGUCCUAGUAGGAUUCCACCUCCCAUAUGGAAUAGGAAAAGAGGAAGGGAAAAGGAGAAGGAAGGAAGGGGGCGCCCCCCUUCCCUAGUCCAAUUUGGAGCAGACCAAGGGGAGGGGUGCGGCCUCCCAUGAGGCCCUUUUCCUUCUUUCCCGUAUGGCCCAAUAAGGCCCAAUACGUAUUCCCUUUACUCUCUAGUACUCCGAAAAAUAUCCGAAUCACUCGGAACCUUUCCGAUGUCCGAAUAUAGUCGUCCAAUAUAUCGAUCUUUAUGUCUCGACCAUUUCGAGACUCCUCGUCAUGUCCUCGAUCUCAUCCGGGACUCCAACUCCUUCGAUACAUCAAAACUCAUAAACUCAUAAUAAAAUUGUCAUCGAAACCUUAAGCGUGCGGACCCUACGGGUUCGAGAACUAUGUAGACAUGACCGAGAACCGUUUCCGGUCAAUAACCAAUAGCGGAACCUGGAUGCUCAUAUUGGCUCCUACAUAUUCUACGAAGAUCUUUAUCGGUCAAACCGCACAACAACAUACAUUGUUCCCUUUGUCAUCGGUAUGUUACUUGCCCGAGAUUCGAUCGUCAGUAUCUCAAUAUCUAACUCAAUCUCGUUACCGGCAAGUCUCUUUACUCGUUAUGUAAUGCAUCAUUACGUAACCAACUCAUUGGCCACAUUGCUUGCAAGGCUUAUAGUGAUGUGCAUUAUCGAGAGGGCCCAGAGAUACCUCUCCGACAAUCAGAGUGACAAAUCCUAAUCUCGAAAUACGCCAACCCAACAUGUACCUUCGGAGACACCUGUAGAGCUCCUUUAUAAUCACCCAAUUACGUUGUGAUGUUUGGUAGCACACAAAUUGUUCCUCUGGUAAACGGGAGUUGCAUAAUCUCAUAGUCAUAGGAACAUGUAUAAGUCAUGAAGAAAGAAAUAGCAACAUACUAAACGGUCAAGUGCUAAGCUAACGGAAUGGGUCAAGUCAAUCACAUCAUUCUUCUAAUGAUGUGAUCCCGUUAAUCAAAUGACAACUCUUUGUCCAUGGCUAGGAAACAUAACCAUCUUUGAAAAACGAGCUAGUCAAGUAGAAGCAUACUAGUGACACUUAGUUUGUCUAUGUAUUCACACAUCUAUCAUGUUUCCGGUUAAUACAAUUCUAGCAUGAAUAAUAAACAUUCAUCAUGAUAUAAGGAAAUAAAUAAUAACUUUAUUAUUGCCUCUAGGGCAUAUUUCCUUCAGUCUCCCACUUGCACUAGAGUCAAUAAUCUAGUUCACAUCGCCAUGUGAUUUAACACCAAUAUUCACAUCUGUAUGUGAUUAGUUUCCAAUAGUUCACAUCGUCAUGUGACCAACACCCGAAGGGUUUACUAGAGUCAAUAGUCUAGGUCACAUCGCUAUGUGAUUAACACCCAAAGAGUACAAAGGUAUGAUCAUGUUUUGUUCGUGAGAGAAAUUUAGUCAACGGGUCUGUCACAUACAAAGCCGUAUGUAUUUUGCAAAUAUUCUAUGUCUUCAAUGCUUUGCAUGGAGCUACUCUAGCUAAUUGCUCCCACUUUCAAUAUGUAUCCAGAUUGAGACUUAGAGUCAUCUGGAUCAGUGUAAAAGUUUGCAUCGAUGUAACUUUUACAACGAACUCUUUUAUCACCUCCAUAAUCGAGAAACAUCUCCUUAGUCCUCACUAAGGUUAUUCUUGACCGUUGUCCAGUGAUCUACUAUUAGAUCAAAAUUGUAUUCCUUUGUCAAACUCAGAGCAAGGUAUACAAUAGGUCUGGUUCACAGCAUAGCAUACUUUAUAGAACCUAUGACUGAGGCAUAGGGAAUGACUAUUCAUUCUCUUUCUAUUUUCUGCCAUGGUCGGGUUUUGAGUCUUACUCAACUUCACACCUUGCAACACAAGCAAAAACUCCUUCUUUGACUGUUCCAUUUUGAACUACUUCAAAAUCUUAUCAAGGUAUGUACUCAUUGAAAAAUCUCAUCAAGCGUCUUGAUCUAUCUAUAUAGAUCUUAAUGCUCAAUGUGUAAGCAGCUUCACCGACGUCUUGCUUUGAAAAACUCUUACUCAAGUAUCCUUUUAUUCUAUCCAAAAUUUCUAUAUCAUUUCCAAUCAACAAUAUGUCAUCUACAUAUAGUAUUAGAAAUGCUACAGAUCUCCUACUCACUUUCUUGUAAAUACAGGCCUUUCCAAGAGUCUGUAUAAAACCAUAUGCUUUGAUCAACUCAUCAAAGUGUAUAUUCCAACUCCGAGAUGCUUGCACCAGUCCAUUGAUGGAUCACUUGAGCUUGCACACUUUGUUAGCACCUUUAGGAUUGACAAAACCUUCUGGUUGCAUCAUAUACAGCUCUUCUAUCAUAAAUCCAUUAAGGAAUGCAGUUUUGACAUCCAUUUGCCAUAUUUCAUAAAAUGUGGCAAUUGCUAACAUGAUUCGGACAGACUUAAGCAUCGAUACGAGUGAGAAAAUCUCAUCGUAUUCAACACCUUGAACUUGUCGAAAAACCUUUCGCAACAAGUCGAGCUUAGUAGAUAGUAACACUAUUAUCAGUGUCCGUCUUCCUUUUGAAGAUCCAUUUAUAUAAUAUGGCUUGCCGAUCAUCGGGCAACUCCACCAAAGUCCACACUUUGUUCUCAUAUAUGGAUCCCAUCUCAGAUUUCAUGGCCUCAAGCCAUUUCGCGGAAUCUGGGCUCAUCAUCGCUUCCUCAUAGUUUGUAGGUUCAUCAUGGUCUAGUAACAUGACUUCCAGAAUAGGAUUACCGUACCACUCUGGUGCGGACCGUACUCUGGAAUACCUACGAGGUUCUGUAGUAACUUGAUUUGAAGUUUCAUGAUCAUCAUCAUUAGCUUCCUCGCUAAUCUGUGUAGCAAUCACUGGAACUGAUUUCUGUGAUGAACAACUUUCCAAUUUGGGAGAAGGUACAAUUACCUCAUCAAGUUCUACUUUCCUCCCACUCACUUCUUUCGAGAGAAACUCCUUCUCUAGAAAGGAUCCAUUCUUAGCAAUGAAUGUUUUGCCUUCAGAUCUGUGAUAGAAGGAGUACCCAACAGUUUCCUUUGGGUAUUCUAUGAAGACGCACUUCUCCGAUUUGGGUUCGAGCUUAUCAGGUUGAAAACCUUUUUCAUAUAAGCAUCGCAACUCCAAACUUUAAGAAACGACGGCUUAGGUUUACUGCUAAACCAUAGUUCAUACGGCGUCAUCUCGACGGAUUUUGAUGGUGCCCUAUUUAAAGUGAAUGCAGCUAUCUCUAAUGCAUAACCCCAACACGAUAGUGGUAAAUCGAUAAGAGACAUCAUAGAUUGCACCAUAUCCAAUAAAGUGCAGUUACGACGUUCGGACACACCAUUAAGCUGUGGUGUUCCAGGUGGCAUGAGUUUGUGAAACUAUUCCACAUUGUUUUAAUUGAAGACCAAACUCGUAACUCAAAUAUUUGUCUCCGCGAUCAAAUUGCAGAAACUUUAUUUUCUUGUUAUGAUGAUUCUCCACUUCACUCUGAAAUUCUUUGAACUUUUCAAAUGUUUCAGACUUGUGCUUCAUUAAGUAGAUAUACUCAUAUCUGCUCAAUUCAUCUUGUGAAGGUCAGAAAAUAACGAUACCCGCCACGCGCAUCAACACUCAUUGGACCGCAUACAUCGGUAUGUAUUAUUUCCAAUAAGUCACUAGCUCGUUCCAUUGUUCCGGAGAACGGAGUUUUAGUCAUCUUGCCCAAAAGGCACGGUUCGGAAGCAUCAAAUGAUUCAUAACCAAGAGAUUCCAAAAAUCCAUCUUUAUGGAGUUUCUUCAUGCGCUUUACAAUGAUAUGACUCAAACGGCAGUGCCACAAAUAAGUUGCACUAUCAUUAUUAACUUUGCAUCUUUUGGCAUCAAUAUUAUGAAUAUGUGUAUCACUAUGAUCGAGAUCCAACAAACUAUUUUCAUUGGGUGUAUGACCAUCAAAGGUUUUAUUCAUGUAAACAGAACAACAAUUAUUCUUUGACUUUAAAUGAAUAAUCAUAUCGCAAUAAACAUGAUCAAAUCAUAUUCAUGUUCAAUGCAAACGCCAAAUAACAUUUAUUUAGGUUUAACACUAAUCCUGAAAGUAUAGGGAGUGUGCGAUGAUGAUCAUAUCAAUCUUGGAACCACUUCCAAUACACAUCGUCACUUCACCCUCAACUAGUCUCUGUUUAUUCUGUAACUCCUGUUUCGAGUCACUAAUUUUUUUAGCAACCGAACAAGUAUCAAAUACUCAGGGGCUACUAUAAACACUAGUAAGGUACACAUCAAUAACCCGUAUAUCAAAUAUACCCUUGUUCACUCUGCCAUCCUUCUUAUCCACCAAAUAUUCAUGGUAUUUCCGUUUCCAGUAGCCAUUUCCUUUGCAGUGUAAGCACUCAGUUUCAGGCUUUGGUUCAGCUUUGGGUUUCUUCGUGGGAGUGACAACUUGCUUGCCAUUCUACUUGAAGUUCCCUUUCUUUCCCUUUUCCCUUUUCUUGAAACUAGUGAUCUUGUCAACCAUCAACACUUGAUGCUCUUUCUUGAUUUCUACCUUCGUUGAUUUCAGCAUCACGAAGAGCUCGGGAAUCAUUUUCGUCAUCCCUUGCAUUAUAGUUCAUCAUGAAGUUCUACUAACUUGGUGAUGGUGACUAGAGAAUUCUGUCAAUCACUAACUUAUCUGGAAGAUUAACUCCUACUUGAUUCAAGCGAUUGUAGUACCCAGACAAUCUGAGCACAUGCUCACUAGUUGAGCGAUUCUCCUGCAUCUUUUAGCUAUAGAACUUGUUGGAGACUUCAUAUCUCUCAACUCGGGUAUUUGCUUGAAAUAUUAACUUCAACUCCUGGAACAUCUCAUAUGGUCCAUGACGUUCAAAAUGUCUUUGAAGUCCCGAUUCUAAGCCAUAAAGCAUGGUGCACAAAACUAUCAAGUAGUCAUCAUAUUGAGCUAGCCAAACAUUCAUAACGUCUGCAUCUGCUCCUGCAAUAGGUCUGUCACCUAGCAGUGCAUCAAGGACAUGAUUCUUCUGUGCAGCAAUGAGGAUAAACCUCAGAUCACGGAUCCAAUCCGCAUCAUUGCUACAAACAUCUUUCAACACAAUUUUCUCUAGGAACAUAUCAAAAUAAACAUAUGAAAGUUACAACGCAAGCUAUUGAUCUACAACAUGAUUUGCAAAAUACUACCAGGACUAAGUUCAUGAUAAAUUGAAGUUCAAUUAGUCAUAUUACUUAAGAACUCCCACUUAGACAGACAUCUCUCUAGUCAUCUAAGUGAUCACGUGAUCCAAAUCAACUAAACCAUGUCCGAUCAUCACGUGAGAUGGAGUAGUUUUCAAUGGUGAACAUCACUAUGUUGAUCAUAUCUACUAUAUGAUUCACAUUCGACCUUUCGGUCUCCGUGUUCCAAGGCCAUAUCUGUAUAUGCUAGGCUCGUCAAGUUUAACCUGAGUAUUCCGCGUGUCCAACUGUUUUGCACUCGUUGUAUUUGAACGUAGAGCCUAUCACACCCGAUCAUCACGUGGUGUCUCAGCACGAAGAACUUUUGCAACGGUGCAUACUCAGGGAGAACACUUCUUGAUAAUUUAGUGAGAGAUCAUCUUAAAAUGCUACCGUCAAUCAAAGCAAGAUAAGAUGCAUAAAGGAUAAAUAUCACAUGCAAUCAAUAUAAGUGAUAUGAUAUGGCCAUCAUCAUCUUGUGCUUGUGAUCUCCAUCUCCGAAGCACCUCCAUGAUCACCAUCAUCACCGGUGCGACACCUUGAUCUCCAUCGUAGCAUCAUUGUUGUUUACGCCGUCUAUUGCUUCUACGACUAUCGCUACCGCUUAGUGAUAAAGUAAAGCAAUUACAGGGCGUUUGCAUUUCAUACAAUAAAGCGACAACCAUAUGGCUCCUGCCAGUUGCCGAUAACUUCGGUUAAAAACAUGAUCAUCUCAUACAAUAAAAUAUAGCAUCACGUCUUGACCAUAUCACAUCACAACAUGCCCUGCAAAAACAAGUUAGACGUCCUCUACUUUGUUGUUGCAAGUUUUACGUGGCUGCAACGGGCUUAGCAAGAAUCGUUCUUACCUACGCAUCAAAACCACAACGAUAGUUUGUCAAGUUGGUGCUAUUUUAACCUUCGCAAGGACCGGGCGUAGCCACACUCGGUUCAACUGAAGUGAGAGAGACAGACACCCGCCAGUCACCUUUAAGCACGAGUGCCCGUAACGGUGAAACCAGUCUCGUGUAAGCGUACGCGUAAUGUCGGUCCGGGCCGCUUCAUCUCACAAUACCGCUGAACCAAAGUAUGACAUGCUGGUAAGCAGUAUGACUUAUAUCGCCCACAACUCACUUGUGUUCUACUCGUGCAUAUGACAUCUAUGCAUAAAACCUAGCUCGGAUGCCACUGUUGGGGAACGUCGUAAUUUCAAAAAAAAUCCUGCGCACACGCAAGAUCAUGGUGAUGCAUAGAAAUGAGAGGGGAGAGUGUUGUCCACGUACCCUCGUAGACCGAAAGCAGAAGCGUUAUGACAACGCGGUUGAUGUAGUCGUACGUCUUCACGAUCCGACCGAUCCAAGCACUGAACGUACGGCACCUUCGAGUUCAGCACACAUUCAGCUCGAUGACGAUCCCCAGACUCCGAUCCAGCAGGGUGUCGGGGAUGAGUCCCAUCAGCACGACGGCGUGGUGACAAUGAUGAUGUUCUAUCGACGCAGGGCUUCGCCUAAGCACUCCAACGAUAUGACCAAGGUAGAAUAUGGUGGAGGGGGGCACCGCACACGGCUAAGGAACGAUCACGAUGAUCAACUUGUGUCAUGGGGUGCCCUCCUGCCCCCGUAUAUAAAGGAGCAAGGGAGAAGGAGGCCGGCCCUAGGAGGGGGCGCACCAAGUGUGGAGUCCUACUAGGACUCCCUAGUCCUAGUAGGAUUCCACCUCCCAUAUGGAAUAGGAAAAGAGGAAGGGAAAAGGAGAAGGAAGGAAAGGGGCGCCCCCAUUCCCUAGUCCAAUUCGGACCAGACCAAGGGGAGGGGUGCGUAUACCCUUGAGGCCCCUUUCCUUCUUUCCCGUAUGGCCCAAUAAGGCCCAAUACGUAUUCCCGUAACUCUCCGGUACUCCGAAAAAUACCCGAAUCACUCGGAAACUUUCUGAUAUCCGAAUAUAGUCGUCCAAUAUAUCGAUCUUUAUGUCUCGACCAUUUCGAGACUCCUCGUCAUGUCUCCAAUCUCAUCCGGGACUACGAACUCCUUCGGUACAUCAAAACUCAUAAACUCAUAAUAAAACUGUCAUCGAAACCUUAAGCGUGCGGACCCUACGGGUUCGAGAACUAUGUAGACAUGACCGAGAACCGUUUCCGGUCAAUAACCAAUAGCGGAACCUGGAUGCUCAUAUUGGCUCCUACAUAUUCUAUGAAGAUCUUUAUCGGUCAAACUGCACAACAACAUACGUUGUUCCCUUUGUCAUCGGUAUGUUACUUGCCCGAGAUUCGAUCGUCGGUAUCUCAAUACCUAGCUCAAUCUCGUUACCAGCAAGUCUCUUUACUCGUUAUGUAAUGCAUCAUUCUGUAACCAACUCAUUGGCCACAUUGCUUGCAAGGCUUAUAGUGAUGUGCAUUACCGAGAGGGCCCAGAGAUACCUCUCCGACAAUCGGAAUGACAAAUCCUAAUCUCGAAAUACGCCAACCCAACAUGUACCUUCGGAGACACCUGUAGAGCUCCUUUAUAAUCACCCAGUUACGUUGUGACGUUUGGUUGCACACAAAGUGUUCCUCCGGUAAACGGGAGUUGCAUAAUCUCAUAGUCAUAGGAACAUGUAUAAGUCGUGAAGAAAGCAAUAGCAACAUACUAAAUGAUCAAGUGCUAAGCUAACGGAAUGGGUCAAGUCAAUCACAUCAUUCUUCUAAUGAUGUGAUCCCGUUAAUCAAAUGACAACUCUUUGUCCAUGGCUAGGAAACAUAACCAUCUUUGAAAAACGAGCUAGUCAAGUAUAGGCAUACUAGUGAAACUUAGUUUGUCUAUGUAUUCACACAUGUAUCAUGUUUCCGGUUAAUACAAUUCUAGCAUGAAUAAUGAACAUUCAUCAUGAUAUAAGGAAAUAAAUAAUAACUUUAUUAUUGCUUCUAGGGCAUAUUUCCUUCAACCCCUUGGUCACAUUGUGCACAUUAUGAUGAUGUCCUACCGAGUGGGCCCAGAGAUACCUCUCCGUCAACCGGAGUGACAAAUCCCAGUCUUGAUUUGUGACAACCCAACAGACACUUUUGGAGAUACCCGUAGUGCACCUUUAUGGCCACCGAGUUAUGUUGUGACGUUUGGUACACCCAAAGCAUUCCUACGGUAUCCGGGAGUUGCAUAAUCUCAUGGUCUAAGGAAAUGAUACUUGACAUUAGAAAAGCUUUAGUAUACGAACUACACGAUCUUUGUGCUAGGCUUAGGAUUGGGUCUUGUCCAUCACAUCAUUCUCCUAACGAUGUGAUCCCGUUAUCAAGGACAUCCAAUGUCCAUGGUCAGGAAACUGUAACCAUCUAUUGAUCAACGAGCUAGUCAAUUAGAGGCUUACUAGGGACAUGGUGUUGUCUAUGUACCCACACAUGUAUCUGAGUUUCCUAUCAAUACAAUUAUAGCAUGGAUAAUAAACGAUUAUCAUGAACAAGGAAAUAUAAUAAUAAUAACUAAUUUAUUAUUGCCUCUAGGGCAUAUUUCCAACAAGACCACCUAGGCGAGAGGUGGGCAUGUCCCUGGUCGGCGUUCGCGGUUGCUUCAUAAUAACACGCUUAACGAGAUCUUGGUAUUUGAUCUGAGUCUGGCCACUGGCCUAUACGCACUAACCAACUACGCGGGAAAGAUAUGGGCACUCGACGUCGUGGUAUCAGCCGAAGCCUUCGUGACGUCAGCGACUGAGCGGCACGCGCCGGGUUGGACUGCAUUAACGCAACUUCCUUUGUAAUGGAGGUUGCUAGGUCUGCUUCCGGCCACCCUCGCAACGUGCAGGUGUGCAAUGGGCGAUGGGCACAGACCCCUGCGCGCAUAGGAUUUAGAUCGGCGUGCUGACCUCUCUGUUUUGCCUAGGUGGGGCUGCGACGUGUUGAUCUUCCGAGGCCGGGCAUGACCCAGAAAAGUGUGUCCGGCCAAAUGGGAUCGAGCAUGUUGGGUUAUGUGGUGCACCCCUGCAGGGAAGUUUAUCUAUUCGAAUAGCCAUGUCCCUCGGUAAAAGGACGACCCGGAGUUGUACCUUGACAUUAUGACAACUAGAACCGGAUACUUAAUAAAACACACCCGGACAAAUUCCACAGACAUCCCGGUGAUCGCUUUUCCACAGGGCGACGAGGGGAGGAUAACCGUGUAGGAUUAUGCUAUGCGAUGCUACUUGGAGGACUUCAAUCUACUCUCUUCUACAUGCUGCAAGACGGAGGCUGCCAGAAGCGUAAUCUUCGAUAGGACUAGCUAUCCCCCUCUUAUUCUGGCAUUCUGCAGUCCAGUCCACCGAUAUUGCCUCUUUACACAUAUACCCAUGCAUAUGUAGUGUAGAUCCUUGCUUGCGAGUACUUUGGAUGAGUACUCACGGUUGCUUUUCCCCCUCUUUUCCCCCGUUUUCCUCUUCUUCUCGGAUGCCGCAACCAGACGUUGGAGCCCAGGAGCCAGACGCCACCGUCGACGACUCCUACUACACUGGAGGUGCCUACUACUACGUGCAGGCUGCUGACGACGACCAUGAGUAGUUAGGAGGAUCCCAGGCAGGAGGCCUGCGCCUCUUUCGAUCUGUAUCCCAGUUUGUGCUAGCCAUCUUAUGGCAACUUGUUUAACUUAUGUCUAUACUCAGAUAUUGUUGCUUCUGCUGACUUUUUUAUGUCGAGCACUUGUAUUCGAGCCCUCGAGGCCCCUGGCUUGUAAUAUGAUGCUUAUAUGACUUGUUUUACUUUUAGAGUUGUGUUGUGAUAUCUUCCCAUGAGUCCCUGAUCUUGAUCGUACAUGUUUGCGUGCAUGAUUAGUGUACGCUUGAAUCAGGGUCGUCACACUUAUAUCAUGAUAAAUGUUUAUUAUUCAUGCUAGAAUCGUAUUAACCGGAAACUUAGUGCAUGUGUGAAUACAUAGACAAAACAUAAUGUCCCUAUUAUGCCUCUACUAGACUAGCUCGUUAAUCAAAGAUGGAUAUAUUUCCUAACCAUAGACAUGUGUUGUCAUUUGAUGAACGAGAUAACAUCAUUAAAAGAAUGAUGUGAUGGACAUGACCCAUCCGUUAGCUUAGUAUUAUGAUUGUUACAGUUUCAUUGCUACUGCUUUAUUCAUGACUUAUACAUGUUCCUCAGACUAUGAGAUUAUGCAACUCCCGAAUACCGGAAGAAUACCUUGUGUGCUAU
rnacentral:lncRNA from 1 species